GCACCAGAGCUUGAUCUCUUUAUGAUAAAGUAGAAAAACACAAGUAUGGCUAAGAUUCCAGCUAUGGCAGUGUUUAGGCAUGGGAGAUACAACUCCAUUGUCGCAAAGGAAAGGUUGAGGGUAGGUAGCACUUGUGCAUAGGUCCUUAUAUUUAUGUUGAAAAUGAGGGUAGGACAAAUGCAGGAUAGUCGAAAAUAACGGAACUGUUAUAAACUUAGGAAAAUUUGGAGAGAAUUUAGAGGAAGGAAACAAUGAUUAUCAAGAGAUCCACCGUGAGUUUCAUCUUUUCUGUUCUUCUUGUUCUUUCUCAUUAAUCUUAGAGGCCUAUUUAUAGGCAUAGGAAAAUACUGUCACAUCCUGUGAUCGACUUGUCCGCUUUGAACCCCUAGUUAUGCCCUCACGGUUUUGUUUAUUGGAACUCAUGAGUAACUUCCCAGUGGGUCACCAAUCGUGAGAUUGCUCUAGCCUCAACUCGCUUAACUUUGGAGUUCCUAUGACUUCUAAAAGCCCAAAAGACCUCGUGCUAGAUGGAGGUGGGCAUGUACAUAUACGACACAUCACCCCCUCUCCGUUGGUCAAUGUGGGAUGUAAUCCACACCCUUAAGUAGCCCGACGUCCUCGUCGGCACACUCGCACCAUACAGCAGAGUGACUCUGAUACCAAAUUGUCACAUCCCGGUAUCGGCUCUGCCGUAGCAAUAUAUUGUCCGCUUUGGGUCCCAUCUUUGCCCUCAUGGUUUUGUUUCUUGGAACUCACGAGUAACUUCCCAGUAGGUCACCCAUCCUAUGAUUGCUCUAGCCCCAACUCGCUUAACUUCGGAGUUCCUAUGACUCCGAAGCCAGUGUACUCCCAACAAGCCUCGUGCUAGAUGAAGGUGGGCAUAUACAUAUAAGGCACAUCACCCCCUCUCCGUUGGUCAAUGUGAGAUGUUACAAAUACAUAAAAAUUACUACCAUAAGUGGUAGGCUUCAAUCGCAUUGGUAGGUUUGGUACUUUUACAUAGACAUUUGGUAGGCAUAGUUAGGGAUGAAGAUACAGUAGGAAUGGUGGGCAUCCAUCUUAAUUUUGGAUUUCCAACACUCCCCCUUGGAUGUCCAAUAUACAUGGAAUAUGCUUCAUUAAAAAUCUUGACAGUAAAACUCAGUGGAACAAAAACUGGUGAAGGAAAAAAGAUUACAUAACUAUGUGUAACACAAUCGUUUAUAGAACACUGACACGCGUGCGAUACUGCAUCGUUAAAACCUUACUAAGAAAAAUCCAGUAAGACAAAACACCUGAACGAAAGAAAAAGAAUACAAUGUGUAAAGUCAUGUAAGACCGAUACCCUCCCUAUAUGAAAGACCGAUGUCAGACAGACAGACUCAUGUGGGAUCUGUAAAGUCGUGUAAUAUUAGAGGAAUAAACAUAAUAAAUUAGGUUGUGUAAAGUCAUGUAAGACCGAUACCCUCCCUAUAUGAAUGACCGAUGUCAGACAGACAGACUCAUGUGGGAUCUGUAAAGUCAUGUAAUAUUAGAGGAAUAAACAUAAUAAAUUAGGUUCCCAUCGCCUCAAUCCCUUCUACAUGGCAAGGGUCGGCAUGCAUGUGACGCGGAAGAAAUAUAACUUAGGUACUUGUAUCAAAAUAAUGACACAUUUGACAUAUUUUAAUUACCUUCUUAUCAUACAAUUAUAUUAAAAUAAAUAUGUUAUAAGCUGCUUGUAACGACUUCAACCUCAUCUAAAAGUACUAUAGAAUCAUAGUUCUCCUUAAUCCUUACUUAAGUAACACCACUCUCUAUAAUUCAGCAAGAGACUUGUAGUUCAAGUAGUUAAGAAUAUCUACUCAUGUAUAUGAUGUUUUAAGUUCGAUUUCUCCCUCUCUAAUAAAUUAUGGUCAAAAAAUGCAAAAUAGUAUUUGAAAAUAAUUGGUGGAUGGCCUAAUUAACUAUUCAAGAAGACCAUAAUAACUUGGUCAAGAGUCAAGAUCCAGUUUAGGGCGUUCUUUGACACAUCAUCUCCACUUAAUUUCUUAAUUCUCCUUAAUUAGGGUGCUACAUAUGAUUGAUUAGAUUAAUUAUUCAUACUUAGCGGUCACACAGGUACACAUUUGGAAGUAACUAUCCCAAAUAUUCAUUUGUACGUUGCCCCUUGGUGAUUUUGGAAUGGUAUAUGUUGAUUUUAACUUCAGUUUGUAUAUAUAAUAUACACCUUGGUGAUUUUGGAAUGUUAUAUGUUGAUCUUAAAUAGUCUGAAAUAUCGAUAAUAUCGAGGAAAUAUCGAGGAUAUUUCGAUUUUUUUGAAUCAUGGAUAUUUCGGAACAUAUCCAUGUACAUAUCGUAUAAAUAUCGACAAUAUCGACGAUAAUAUCGGAAAAUAUCGAUGUCGAUAAUUUCGCUCACAUUUCAGCAAUAUUUUGUCAAAAUAUCGGUGUAAUAUCGCUAAAAUAUCGAAAAUAUCGAUGUGAAGGAAAAAAAAAGUUUUUUAAAAAAAAAAGGGAAAAAGGGGAGAAAAAAGCACAAAGGGAAUAUGAACCCCUCCUAUUUUACUCCUCCAACACCUUAAACACCAUAUCACUUAUGUUUUUGUGAUAGUAUGCUAAAAUAUUUAUAUUUAUAUGGGUGGUAUGUUAACAAUUACAUGCAAAACUAUUUUGGGGAUUUAUCAUUUGAUGACUACUCUUCACAAUACACUUACUCUACACAUAGAGAUGAUGAAGAUAGUGAAAAAUUUGAACCUCUUAGGAACUUUAUGUGGUAUUAAGUCACUCAUGUAUCUUACCAUGCAAUGUAUAAAGUGUUAAAUAUUAUAGUAAAUCAUUAUAUAUAAAUGAUUACGGUGUAUUUAAUCUUUUUUCAUUAAUUAUUACAUAUUUUUUACACUCAUAGUGUUUGCCCGCUUACUGUAUAAUCAACUUAAAUUAGUUAAAUCCAUCAUGCAAUGCAUUUUCUUCUAAUUUUUUGUGAUAAACUCAUAGAUAAUUGACUAAAUAAACAUUCUCCAAAGUUUCAAUAAAAAUUUCCAAGUUUUUCUUACAAUUUCCGUGGUUUUUAUUCAAUUUUUAUCGAUAUCGAUAAUAUCCCGAUAUUUCCAUCGAAAUUUCCAUAUUUUUGGACUACCGAUAUUUCCGAUAUCAUCGAUAUUUUAGACCUUGAUGUUAACUAAAGUUUGUAUAUAUGAUACAUAUUUUACGCCUUCACUCCAAAUUGCAUCAGGCGUUAUUUGACGCAAUAGUAUAAUUACUCUGUGAGUGUGACCCUAGCUAUCUUUAAUCUAUUAUGUAUAUUGGCACAUCACCAUCCAUUUUCUUGAAUUGGAUAUAUUUUGCAUAUCUGAUCUCUACUUCUUAGAAUCAAAUCUAGGAUUAGGGGGUUUAAUUAAGGGAGAUUCAUUAUUAUAUCCAAUAUGGAAUAUGGGGGCCCAAAUUAUAAAAAUGCCUCAUAUGAAAUGGACUUUAGAAACACACCUAAAGCCCAUUUAUAACAUAACAAAAAAGCUUUUAACUUCUUAUAAAUUACAAAACUGCCAUCAAUUUCUUAAAACAAGCCCAACCCCAAAAUCUCAUAAAAUACCCAAAACACUCAAUAUGACAUUAAAGUAAUUUAAUAAUUAAUAUUAAAUUCAAUAAGGUCAGCUACCAUUUUUUGGGUUUUUUUUGGGUUUGUUUAUAGAAAUUCAAUUGUGUAGGGUUUAUUUAUAAUAUUAGUGCUAGAAAUGGAUAUAUCACUAAAUAUCUCUUUAAUUAAUUGUUGUGCCGAGGCAACAAAAAUAAAUGACCAAAACAGAGAGAGACAUUUGAUGAAGUUGCAUUUUUUCGGUGUAGAAAUAUGUUGUCAAGGGUUUAUGGUACAAUUAUUGUACAUUGUUAUAAUUUUGGUAGACUCGUUACAUGGCAUAAAAUUUUGGAUAAAAAUUAUUAACAGAAGUGAAACCCUCGACACAACAUAAAAUUGUAGACCAAAUCAUUAAUAAAGGUGAAAUCUACUUUUUUAUUUAUUUAAAGCGAUAGUUUGAAUAUUCUAAAUUAGUCUAUUUUACGACGAGGGGGACUCGAACUUAAGUACAAGGGGAGGAUUCACUAGCCUAACUAACUGACCGAACUCACACCUACAUAUGACGAAUAUAUAAAAUAGAGAUCUACUAGACGACGCUCGCCUAUGACGAAUAUAUAGAGAUCUACUCCAUAAUAAUCUGCUACAAAUAGUUUUUACUAUUUUCGGUGACUUUAGUAACUUGAUUGCCGUCCGCAUAUGUGGUACCCUAGAUGACAGCGUGGCCCAACCAUUCUCCAAGUGCAAGUCCUUUGUGGUGCCUAAACCAAGUUACAAACUUACUGUACUCUUCUUCCCUCACGAUAUCCAUAGAUGUACUAUAUAUAUAUAUGGUACUCUUUGUCUUUUCGGUCACUUUAAUGAUGUAAAAGCUGGCUCCUAGCUGUUUGAUUCCUUGUGCUUGGAUAUGGGUAUUUGUGUGAAUGCCCCAACUUUCAUCUGCCUAGCUAUUAGCCUAUUCGUAUUCAUCUGCAUCAUCAGCUUAACUAUAUAUAUGCAUAUAUGAUAUACCAACUUGUUUUUACGUACUCUUGAGUUAGUGGUAUUUCUAUUCCCAACAUUAGAAGAUGUCUCAAGUUUGAAUCCUUCUCUCUAAUAUUUAAAAAUAAAAAACAAAAAAGCUUAACCCUAUAAUUACCAAAGAUAUUCAUAUCGUUGUAAAAGUUUGAAGGUGGAGCCCACAGAGGAAGUUCCUUGCAUCUUCCAGGAACUUUCCCUUCCCUGUAUUUAUCAAUUCAGGAAGUUUCCUUGCAUCUUCCAGGGUUCCUGUAUUUAUCAAUUCAGGAAGUUUUAAAUUGGAGAAGCCAUCCCUUCCCUUCCCUGUAUUUUACCAAAACCUUAGCCUAUAAAUAUGCUUGCUCAUUCACUUGUAAGACACACCAAAAUGAAGAGAAGAAUGAGUGAGGAAAGAAAGAAAGGAAGAGAAGGAAGAAAGAGGGUGAGUAAGUAGAGAGAAAAAUAGAGUGGAGAGAAAUUUCUCCAAGAGAGAAAAAUUAGUGAGCCACAUAUAUUGUAAACACUAAAGUUGUAGCCCUAUUAUUUUACGUGCAGCUCAACCUCGUUAAAUGCUGUGUCUCAUCUACUUUACGUGCAGCUCAAUAUUCAUACAUAUUCCAGGUUAUUUUUACAACACGUUAUCAGCACGAGAAGCUAUCAGGUAUAAUUUUUGUGCUGCACUAUUAUCUAUACUACUAACCAUUAACAAAAAUGGACCCUCGGUAAUACUAAACAUAUUAUCAGUGGGAGACCGUUACUAAUACUAAUGUUUAUUUUAUGAAUUUAAUUUACUGCACAUUUACAUUUAUUUAAAAGGGUGGUGCGGGUUUAUCGUCCACGCCUUUACUUUUAUUUAAAUGUAUGGAGCAGAAUUAGUGCCCAUACAAGCACCUUUACUUUAUCGCAAAUUUACUUUACCGUACAUUUAUUUUAUUUACUGUAUGGUGUAGGUUUAUUACCCAUACAACAGUAUUUAUUUAAAAGGGUGGUGCGGGUUUAUCGUCCAUGCCUUUACUGUUAUUUAAAUAUAUGGAGCAGAAUUAGUGCCCAUACAAGCACGUUUACUUUACCGCACAUUUAAUUUUAUUUAAGGUAUGGUGCGGGAUUAACGUCCAUACAGCAAGCAAUUUAAUUUAUGAAUUUAUUUUACCGCACAUUUACAUUUAUUUAAAGUGUGGUGCGGGUUUAUCGUCCAUACCAUUAAUUUAAUUACCAGUAAUUUAUUAUAUGGAUUAAAUGUGCUGUAUGAUGAGUUUUACAGUAUGCAGAUCUGGACCAGAAGUUCCUUGAUCCUCAUCAUACAAUUACAUCAGGACUUGAAGAUCCUUGAUGAUGAUAUUAAUAUGAGAGCUGACAGUCUCUCCGGUACUGUAUUUGUAAACAUGGGUCCUUGAUCCCUGACAUGUAAAUAAGGACCUAGAGUUCCUUAAUGAUGUAACAGUACCGUAUUGGUUCAUAGUGCCAUACACAUUGAUGAUAACUGUACUGGCAGAUGAAUAGAUACGUAUUCAUGACUUGAUGAAUAGUACUAUUCACAUGAAUAGUGACGUAUGCAUAAAUAUGAACCAUUUUGGGUAAACCGUCACUAUAUACAAAAGGGAACCUGCAGUUCCUUAAACUCAUGGAUGAGCAAUUAAAUGAGAUGCCAGAAGUUCAUCAAAAUAUGGACAAUUAUGUAAGGGAUUGAAGUCCCAAAAUAUGUACAGAAAAUUGUAAAAAUGUCCAUACCAUGAGAAUAUGUGGCUUUGGCCUGAAGUUCAAAAAUUCAAUAGUGUUGAGAACCUGAAGUUCCAACAAUUAAAUGGACAAUCCUUGAGGUAUUAUUGCAAAUUGUGGUAUGCCACAUAUUUCUUUGGCAUAAGAAGAUGAUGAAUUUAAAGUUCGAUUUUGUUACAAUCGACACCUCAAGGAUGAAAUAUAUUUUGUGAAUUCCGGUUGUUAAGAAUACACCGCGAAAUGGAUAAUAUCAAUAUAAACCUCAAAUAAUGAAUUGAGACUCCCCACAUAUUUUGUUAUAUCUGGGCCGGAAGCCCAUGGAUCCAAAUAUAUGAGAGAUCCUAAACUUGAAGUUGUGGGUAUAUAGUAGUUAAUGCUCUUCACUACUAUAUUGCGAUAUUAUCAUGGCUUUUACUCAAUUCAUAUUUCAUGUCCAUUUGAAAAGGGCAAAUAAAUUCUGAGUUUGUGCCCAUGCCAAAAGUUCCGGGCUACCAUGCAAUUUGGGAUAGACAAUGUGGUUAUUUGAAUCUAUAAGGCACAAGGUUCCAAACCGUCAUUUUGAAAAGACGUAAAAACCACAGGUGCAAGUUUAAGAAUGUGCGCAAUUAUUAUUACAGGAACAUACAACAGAUAGAUUUUUUCCACCUGCAAUAAAGGUGCAGGCCCUGUAAAAUCUAUAAAAUUACAUUAUGUUCUGGAAGCCUCUGAAGGAAGAGAACGGCGCCUCUUAAGCUUGGCCAUGAGCUUCUCGUGGUCUCCCAAAAUUCUUUCAUUGGAGACCUGUAGCAUGUCUAGCCGUCUCAGUGUAUCAACAGAGUACGAACUCACUAGUUUCAACAAGGAAUUAUUCUCUCCUUUAAGUUUCUCAACCUCCUGUUGAGACUCAUGAAGCAUUCUUUGGAGAGACGAAUUUUCAGUAGCUAACCUCUCAACCUCGUUUGCUCUAGCACGCAAACGAUCAGCCAUGUUAGAAACAGAAGCAGCACUCUGAAUGCUAAAAGCCAUUGAGUCAUCAAUAGCCUCUUCCUCUGAUCUCCCUGUCAACAACAUUUCAUCCAUUGGAGUAAUGAAAUUCCUAGCUACUAUGACAGCAGUAGCAUCAUUCAUCAUCACAGAAUCAUUAACUGUGAGAUGACGAUUUUUGGAUACAAAAGAUGGACGCCAAACUUGGGCGUCACUGGUUGUUGUGGGAGCAUCAUUUAAAUUGAAAUAAUUUGGGCAGGAAGAAGAGGAAGCCAUUUUUUUUUAAGAAGGUUUCGAAGAAAGUCUUAGGAAAACUAAAGUUUCAGAAAAUAAAGAAAUUUGAGUUGAAACGCAGUUGCUCCAAUCAAAUUUUUGCAAAGGCCAUAUCUAUAGGAGGAAAUAUGGCUACUGUUUUUCAGGACCCCAAUAUCUUCUCGAAUCCCCAUAUUAUCUUUUUCUUUCCUAGAGUCCAAAACUUCACGUGGCCUCUAAUAAUGCCUGUCGGCACUUUCGGCGUUUUUCAAAGUAUUAUUUUCAAAGCCGAUCUUGCUUUACGGAUUUCACGGAGCUACUUUUUCAAAAGUAUCCCGAGAAUCUCGCAAUUUUCCUAUGGUUAAUUUGAAAUUCACCGGUUCUACCUAUUCAUUGUAUUUGUGUAUAAAUGUGUUACGAACGAAAUUUUCUUUGCAGAAGACAUCCAGUUUACUCCAUACCUAGUGAUGCGAUAUCUACUUGUUUUUCUUAUCAGUGAGCACUCAAUAUGCCUGAGAAGCAAGACUAUCCCUGAUCACGUUUCCACUACAUCAAGAAACUGUGAAGGCGAUCUUAUGCUCUAAUCUUCGGGAGUCCUUCUAGACUAGGAGAUAUGAGAGCUUAUUGUCUGCUCCCACCAGCUUCCUUCCCUGAUUGCUUACCUUCUCUUGCAAUCAAUAUCACAUUAUUUUUGCAUUUUUUUCCUCUUUUUAUAACUCUCUGUUCAUAAGAGAUUUUAUUUCUUUAGAAUGAACAUCUGAAGAAUGAAUCCAUGAAGUAAUCAUAACUAUGAGGGUUAUUUGUUUUGACAGAGGCAAAAGAGUUGUGAUUUUUGCUUUUGCAGGAUAUAACUAGAUCAUCAAGCGCUACAUUAUAUUUACUGGGCUGAUAUGAGCUUGAAUGAUACUUGAGAAAAGUUUUUCCCACCUAAGGAUGUAAGCAAUACUUGUGUUAUUUUAUGCUUAUAUACCUAUUUGAUAUUUUAUCUUGAAAGGUAACCAAAUGGGAAGAUAAGUCCGUUCCAAAAGAAUGGCUUGUAUGUAUCUAUGAAUUAUUAAUGCAAAUUUUACAGAUUGCAAGUUGGAUACAUUGAUAAUACACUGCACAGAUUAAAGUCCCAUAAGAACAUAACAUGGGUAUAGCAGUGAUCAAUAUGAUGCACGCCUGUUGCGUAGCAAAUGAUGUGGAUUGAAGUCCCGAAAGGACAAUCCUUUGACAUGUCAAUAUUGAUAUUAUGCACGCCUAAUGCGUAGCAAAUUAUAUGGGUUAAAGUCCCAUAAUACGGGUUAAAGUCCCAGAAAUUAAUUGACAUGUAUGUAUUAAUCUGUGGCAUGCCUGCAGCAUGACAGAUAUAUGGGUUCUAAAUGUUCCAACUCCCUAAAUGGAGAUUUUCCACGCCCUAUGUAAAAUAACGCUCCAUUGGAGGUUAUAAUCCACAUUCUCACAUAAUAAAAGCCCCAUGAAGUGGCUUGGGUACCCAAAAGCAAAAGAAAUGCUUAUAAUUGAUGCAUGCGCAUGAACAUGAGAAUUGUGAGAUUAUGAAUUGAUGAAUGACAAUUUUUGGUUUUGGAGUAGCUACUCAAAUCAUCAAUGGGCUGUGUUGAUUGGAACCACGUUCAAUUAUUAAAUGUCGACAAUAUCAUUGGCCAAAAUGGAACGAGGUAAUUCCAUUAUAAAUGAGAAUGAACGUGAAAGAACAAACCCACAAUACGAACCCCAAAAUUUGUUAAUACUAAAAGUUAUAUUUGGGUGUUCGGAAUAAAAGGAAAUAUAUCUACUUUGUAUGACACACUGUUUCUGGCAGAAACAAGGAAUGUUGGGUUUUCUCCAUAUUUACAGAUUCAAUUGUGCCCCCCUUAUUACACAAUUACGAAGACCAACAUAUUAUCUUUAAGGGUUAUUAAUGCACAGAGCAUAUCGCCAGAAGCGAUUUCCUAAAGAUGUAUAAAUAGCUGGGUAAAAGCUAUAUAAUGUGUCAUAAAGUUUAAUCCCUUUUAACCAAAAUCCGUUGAGAGGAUUGAUAUUGCAUAGAGAAAGUCCCUAAAGGACAUGUGCUUGAAGCACAAAAUUUGUACUCAAUAUUAAUAUGCAUAAAUUACCUCAGUGAGUACAUUGAUUAUAAUGUGAUUGCAACACAUUAAAGCUUCUGCAGAAUUCAUGAAAUAUUUGUCUCGAUCGAGCAUUAUGCCAACGAGAUUCUUGCUUAUACUAAGAAAGUAUUAAAGUAUUUUUAUGAGGAUUAUCCGUUGGACACUUUAAUGAUUUUCCGAAAGUAUAUUGGACCGGACAUCAUAUUUUCCAGAUAGGGCUCAACUCCAUCACCAUCAUUUUGGGAUGAUGUGAGGUAUAUUUGAUGCUAUCUAAGCAUAACACCAUAUACGGGCAUAUUUUUUUAGUGAACUUAUAAAUAGCCCAAGUGUUCUAAGAUAUGCGGACUCAGGAAAUCUCUAUGGUCGCUUACUGGAAAAAGCUAGUCAUGAAGUUUUCAGGGGGAGAUAUUCAUCAGGGGGAGCAUGGUAUUAAUAACGACUUUCAUACACUAUUGACUCACAGCAGCAGUGUCAACUAUGAUAUUCAGACAGAUGAUCAACAGUAUGGCUUAAAGAUAUUUUGCCAAACAUCAGGGGGAGCGUGCUGUCAAUACAGACCCUUACACACUGUACUCUUUUUCCUUCAUCCAGAUUUUUAUCCCACUGGGUUUUUCCUGGCAAGGUUUUAACGAGGCAGUGUCGCACGCGCGUCAAUAUACACAGAAUUUUAUGUUACAUGUGAUUAUGUACUCUUUUUCCCUUCGACCAGUUUUUGUCCUACUGGGUUUUUACUGGCAAGGUUUUUAACGAGGCAUAUUCCAUAUCAUUUGUGGUCUCCAAGGGGGAGUGUUGUAAAAGUUUGAAGGUGGAGCCCACAGAGGAAGUUUCCUUGCAUCUUCCAGGAACUUUCCCUUCCCUGUAUUUAUCAAUUCAGGAAGUUUCCUUGCAUCUUCCAGGAACCUUCCCUUCCCUGUAUUUUACCAAAACCUUAGCCUAUAAAUAUGCUUGCUCAUUCACUUGUAAGACACACCAAAAUGAAGAGAAGAAUGAGUGAGGAAAGAAAGAAAGGAAGAGAAGGAAGAAAGAGGGUUAGUAAGUAGAGAGAAAAAUAGAGUGGAGAGAAAUUUCUCCAAGAGAGAAAAAUUAGUGAGCCACAUAUAUUGUAAACACUAAAGUUGUAGCCCUAUUAUUUUACAUAGUGGAAAAGUUACUACUGCUGCUCUCCGGGGACGUAGGCAUAACCGAACCUCGUUAAAUGCUGUGUCUCAUCUACUUUACGUGCAGCUCAAUAAUCAUACAUAUUCCAGGUUAUUUUUACAACACAUAUCAAAUUUUCUCAUUGAAUGAGGUUUCUAGAGUGGCUCCCAAACUGAAUAAAUGAAAUAUUUUAAAUUUAGUGAACAAAUUUGAUGAUUCUAGCAAACUUCUAUAAUUAUAUACAUGUGAGGAACAUUAUAUUUUCAAUGUGCACUUUUUAUAUAUACAUAUAUAAUUAUUCAUUAAUAUAACGUACUCUGAAAUUUAUAUGAAAACAAGAGGAUGGAACCAACUAUAGUUGUGCGUUUAGUGAUUUUUAUCUUCCCAAUGUUGGAAGAGAUCCCAAAUUCGAAACCUCCCUCCUUCAUAAAUUAAAAAAGAAAAAAAAAAAGAAAGAAAAAGAAACAGAAACAGGAGCAUGGAAUAAGACUCUUAAUAAUGAACCCAUAUAAAGUCUUCAUGGAUUAAAGCAAAUACAUAACAAAACAACACACAGCUUUCAUAUAUACAAGGUUGAAAAUUUUAAAAACAUUAAAACUUCAUGUACAUUCUUCUUUAAUAAAGCGAAUAAGUUUCCAUGAGUACCACUCAUUCAUCAUUAUAGCAAUCAAUCAUGCUCGUCCUUAGGUGAAAGUACUAAAAUGCCCUUAUACGUAUUUUGUGUUUAUCUGCACAUAUAAAAUAUCUAUAUGCCUCUAAAUGUGCUAAAAACAUGUUUCUCAUUCAUGUGGUGAUUUUUUUUUAUAUAUAAUUUAGUUAAUGUAUUUUGAAAUAUUUGAAUUUUGUGUGAAAUUACCAAAAUGCCACUAUGUGUUUUUUAAAGAAAGAAAUGAAAAUAAAGUUUAAAAAAAAAACAUCAGAUUUUAAAACAUGAGGUAAACCUACCAGAGUUAUAUCUGGAGCGUUCAAAAUAUGCCAAACACACAAUUGCAAAGCUUUAAACACCCCACUUGGCCUUUAACCAUACAUCGUAACCAAGCAACUUUGAGAGCAACUCAAGUUCAUUUUCAACUACUUCUUAGCCUAUAAAAGGGCAGCUAGUGUUCAUCUCAUUACAAACUACAACCCAAGGAAAGAAAUCAUACAUAAACAAAGUUCGAUUGCGAGAAAAGUUUAGUUAAAGGCACCUCCCUCAACCACUUCCAUUUGUGCACUAGUGAAGCUCAAAUUCGAAUCCAUGCUUUCAACCUGCUCAUCACCACUUCAGAAACAUCUAGUGUAAGUAUAUGAACACCUACGAAUAGUUUUAUUUUGCCUUAAGAAUGGAUCAAACAUGAAAAAAACACUAUUUUCUCUAUAAAAAAGUCACUUCUAUAAAUUGUUGUUUUCAUGUUUCAAAUUUGAAAAAUAAUUUGUGUCUAAAGAGCUUUAACUUAAUUUACUUUGUUUAUUUUGCGAGCCGAUAGCUUGCAGGAGUUAAAACAAAAUCAAACUCAAUAGCUUGAGCUGCAUCCAACCGAUUCAUAGUAAAAUGUUGGCCCAUUUGACAACAAUAUUUUCAAGCAAACAAGUAAUAGUCUUUAAAAAAAAAAAAAAAAAAAAAACUAACAAGUAAUAGCUGACAACAAUUAUUUACUUAUUUUUUGGACAAAGGCGUGACAACAAUAUUUUAAAAUAGAAUCACAAAGAUAAAAUUCCUAAUUUAUGAGCUUAUAUGCAAAAAUGCCUAAACGAUAUGAACACUUCCAGCAAGAGAGGCUAGCCCAUGCAAGAGGCUCCUAGGUCCCCAAUUCCGUUUCCAAUGGCCAAGGCUUGUCAGGGUAAGCAUUGGGCUCCACCAGCCUGGCAAGCUCAAAGGCAAGACUUGCUUGGGCUGCUGUCUAGGCACGCUCACAUCAUUGUGACAUCAGCAACCAAUUUAAAUACUAAAAAAAAAAAAACUCCCCAAAAUUUCAGAUUUUUUUUUUCUAUAAAUACUUAGCCAUAUUCUUCACAUCCCACACCAAAACUCUAUCAAAUUCCUCAACUCAUAUCUCAUGUGAAUAGUGGUUGUUAAAGACGGUCCUAUGACUUGUACAACCUGGGCUAUAGCCCAGGUGAGUUUUUUUUAUUUAUUUCUUAUAGUUAGUGUUACUGUUAAUCCCAUUUAUAGCAGAAAUAUUAAUUUGAACUAAUUAGAUCAUUGUAGUGUUACCUCUAGUUGCCGUGUGUCUAUCUGACUCUAUCUUUGUGAUGAUAAAUUUUCAUUUUUGAAGUUUCUUAUGAAUUUUCUUUUCUCUUAAAUUCAUUUGUGUUCAUCAUGGUAGACCUUAGCUGGCAUUGUUGGUGUAAAAUAGGCCUUUUAAACAAAUAAAAUAAAAAUUAUAUGUUUUAAAAUUAUAUAUAUACAUAUAUACACACACAUACAUGAUCAAUUCCAUAAGCCUAAAAUCUAAUAGUUCAAUAAGGUAAAUUUAGCCCAUCUCAUUUUAAAAUCCUGGGUCCGUCCUGGUGGUUGCCCUUGGGUUGUUAUGGCAAUGGGUGAGAAUGUAUACAAAAAAAAUUACUAAGGCAGUCACUAUUCAUAUAAACAGUAACUGUCCUUACCUCUCUUUGUCUUUUAUUGAUAAAUGAGUUCUACUCGAGCUGUCUCGUAGUCACAAGAUUUACAAGCCGAACAUAUCAAAACAAAAAUAAACUGUCAUAAACUUGAAUGCAUACAAUACAAUUUGAGGAGGAGAUAAAAAGGAGAGUGGGAAAAGAAAAUGAGAGGGUCUAGCUGUGAGAGAAUUUGCAUUCGCCGUCUGUGAAAUGAAUUCUUUACUUUUGAGGGUUUGGGUUUAGUUGAGGCUUAGCCCAAAUUGUAUACAAGGGCCUUUUCCCUUGAACCUUCAUCCAAGCUGGGUCAGAGUUAUAUCUUCAACAGGCAGCAGCUACCAGAGUUGUCAACCUCCUUUCUCCAACUGAGUCUCUGAAACAUGGCAAACAAAUGGAAGCACACAGCUCUGCUUGUAAUUGACAUGCAGGUCUUUCUCUCUCCCCAAACUCUGAUUUCUGCCAAAAUAAAAUGAAUUGGGUUUUGAAGCGGUUGUGUUUUGCAGCAUGAUUUCGUAGAUGUGGAUGGUCCUAUGCUAGUCAGUGGAGGCAAAGCAAUAGUCCCAAAUGUAAUCAAGGCCGUUCAAAUCGCAAGGCAGCGUGGCAUGCUCGUAGUUUGGGUACCCAACUGUCUUUCCUAUUCCCUUGUUCGUUUUUAGUUGAACUUUCCACUUUCUGCUAACUAGAACAACGAAAAACAUAAGACCCAGGAUUUUAAUACCAAGUACCAACUUUUCUUCUUCCAAUUUUUACUGCCACUAAGAUAAACUUUAAUGUGCAAUUGAGAAAAGGAGUGUAUUUUGAUUUGAUUUUUAAUGUGGGAAGAUAAAAUAUUCACUCAAUUUUACAGUCAAGUUGGAUUUGUAAUGGUUCAUUUUGACAAAUAUGGUAGGUUGUGCGUGAACAUGACCCACUAGGAAGAGAUGUUGAGCUUUUCCGCCGGCACUUAUAUCCUGCUGGGAAGGUUGGUCCAACCGUUAAGGGUCAGUUUGGUGCUGAACUUGUUCAUGGGCUUGUGAUUCAAGAAGGGGAUUAUAAGUUGGUCAAGACACGGUUUAGUGCAUUCUUUGCUACACAUCUUGAUUCAUUUCUUAAGGGUGCUGGAAUUGACAGUUUGGUUGUCACUGGUAAGUGAGAUAUUCAAUUAUGAAAGACCCUAUUGUUUGUUUUGUAGAAUGGUGUUUUUAGUAUUUUGUGUAAGGUUGUAAUUUGUUGGUGUUGGUAUUUUUAGGUGUUCAGACUCCAAACUGCAUUAGGCAGACUGUGUUUGAUGGUGUAGCUUUGGAUUACAAAUCUGUUACAGUUGUUCUUGAUGCCACAGCUGCUGCUACACCUGAAGUACACGCUGGUAUGUGAUUUUUGUUUUUGUGAUGCUAAUGUUAUCGUUGUUCUGUUCCUUUUUCCCCAGAAACUUAUGCCUCAGUAACCAUCUAAUCAUAGCAUAUACAGAAGAAAAAAAAUCUAAUUAUAGGAUUUUCACUACAAAAUUCGGUUAUUAAGGAUGGUUAGGAAUGGUGAUUUCAGGUUGUUUGAUUAAUGUUAUAUGAAGUUGAGGUUGAUCUGGAUCCUGUUGAUAAAUUUUUGUCACGGAUUGGAAAUUGAGGAUGUGAAUAAGUGACUCAUAUCCUUGAUACAUUUGAACUUGAUUCUUAGUAUGGGCUGAUUCGGAGUAUUGAUCGCUUGUACGGUGUUAAUUUGUUUGAGAUUAGGUAGAUAGAUUUUAUCUCUUGUUAUUUCAUCAUUAUGCAUGCAAAUGCUGAAAUAAUCCUUUUUGAAACCUAUUUUUCAGUUUAAAAGAAUUCAGGAUAUGUUAAUAGAAGGAAAAAGUAGGAAACUUCGAAUACCACUGAUAUGCCCUCUUUAACUCAAAUACCUCCUCAUGUGUCAACAUUGAACCCAAAAUUAUAUUCUCAAGUACCAUUAGAUAUAGACUAGUAGUGUGACUACGGAAUUCCCAUAGAAAACUACAAGCCUUCACCCUUUCCUGGUGGAAACAGAGUCAGAAGAAAAAUGAAACUUAGAAGAGAUAAGGUGGUGGGGACAGUUUAAGAAUUGGAUUUUUCUUUUGAUGGUCAGAAUUGAUACCUUUAAGUAUCCAAAUAGCUAAUGCGUAAUGUAAAGGAAACUCUACAAAGACAAACCAAGGAGAUCUUGUAACUAUGAUUGUCUUUUGGAUGAUUUGUAGGCGUGCAUGUUGAAAUUAGGACCUUGGCUAGUAAAUUUCUCUGCUAUCUUUUCUUAUUCCUUACUGAAGGCAAGGAAAAGCUUUUGAAUUAGCUGUAUGUAUGAUUCAAUUGAUAUGAUUUUAAAUUUUCUACCAUAAUCACUUUUGCAUGAAGAAAUCUGACUCUGUGGGGAUGCCUAUGGGGCUAUCAUCACUGGAAUAUGCCAUUUAUACUUCUUUUCUUCAAUGCUAGUGCAUGUGACCCAUGUCUAUCAUCGUCCAAAUUUUGGUGUGCCAAGCAAUAUCUUCAAUGAUCCUUCUUUUAAGCACAGCAAAGUGUUCUCUUUUUACAGAGUAUGCUGUUCUGUGACUUUCAUACUGUCAAUGUGAUCCAUUGAUCAGAUGGGUUAUACAUGUGAGACCGUUUCACAAGAGAAUAUUACCCUUAAAAGAUGUAUCAUAUAGGAAACCUGUUUAGUCCGUUAUAGUUUUUUUUAAUAAUUCUGAUUGUAUUUGAAGAUGGAUUGUCGAAUGAUAGCCAUGACUGACUAGCCCAAAUUCUCUGAACCAGCCAAUAUAUUGGACAUGAAGAACAUUGGAGUUGCAACACCAACCUUACAAGAAUGGUGUGAAUCUGAUGAUUGAUCCUUCUGGUAACCAAAUAGGUUUCCUUCUGCUUGAUUGUUGCAAUAAGACGGUCCUGUAGACGUGCAUUUUGAUGAAAGAAUGGCUUUCCUUCCUUUUCUUUGACUGUAUAUUGAGUGUCUUAACAUUUCACACAAUAAGCCCCUUCUACAACUUCAAUCUGCACUGUCAUUGAUCGAUUUACAAAGUGACACAGUAGGUUACAUGUCAGUAAAAGUCCGCCGGAGUGCGAUGUGUCCCCAGAUAUAUAGGGGCUGAGGGUACCAUGACACGUGUGUAAAAGUAUUCAUAUAAAUAUCAUGAUCUUUUUCACAUUCUUGAUUCUCUUACAAGUUUUCUUGAACAUAAUAUAUGUUCGGACUGUCAACCUAGACCAUUGAUCAUAAGAGAUGUUUAUAUAAUCUUGUCAUAUAUGCUAUAGCAAUGUAUCCUUCUAGCUCAGUGUCACUCUCCAUGUUCAAUGGUGGCAGGCAGUGGCAAGGUUUUGGGCGAUGAACACAUAUUAUUGGGCAUCUAUGGCACUUAACUUGCAGAAUACAGAUGUGUUGAUAACUAAAUGCAUUUACUAGAGAGGAAAUGGAGCUUAGAAAAAUCAAUUGCAACUAUGGGAGUUAAAUUCGAAGACCUUGCUAAGGGCAUCCCUUCGCAUUGCACCUUGCUUUGAACCAAAACCAGUGGCGACCAGUACUUGACGCAGUAUUUCUGUCCAUGUUAAUAGAGUGUAUAGCCUCCUGGCCAUACUAAAAACAAAAUUCGUAUAGCCACCCGGCUAUACUAUUUUUGACACGUGGCAAUAUGGCACCAGGCGACAGGCGGUCAAAUUGUAUAGCCAUGCGGCUAUACGACGGUUUUUAUUAUAGUAUAGCCGCGUGCCUAUACUAUUUUGCAUACAUGGCGAAAUGGGCGGGGGGGCUUUUUAAAAAUAAAUAGUAUGGCCAAGGGACCAUACCCCUCUGGAUACUUAGAGUAUAGCCGACCGGCCAUACCAGUAGUUUUGGGAAGAGUUCCAUUAAUAUGAAUUUCAGAAAUGCUUGCCUCUUCUACGAAUGGCAGAUGUCCCAAGGACAAUGGAAUUGGACCUGAUAUUGAAUUACUUGAAAGAGCAAGGAGGCGUAAAUGUCUGAAAUUUCCUAGCUGAUCGAAUAGGGGACCUGAGAAAUCAUUUGUUGACAGCUUCAGUGACUCCAUUUGACCUGAACUACACCUUGACAAGCUUCCCAAUAUUUCUGAUACGCUUCCAUUGAAAUAGUUCCUUGACAGAUCAAGAACCGUCAACUUACAAAGAUUUCGCAAUGAGUUUGGGAUUUUCCCUUCAAGUUGAUUAGCAGACGAGUCAAGAUUGACAAUGGCUGUCAAGUUUCCAAUGCAACUUGAAAUUUCACCUCGCAAGAGAUUCAAAUAAAGGGAUAGGGACUCAAGAUUGCUACAAGUGUACAACCAUUGAGGUAUGGUACCCCAGAUGAUGUUCCACCUGAGAUUAAGAACUUUAAGCCAUGUCGUGUUUUGCAACACCGACUGGUUUUUAAUUGAGUUCACAACCAGACAUAUGCAACUCUACCAGCAUAGAGGGAGUAUGUUUGUCACCUGAAACCAAUCAGAUGCUUUGCUAAGAUCUACACGACUCAGGUCUAGGUUCUGCAAGCUCGAAAGACCAGAAAGCCAAUGGAGAUUCUUAACCUUCAUCCAGUAGUAGCUUUUACUCAGGAGUCCUAGAGAGCGCAGACCCGAGAGAUUUCCCAAUUGAUGCGGAAUUUAAGAUAUCUUAAACUUUUAAGAGAACCUAAGAAGCUAGGAAUCUGUAUUCCUCCAAAAUCAUUGUUGCUUAGAUCCAAGUAGCUCAGAUGCUUUAAAUUUAGUAGAGAAGUAUUUACCUUGCCCCCCAAAUAGUUUUCUUGAUGCAAACUGUAAUUCAAAUACUCAUCUGAAUAAUAAUUUCCAAGGUGCAGCUCACGGACAUGACCGGUUAAAUUGUCGCACACAACUCCAGUCCAAUUGCAACAAUCUCCCUCACCAACCCUAGAUAAAAGCUUAUUUGAAGGAUCCUUAAUAUCUUGCUUGAACAUUAGAAGUGCUUGUCUCUCAUUUUGUUCACAAGGCACACCCAAAUUUCCAUUGCAUAAGCUAAUGGUUGCAAUGCUUGGAAAUCUGAAAACUGAAACAAUUCUCAUGGCUUUGUCCAUGAGGUUAUGUCUUAACAGGUGAUGUGUGUGAGCAAUAUAACUCAUUUAGAAUGGUGCAAUAUAUACAAACACUACUACACUAGAAUUGAGAGUGAAGGUCUAAACUCAAUAUUUUUUUUCAAAAUCAUUUUCAAAAAUGGUGAACAAAGUCGUUGAGUACGUGUGCUCUACCAAACAACUCAAUAGGACUUGAAGUCCAAGUCAGUCCAGUCUAACACUCCAAGGGGUCGUUUGGUACACAGGCUUGGCUUGGACUAAAUUUAGUACCAUGUUUGUUUCAUUAAAUUCUAGUCUUAGAUGAGAUUGCUAAUACCGGGCCCACCAAAAAUACCUCAUUAGGAGGGGACUACUAAACCCAUGUAGAAAGGGAGGAUUAACUAGUCCUAUGUUCACCAAUGUAUAAGAUGCAUAUAUUAUAUUGUAAUACUAAUAACAUAUAUUAUUAUUAUUAUUAUUAUUAUUAUUAUUAUUAUUAUUAUUAUUAUUAUUAUUAUUACAUACACAUAUACUAUAAUGUACAUAUAUACAUGUAUAUACACAUAUACAUGUAUAUAUAUAUAUAUAUAAACACAUAUAUACAUAUAUAAUAUAUAUAUAAAUACAUAUAGAUAUAUACACAUAUAUUAUUAUUAUAAUAUACUCAUAUACACAUACAUAUUAAUAUUACAAUAAUACAUACAUGUAUACAUGUAUAUAUGUAUAUGUACAUUAAUAUAUAUAAACACAUAUAUACAUAUAUAAUAUAUAAAUACAUAUAGAUAUAUACACGUAUAUUAUUAUUAUAACAUACUCAUAUACACAUACAUAUUAAUAUUAUAAUAAUAGCAUACAUGUAUAUAUGUAAUAUAUAUAAGUAUACAUACAUAUAUGUGUAUAUAUAUUAUACCCAUGUAUGUAUUAUAAUAUACAUAUACACACGUAUAUACACAUAUACAUUAUAUAUUUAUACUAUAUGUAUAUAUAUUAUAAUAUACAUAUAUACAUGUAUAUUAUUAUUAUAACAUACCCAUAUAUAUUAUCUAUUAUAAUAUACAUAUAUAUGUAUAUGUAUUAUACCCAUGUAUGUAUUAUAAUAUAUAGAUACGCCUAUAUACACAUAUAUUAUAUACAUGUAUAUACGUAUAUAUAUGUAUAUUAUAAUAUAUAAUAUAUAUACAUAUAAAAUAUAUACAUAUGUAUUUUAUAAUAUAUAUAUAUAUAAUGUAUAUAUAUACAUAUGUAUUUUAUAAUAUAUAUAAUGUAUAUGUAUAUAUACAUACAUAUAUAAUAUACAUAUAUACACGUAUAUACAUGUAUAUUAUUAUUAUUAUUAUAACAUACCCAUAUAUAUUAUAUAUUAUAUUAUACAUACAUAUAUAUAAAUAUAUGUAUAUGUAUUAUACCCAUGUAUAUUAUAAUAUACAUAUAUACACCUAUAUACACUUAUAUAUAUGUAUGUACGUUUAUAUUAUUUAAAAUAUAUAAUAUUAUUAUAAUAUACUUAUAUACUUGUAUAUAUACAUAUAUAUAUAUAUUAUAUGUAUGAAUAUAUACAUAUAUAUUAUAUAUAUUAUAAAAUACAUAUAUACAUAUAUAUAUAUAUAUAUAGAUAUUUUUGAAAAAAUAAAAAAAAUUCUAGUCCUAGUCCCAGCAUACACCAAACGCAGGAUAAGUGUUAUCCAACUUAGACCAAGCCAAGCCAAGCCAAACCAGUCCCUAAACAUAGUCCAUGCCAAGACAGUCCUGUGUACCAAACGAGCCCCAAGUUCAAUCCCAAUAAGUCCAGUUCAGCCCACCAAACGGGGCCUAAAGAGUUGAUUUUGAACAAGUGCAAGCGGCUGUUGAACUUUAGUGAUCUCAAAUAAAUUAGGAAGUUUAGAACUCCAAGAAUUUUAUAUCUCCACAAUUGUCAAUUAUAGUAUUUAGUAUCAAGUUGAGAAGGUAAAAUAAUAGGGAUGUGAUGAGAUCAACAAAAAGCAGGAUAUCCAGAAAACAAUGAGGAAAAAAAGAUGCAGGAGAUCUCCUGCAUACUAAUCAAAUUUCUUACGAGUAAGCAAUUAGUUGAGUUACAAUUAAUCACAUAUUAAUCAACUAAGUUAUCACUUCAUCCAUUUCUUGUAGAAACAAACACCACAAUUUUCAACCAAAUAUGGAAACAAAUAAGCAAAGACGUAUACAUGCAGCAAAAAAAAAAAAAAACAGUAUUGUAUUGAUCUCACAAACGUGGACAUUUUCAAUCUACAUCUUCACAUCACUAGCAAGUAGCAGCAGUGGUAGUGCUCUCCAUUCCCAUUACUGACUGUGACUUGCGAAAGCUUGCAGUUCAUCAUCAUUAUGAUCAAACUGGAUCAUGUCCACCAAAUCAUCAAAACUAGCACGGUUCAGGAAAGCCUAACACAUUGAGUUGAACAUUUUCAGCACCAAGUUCACCACCUGUUUGAUCUUCUGAUGAUAUCCCAAAUCCACUAUUAAUAAUAUUGCCCGAGUCUUCAUCAACUGCAGACUCCUGGAUUAUGGAUGGAUAUGGAUGCGAUCCUCCUCCCAAUGGUUGUGCUGCAAGUGGUUGGAUGUUAUCCAAAUUUGAGAGAUCCUUCAUCAAUGCAUCAACAUCAUCAUCAUCUAGAAAUUGGCUGAGGUCAUAAUUAAAACCUUGUGUUGGUUGAUGAUCAGUGUCACUAAUAAGCUCAAAGCCAUAGUCUGGCUGAGGGAGAGAUGGUGGAGGACUAGUUGAUGCAGAGGCCAUAGUUGUUGGGUAAUCUGUAAGAAAGUAGUGUGGCUGAUUCAUUGGCAAGUACGCAUUCGCACUGGUAGUCUGCUCCUGCUGCUGAUUAUAAUGAUAAUUAACCUCAGAAGCCUCAGAAAUUGGAGUAAAAUUCGCACCUACGACUUCAUCAAUGUUCUUUAGUUGCCUUAGAAUCGUGGUAGGGGAUUGUAGUACUAGAGCAUGACCACCGACGCCAUCAUUCUCUGAUAACUUCCUCUUUCUGUCAUUCUUUCGAAUUUGACAGAGCACGUAUUUACCAUCACCACCACAAGUAUUUGAAUUUGAAUGGGGCUUCACCAAUGAAGGGUGAAGGCUGUACUCGUGCAUAAUCCAGCGGCCAUGUUGAUCAGAUUUAUCAUUCUCAUAACGGAACCUUUUACACAGACCUAAAGGCUUAUUCUUUUUCGCGGGAUCACCGACCAUGGUCCCUCUGUCCUCACCUUUCCAGGUUCCAUUUCCUAUCGUUCGAGCCACGAGGGAACCCUUGCUGGUCACUAACUUCAAUUUGGUGAAGAAGUAGAGGUCUUCACCCUUUUCUAAUUUUUGUCCACCGAAAUCAUUCCAUAUAUCCCAUGGCUCUUUCUUACCAUAAAGAUUAAAUUCUGGCACAACGUUGCUAUACAUAAAUGGUGUGCCACAAACCUUGUUAAGAAGAUAAUAUCUCAAUAACUCAUCAUCGCUUGGAUGAAACUUGAAUCCAAUUGGAACAUCAACAUACUCACAAGGUGCCAUAUAUAAUAAGUACGUGUAAUUUCCUCUUGGAGUUUGCUGGGUUAAAGAUGAAUUGGUUUCUUGGAAUGGAAAGAAAAGGAGUACUUAGGCUGGUUAUGGUUUCUCUGGGACUUUGAGUAGCAGAUAAUGGAUUCUUGAAUGAGUUUCUUGGAGUGAUGUGGGGUAGGGUUUUGUGAUUUCUGUGUGAAUCAGUUCCUUCCUUCCCUUCCAAUAUAUAUAGGGGUAUUACCAGGCCCAGUCCUGGCCCAGGUCGAAUAGGGCAACGGCAAUGAAAAAAAACGUACCCCAAGCAUUUUCAUUAAGAUCUCCCAAAGGAAUUUAUAAUCGUGUUGAAGUAGUUUCUUUAUGUAUGAUGCUCUAUAUAUUCUCACUCCCAAAUCGAAUCCUAUUUUCUCACCCCACCCGCCACCAAACUUUUUAAGAACACUCCCCCUAUCAUUCCAUGAUUGCCCUUUCCCCUUCUUCUUCUUCCACUUCAACCCUAAAAAUAAAACCAAAGAACACAAGGCUGGUGGAUGCAUGAGUAAAUCCAGUCCCCUUCUAUUGAUUCUGGUGGACACCGAAGGUGAUAGAAUUCAUAGAUUUUGGAUGUGUUUGGGAGAGAAAUGAGAGAACGUUGCUCUCUGUGAAAGAACAGAAAAAUUGAAGGAAUGAAGUCAGGUGUAUUUCAUUACAUGCCAAAAAGAGAUAUAUCCGUUGAGGAGAGAGAAGAGAGAUUCUUCUCUAACUGCCUCAAUACAAAACUCAAUCCUAGCCAUUGAACUAUCAUCCUAUAAGAUGAUUACACUUGUCUCAAUCUAACACCUCACUUAAAGAGCCACUUGGACUCUAAUCCAAGGGUCCUUAUUACAAGCAGCAGAAAAACUAAAGUUUUUUUUUAAAAAAAAAAAAAAAAAACUAAACAAUAGAAACAUUUAAAUGAAAUGGAAUUAGGCGGCAAAGGGGAUUUUUGGCUCAGCUCAAAGGGUUACACAUCAACACUCCCUUCUAACCCUUUGACUGAUUUAACUCCAAGCAAAUCUCUGAGGUACACAAAACGUUCCUUGGAUAAAGCCUUGGUUAGGAUGUCUGCAAUUUGAUCUUCAGAUUUGCAGUAGAUUAGCUCAAUUUCCUUUGCUUGGAUAGCUUCUCGGAUGAAAUGAAAUUUCCUGCUUAUGUGCCUGGAUUUCUGAUGAAAGAUAGGAUUCUUUGCCAUUGCUAUGGCAGAUGUGUUGUCACACAGAAUUGGUGUGCCUUCCACUUUCUCCUCUCCAAAAUCUUCAAGUAUAAACUUUAGCCAUUUAGCUUGUGAUGUUGCUUCAGCAGCACUCACAUAUUCUGCUUCAGCAGUAGACAAAGCUACAGUAUUUUGUUUGAUUGAGGCCCAAGAAAACAUGCCAGAUCCCAGAGUGAACACAUAUCCUGAUGUACUUCUUCUGUCAUCUUCACUGCCUGCCCAGUCACUGUCACAGUAGCCAAUUAAGGUAGCUGCCUUGCCCUUUUUAUACUCAACUCCAUAUUCAAGUGUGCCUUGAACAUACCUCAACACUCUUUUGGCUGUUCCCAUGUGCUUUCUAGUAGGAUUAUGCAUAAAUCUAGCAAGCAGACUUGAGGCAAACAUGAUGUCUGGUCUUGUAGCUGUCAGAUACAGCAGGCUGCCUACAAUCUGUCUAUAUUCACUCUCAUCUGCCAUCUCACUUCCAUCUUCUUUGCACAGCCUUUCAUUUGCUACCAAGGGGGUUGCCACUGAUUUACAGCCUUUUAAACCAAAUUUCUCAACCACUUUCAUUGCAUACUUCUUCUGAUGGAGAAAUAUGUAUUUCUCAGUCUGCACAACUCCCAUGCCAAGAAAAUGAUAGAGUAGCCCGAGAUCAGUCAUCUCAUAAUGCCUCAUCAUGUCAUUUUUGAACUCUUCAAGCAUUUUUACACAACUUCCAGUAUAAACAAUAUCAUCCACAUAGAGAGAAACAAUGAGAAUACCUGAGCCUUCAUCAGUUUUAAUGUAAAGUGUAGCUUCACUUGGACUUUUCUUAAAUCCUGCCUUGUUGAAGUAGGAAUCUAUCUCAUCAUACCAUGCCCUUGGGGCUUGUUUUAAUCCAUACAAGGCCUUGUUCAGCUUAUACACUUUGAUUUCUUCAUUCUUUUUCUCAAAACCCUGUGGCUGCUCCACAUAUACUUCUUCUUUUAGAACUCCAUUCAGAAAUGCAGACUUGACAUCCAGUUGGUAUAAAUGACAUUCCUUCUGUGCAGCCAGAGCUAUCAAAGUCCUAAUGGUAUCUAGCCUUGCCACUGGGGCAAACGUCUCAUUGUAAUCGAUUCCAGAUUUUUGUGAGUAGCCUUUAGCUACUAACCGAGCCUUAUUCUUCUGCACAGUGCCAUCUAGAUUAAGCUUGGUCUUAUAGAUCCAUUUGACACCAAUAACAGGUUUGUUAAAAGGCCUUUCCACAAGCUGCCAAGUGUUAUUCUUCUCAAUCAUUUCUAACUCAGCUUCCAUUGCCCUUCUCCAUGACUCAUCUAGAUCAGCUUCUUCAAAAUUCUCAGGCUCCAUAAUGCACAUAUUACACUGAGCCAUAAUGUCAUUAAUGCUCUUCCAUUUCUUUGGUGUAUGAUCAAUAGCUUGAGAACUUCCUUCAAUGCUCUCAUCCUGCAGGGUAGGAUCUCCAUCUGCUUGUGUUUGUGUCUCCAAGCUUUGACUUGGUUCUUCUGGAGCUAUGACUUCUUCAUGUAUUUGCAGUGGUGCAUUCAAGUCUGGAUUUAGAGCAUAGUCUUGAUUUCCAGUAGGCACAAGCACAGUGAUUUCUCCUUCUCUAGCAUUCUCCCAUUUCCAUAAGCUUUCUUCAUCAAAUUUCACAUCCCUUGACAGAAUAAUCUUCCUAUUUCUUGGAUCAAAGAGUCUAUAUCCCUUUUCACAAAGACCAUAGCCUACAAAAAUACACUUGUGACUGUUUUCUUCAAGCUUAUGCCUUAAUGCAGAAGGAAUAAGCACAUGACAAGGAGAUCCAAAUAUUUUCAGAUGUGCAACUCCUGGUUUUCUGCCAGUGAAGGCCUCAAAUGGUGUUACCUUAUUGAGAGCCUUGGUAGGACAUCUAUUCAACAAAUAGACUGCAGUAUUGACAGCCUCUGCCCAAAACUCAUAAGGGAUACCUUUCUCAUGCAGCAUUGACUUAGCCAUUUCAACCACUGUUCUAUUCUUCCUCUCAGCUACUCCAUUCUGCUGAGGGGAGUAAGCCACUGUUAAUUGCCUUUGAAUGCCAGAUUCUUCACAGAAACUGUUAAACUCUCCUGACAAGAAUUCUCCACCCCUAUCACUUCUCAAACUCUUUAUCUUGAACCCACUUUGCAGCUCAGUCAUAGCUUUGAAUUUCAUGAAACACUCCAAUGCACUUGAUUUGUUUCUAAUGAAAUACACCCAAGACAUCCUAGUGUGAUCAUCUGUAAAUAGGAGAAAAUAUCUGUUUCCAGAGAGGGAUUCUGUUUUCAUUGGUCCACAGAUGUCUGUGUGAACCAAUUCCAAAGGAUUAGAAGCUCUCCAAGUUGAUUCCAAAGGGAAAGAAUCCCUAUGCUGCUUUCCUUGCAUACAUCCAUCACACACCACUGACAUUUGCUCCAAGUGGGGUAGUCCAUGAACCAUCCCUUGAUUCUCAAGCAGCUUCAUACUUCUUUCAUUUAAGUGCCCAAGUCUCUUAUGCCAUGUCUGCAAGCAAUGUGUAACACUUGCUUUUAGAACCAACUCACUGGCAGGCAUCAUUGUCAAUGGAAAGCAUCUGUUGUUUGUCAUUUGCACCUCCACAAUCAGAUUUUCCAUUCACUGAUCAUCAUAAAUUCUCACCAUAUUCUCUCCAAACACAAGAUGGUAGCCAUGUGCCAUCAUUUUCCCAACACUGAGCAAAUUUUCUUCAAGACCAGGUACAAGCAUUACUUCAUGAAUGUGCUUCUUACCCAACUUGGUUUUUAUCACCAAAGUUCCUUUUCCAGUAACUGAAACUACUUCUCCAGUCCCCAUCUUCACCUUAGAAGUCAAAUCCCUUUGAACAUUUACUAAAAGUCCCUCAUCUCCUGUCAUGUGAUUACUACACCCACUGUCUAUGUACCAAGAGUGAUUAACCUUUACAUCUGUUGCAGCAUUACAGACAUAGAAUAGUGUACCAGUUUCUUCCAUCUCAUUUGCAUAAUUCACCCUAUGUGCAUUCCUAUUUCCAUUGCAAUCUCGGACCAUAUGUCCAAAUUUUCCACAUCCAUGACAUUUAGGCUUGCCUUCAUACCAGCACUUGCCAUAAUGUAACUUGUCACAAUGCUUACAAGCUGCUAUGUUACCAUCAUUAGGCUUCCAAAGUUUUUGAAAGCUUUGAUUUCCAGGAGCACUUUUCUGAAAACUCUGAUUUUCAGAAAGACUCUCAUUCUUAGGCUUCUUUUCUUCUACAUUCAGACUAGCAAAAGCUCUUUCUGAAGAAUUCUCAGUGUGCCUAUCCAAUCUGAGCUCAAAGCUCUUCAAGGAGGCAACCACUUCUUGAACUUCCAGAGUUUCAAGAUCCUUUGAGUGCUCUAUCACAGAGCAUAUAGAAUCAUAGGACUUAGGCAGACUAAACAAUAGCUUCUGCACAAUUCUCUCCCUAGAUAACUCCUCACCAUAACUCUUCAUUUGAUUCAUCAUAUUAAACAAUCUAACCAGAUAGACAGAUAGGGAUUCACUAUCCUUCAUGCGAGCAUAUUCAAAUUCCCUACGCAACCCUUGCAAUUUAACAUUUCGUACCUGUUUAUCUCCUCUGAAUUCCAGUUUCAAUAUAUCCCAAGCUCCCUUCGAGGUCUCCUCAUUCACAAUCCUUGGAAAUAGCUGAUCUGAAACUGCACUUUGGAUUAAUCCAAGUGCAUGAGCAUCCUUCAUCAGAAUCUGAGCCACCAUGGACUUCUCAGUUUCUGCAGCCUCUUCUUUUUCUUUCUUCAUGCCUGAGUCAUCUAGCCCAUUCUCGACCAGAUCCCACAAACCGUGCGAUUUCAAAAUAGUUUUCAUUCAAAUACUCCAGAAUUCGUAGUUUUCUCCAUUAAAAACUGGUGUUCGAAGCUCAGCUGCUCCAGAUCCUGCCAUAUGAGACAUCUUGAUGCAAGAAUUCGCUACUUCGAUCUCCAAAUCAGCUCAACGAUAGCUCAGAUCGAGCUCGAUUUUCUGUUCACAGAUCACGCCCAGCUCAAUCAAUCGAACCUGGCUCUGAGGCCAUGAUAGAAUUCAUAGAUUUUGGAUGUGUUUGGGAGAGAAAUGAGAGAACGUUGCUCUCUGUGAAAGAACAGAAAAAUUGAAGGAAUGAAGUCAGCUGUAUUUCAUUACAUGCCAAAAAGAGAUAUAUCCGUUGAGGAGAGAGAAGAGAGAUUCUUCUCUAACUGCCUCAAUACAAAACUCAAUCCUAGCCAUUGAACUAUCAUCCUAUAAGAUGAUUACACUUGUCUCAAUCUAACACCUCACUUAAAGAGCCACUUGGACUCUAAUCCAAGGGUCCUUAUUACAAGCAGCAGAAAAACUAAAGUUUUUUAAAAAAAAAAAAAAAAAAAAAAAACUAAACAAUAGAAACAUUUAAAUGAAAUGGAAUUAGGCGGCAAAGGGGAUUUUUGGCUCAGCUCAAAGGGUUACACAUCAACAGAAGGCUUGUCUUAAGAUUGAUUCAGGUUCGGGGACAUGGAAUUUCGUAGCAUUCGUGAUAGAUUUGGCAGUCUUCAAUUAUCAAUUUGUCAAUAAAUUCAAGCCUAAUGAUAUCAUGACAGUGCUUGUUAUUAUGAAAACAACAAAUGUCUUAACAAAGGUAACUACAGUCAAAGUUGGAAUUUGUCAUGGCUUGGAUCUAUUUAAUAUUAUUAUUUGAACCGUAUCUACCUUUCCCUAACCAAUGACCAGAAGCAAACCAUUUUGAUCCUAAGCGUAAUGUGGAAUUUGUGAUUCCAUAUGAAUUUAUUAUUUGUUUAUUUGUUUCAUUUUCUUCAUGUCUGUUAUGUUUUCAACUUUUGAAACUUUACCUAGUUAUAUGAUUUUACAAUGUCUGAAUUCAGUCCCCGCAGCCGAACAGGUUAUGCUAAUUUUUCAUUUUGCUUUUGUUUUUUUUUUUAUCAAAUCAUCCCACACUUUCUUUUCUAUUUUUUUCUGUCUUCUUUCUCUAGAUAAACCUAUAACUUAUAUUACUGGUCUACUUACAUUUAAGUGUAUAUGCAGCUUUCUAUAAUAUAGGUAGUGACAUGCCUUCUAUAAGCCAAUUAAUUAUCACCUUUGAUUCUUAAUUAUCACCUUUAAUGUUUACUGUAGUUGAAUAUCCUCGACCUCACGGUUUAUUUUUUUACCAAUCAAUAGCUAUGAGAACCACAACAAAGAAAUACAAAUUUCAAUAAACCAACAAGUCUUUCGCAACAAACCGUGAGGUCGAGGAUAUUCAACUACAGUAGACAUUGUUCUAGCUACAAAAGAUUAUCACAAAGAUGACUUUCAAAUCUUCUAUUUUUUAAAAUUUUAAAAAAAAAACAAACAAUAUUUUGUUUUUCUUUACAACAAUAAUGUACAUUUGAUAACAUUUUACUCCUGAUUUAAAAAACUAGAACAAGCAUAUUUGGCACCUUAUUUCGUACCCCUCCCUGUUUCUGUAAAGGCAACAAAUGUCAGACGAACUUUCGAAAGGUAACCACUCAGAUCAACCUUUAAGAUCAUCAUCCCAAAAGCCUUUCUCACAUAUCUGCAAGCACUACAGACUAAAUCACUUACAUGAACACACAUUUUUGUUGUUGCAAUCUUCUGUUCCGAGUUAUUGGUUUUCGCAAUACACAAGUUGGAAUUAAUGAUACACUAGUGACUUCACCAUUAGCAAAACCCAUAUCAACAGGAAAAUCUCUAGCAUCAGGAUUGGUUGCCCGCCAGACCGUCAUCAAACCUUUUCCAACUUAGGGGGUUUUUUUAAUAAUAAAAAUAGUAUAGCCGCGUGGCUAUACUAUUUUUGAAAUGGGCGCUAGGCUGGUCCUUUUACAUAAAUAUUAUAGCCGCGCGGAUAUACUCGAGAUAUUUUUUUUAAAAAAAAAAGAGUAUAGCCGCGCGGCAUUACUGGGGUCCUUUUUUUAUAAAGAGUUUUGCUAUACUCUUGACAUAAGACACUGUGAAUUUUUUUUAUUUUUUUUUCUUGUUUUUCCCCGAUUUAUGUUUAUCGAUAAGGAUAGUUUAAAGUAUUAUCCAUUACUAUUAGGCCAUUAUCCGAGUCUCAAUUGUUCCCUUUUGAGUUUUUGCAUUUCCAAAGCUAUUACUCGUAUAACGAAUUUAGCAUUUCACAUUUAAUACUCGUAUUGUACACGUAGGUACGUAUUUUUCAUGUUUAAUACACUUGUUUUUUUUACAAAAUUUUCAAUUAUACACACAAAAUUCACGUCUUAUACACAUAAUUUUCGCAUAUUCUUGAAUAUUGUUGAAUAAAAAUAAUAUAUAUUAAAAUGUUAUAUAGUGACCGAACUCAUCAGUUGUAAUUUGCCAAAAUAUUGCUGAAUAAAACACGUAUGUAUUUUAUUCAUAUUUUUCCCCUUCUAUAUUUUACUAACUGAAAGAAUGUGAGAGGCUAAGAUUAUUUCUUACUUGUUGUAACAAAAAUGCAAGAUGGUGAUUUUGCAAACUCUUUGCCAACCAGAACAACAAUUUCAAACAAAGAUUUAUGGGUAUAGUAGUAAGCGAUGUGGUAGUAGCAUUCUUCAUGUAAAGUGUUGUUUGAAAUGUGAAGCAAUUACCAAGAACACUCCAACUGAGCAUUCUCAAAGAUGGACGGUUGUCUCGGAGAAGGACAUUUCGAGAAACAAGAGCCCUAAAAACACUUUCCAGACUGGAGUGGGGGAUAUCUGACUAUGAUCACAAUUAUGUAUCACAAACCAAACUAUAUUUUGCUUCUUUGCUUUAUCCAAAAAGAAGCAAAAAUAAGUCCAUUACUUUGAAAAAGUGGUUUGAUUGGUCGGCUAGACUCCCCUUGGGUGUCAAAAAUAGCUGUAGAAAAGAAACUUACUGGUCUUUUAUACAGAAUUGUUUUAUUUUUUUAUGCACUGUAUAAGCACAUAGCAAGAACAUCCUCUCAGACAAAGCUAUGUAGCCACACCUGACAAAAAGGGAACAGGGAAAUUAGUAAUUGCUUGUAUAUAUGGCUUCCACCUUCCAUUCCACCUAUAUAAAAUCACAAUAUUUCCCUACAUUGUGCAAAGCCACAUGGUAAAGUCACUUUGCUUGCUGCUUAGUCACAAAGCAGAACAAUUGUGUACAACAAAAAUAACUUCAGUAUUAUAGCUCUACCUCUACCAUUAAUUUCAAAAUGACAAAACCUACGUAUAUCCUUGGCUAGCCUAGCCUAGUAUUAUACCUUGCCGUAUAUAUUUUGCAUGACAGGGCUCUACUGCAUGAUCAGACAGGCUGCAAAUUUCAUUAAGCCAAAGCAAUCGUAGGGCAACUCUUCUUUGGCAGGUCAAUGAAAGUGAUUUUACAUUUGUAGCUGCAUCAGUCACCAGUGCCUGCCAAGAAAGAGGAGCCCUAUGACUGCUUUGCUUAUUUGACAAGUAUACUUCUUCUAGUAUGUAUAGCUGCUCCUCCUUGUGUUUCAAUGAUGGCCCGGCACAAGUUAUAUAAGGGCUCAAAGACUCCAAGACAUGGAAUAAACCAGUAAGCACAAAUGGCAUAUCCUGAGGAUUAUGCUGUGAACAUCCAUCAAGGGCUGCUUUUCAGGGAUUUUGUUGGGGCCAGGGCUCAUUCUGCUGCAAGAUUUUUCUCCUCCUUAUCCAAGCCUUGAAAGCGCUCUUCCUAGCAUAUGAGAUUCUUCCACUCUCUGUGUCCAUGAAAAUGGGCAAUGAAGUUGAAGCAGGAAAAAAGUAGAUGAAAGGAGAUGCCUCCCCAUAUUAUUAUAAGGGGACGAGAAAGAAGGGCUAACAGCAUAUCCUAAUCUUAUUCGUCUUCUUUUCUUUUUUGCCUACGUCUGCAUAUCAGUAAACUCUGUCCUGAAUACAAAAGAGUCUCACUUUUAUAGUGAGCCAUCAUUAUAGGAUCUCCAAAUUAGUUUGACUUUAGUUAAUCUGCUGCACUUUCAGUCCUUCUGUGGGUAUCUCUUUCUAACCAUGACAUGAUUGUGCGCAAUGCCUCAUUCGUUAAUUUAGUAAUCAUUUUUCAAAUCUUUCUUUUGCGAACGAUGUACAAAAAAAUCAUCACAACUAAAGAAAAAUAAGGCCCACCUGAAGGACUUCAUGAAGUUAGAGCAGCCCAUGUGAUCAAAAGUUCUGAAAGUGCUUGCAGUUGUGUUGUGUCAUCCUCACCUCCUUACUAGUUUCCUUCCUAAUUACGCUCUAAAUAAACAAUAACUAACUAAUUACUUUUAGAGCUAAUUUAGUUUUAAUUGUAAGGCAUAUAUUUAAUCACAGGAAGGCUAAUCUAAUCAAGCUGAGUACAGAAAGUUUUGCUUGAACCAUACCAGAUCUGAUCAAUUCAACACCAAAUAUGAUGAUAGGUAAAUAAACAUGACAUCAACUAUAUAGAUUUUAAAAUUUUAGGUUCCAAUCUCUACAAUAUUAAUCAAAUGUCUCAGAGACAUAUAUUCCAGUAAUCACUAGUUGACUUCGUGUUUGAGAAACAUAAGUGACCAGAUCAAUUUUUCUCUUUUGAUCCAUGGACUAAUCUGUCAUGCAGAAUCCUUUGCCCCAUGUACCUGCACCAUAUGCACAACAAACGAAACCAAAAUGCAGGUUUAAGCAGCAAUUAGUAUAAGAUUUUCGUGAAGAUUAUGUAUAUAUGAUAUGUUUUCCAAGUAUACUUGCCUUCCAAGCAUCAUGACAGUAGCUUGAGGAUUAGCACCUGGAGUGUGAUAAAACGUUGAACCAUCAAUAACCCUUAGAGAAUCAAUAGCAGGAACUCUAUAUCCUUUAUCAACAACCCUCCCAAUUUGACACCCUCCAUGAUAGUGCCAUAUGGUCUGUUGAAAGUUUUGGUUUAUGGAUACUACUUUUCCUGCAAAGCAUCACAGAAAUAUAUAUUAGAAAAUUGUAAUUUACAUUGAUAUGGUAGAUCAAAUAAUUUCAAUGAAAUUACAAAAAGAUACUUAUCUUUUGGGAUGUAAAAGUUGGUCUCCAUUGAUACUAAAGUAGAAUAAUAGUUUUAGAUUGAGGCAGUAACAUAUAUUAUUAAAGCCUUAAGUUCUCAUCUCUCUGCAAAAUACAUACAGUUUAGGAAAUUCUUGCAAUGAAUCUGGAUGGGAAUUCUGAAUUUUCACUAUCAUCAUACCUGCAAAUAAACUAUCAGAUAGAAAAUAAAGAGCAGAAUCUUCAAAACAAUAACAAAAAAGGAAUCUUGGGUGGGAAUCACAGACAACGAUUGCAAAAAAUGGGCGGCCCAGCGCCUAGGCCAAUUUUUCCAACACUGUUUAAAACUCCUACAAACUAUUUCAGUUGUUCUCAAAUGAUCCAUAACUCUAAUUAACAAGCACAAAAUGACAUACAUAUGGGAAUCACAGACAACGAUUGCGAAAAAUAGGCUGCCGAGCGCCUAGUCGCCUCCUAGGCAGAUUUUUCCAACACUGUUUAAAACUCCCACAAACUAUUUCAGUUGUUCUCAAAUGAUCCAUAACUCUAAUUAACAAGCACAAAAUGACAUACAUAUGGGAAUCACAGACAACGAUUGCGAAAAAUGGGCCGCCGAGCGCCUAGGCGACCGCCUAGCGCCGAUUUUUCCAACACUAUUUAAAACUCCCACAAACUAUUUCAACUGUUCUCAAAUGAUCCAUAACUCUAAUUAACAAGCACAAAAUAACAUAUAUAUGCAUAGUUCGAGUAUGAAAUUACCAAAAUGGCAUCGAUGUCAUCCUCAGGCGAGAGCUUCUGGUCUCUCUGCGAACUCUCUUUUCCUCAACUUUCGCUGCUUUCUCUUUGCCUUUUCCUGGCUUCUUCGUCUUCUUCGCCUUCUUCACCAUGUCCGGAAACACAGCCAAAGAGGCUCAAACUCGGCGCGAGGAACAAGAGAGAGAGUUAUCUGGACGACGCUAAUAAUAUGUAAUAAUAGCAUAGCCGCGCGUGUUUUUUUAUAAAUAGUAUAGCCACUUGGCUAUACUCGGUGCGAGAGAGUUAUCUGGACGACGCUAAUAAUGAUUGUGAUGCUUUCAGUGCGACGUCGAUUAUUUGGGGUAAUAAUCCGCCGGCUGUUUAUUCAUAUUUUUCCUAAUCCGUACUUUACUAACUGAAAGAACGUGAGAGACUAAGAUUAUUUCUUACUUCUUACUUCUUAUAACAAAAAUGCAAGAUGGUGAUUUUGCAAACUCUUUGCCAAAUAUAAUAAUAAUUUCACACAAAGAUUUAUGGGUGUAGUAGUAAGCGAGAUGGUAGUAUUCUUCAUGUAAAGUGUUGUUUGAAAUGUGUGCUAAAAUAUGAAUAUGGUUUGAAUGUAUUAGGUUUUUAAUUUAUUCUUCUCUAUAAGGAGGUAUAUAUAAGAGUUUACAUGUGUGCUUUAUAAGGAAUUAGAUACAGUAAAGAAUUAGGAAAGUAUCUUCUAAUUGUACAAUGAUUUAUCACUUAUAUAAAAAUAGGAAAGUAAAUCCCUUAAUUAAUCAAGGAAGUAAAUCUCCUUGAUUAAUUAGGAGACUCACGUCAACACUCCUCCUCAAGUUAGUGCAUAUAUGUCACCGAUGCCCAACUUGGUAAGUGAGUCAAGAAAUACUCUUCCACAAACAGCUUUGGUUAAGAUAUCUGCCAGUUGAUCUUCUGAUUUUAUGAUUUUAUGAAUGGUAGGCAGAUGAUCUUUUUCUCAAUUUUUUCUUUGAUAAAAUGUUUAUCCACCUCAACAUGUUUGGUUCAAUCAUGUUGAACUGGAUUAUAGGCAAUAUCGAUAGCUGACUUGUUGUCACAAUACAACUUCAUUGGUUUUUUGGCUUGAAGCCCAAUUCUGUCAAGAGUCUUCUGAUCCACAAUAAUUCAUAAACUCCGUGAGCCAUUUCUCGAUACUCUGCUUCAGCAUUAGACCGAGAAACCACAUUUUGCUUUUUACUCCGCCAAGUGACUAGAUUACCUCUUACGAAGGUAAAGUAACCUGAAGUAGAGCGUCUAUCAGUAAUGGAGCCAGCCCAAUCAGCAUUUGUAUAUCCAACAACUUCGAGAUCUCUAUUUUUUUUUUUUAGAACAUUAAUCUUUUCCCAGGUGCUGACUUUAAGUAUCUUAAGAUCCGAUCAACUGCAUUCUUAUGAGAAACACUGGGCGAAUGCAUAAAUUGACUAACCACACUCACAGCAUAUGCAAUAUCUAGUCUUGGAGGACGUAUGAAAAGUAGAACCUUUGGCGGUGGUGAUAGAAUCAGGAGUCCGAGUAGCCAGGUCAGCAGGAGUGACCGCAUGCUUCUGUGAGUCUGCAAUAAGAUGAAGAAUCGUAGGGGUUCCUGACAUCGCAGCUGAAGUAAGAUAUGAUAUGAGAAUGUGAGGAAUUUGAGGUGAGGAAUUUGAUGUAUGAAUUUGAUGUAGGAAUUGGAUUUAAGAGGUAUGUGUAUAAAAUUUGAGGGUAUGUGUUUAAGGAUUUGGAUAAGAGGGUGUGAGGUCUUUAGAUUUGAGGGAUUUUGGAUUUGGGGAAAAAUAUGAGGAAUUUGAUUUAGGGUUUUGGAUUUGAAUAUGGGAAAUUUGUGAUAAGGAUUUAGAGACAUCAACGGAAAAAUAUAUGAGGAAUUUGAUUUAGGGUUUUGGAUUUGAAUAUGGGAAAUUUGAGAUAAGGGUUUAGAGACAACUUCUCUUCACUCCGCUUCUCCCUUAAAGAGAAGGGGUCGUCGGAGUCAAGAAAUAGGCAAUAUCUUCAUGAGAAAAAUAAAUAUAUCUUUUUCACUCCCUCCCCCUCCCCUCCUCGGGGAGGAGAGCACUUAAAUUGCAAAAAGAACGCAAGCACAGGUCACAAGAGAACCUGGCUCUGAUACCAUGCUGAAAUAUGAAUAUGGUUUGAAUGUAUUAGGUUUUUAAUUUAUUCUUCUCUAUAAGGAGGUAUAUAUAAGAGUUUACAUGUGGACUUUAUAAGGAAUUAGAUACAGUAAAGAAUUAGGAAAGUAUCUCCUAAUUGUAUAAUGAUUUAUCACUUAUAUAAAAAUAGGAAAGUAAAUCCCUUAAUUAAUCAAGGAAGUAAAUCUCCUUGAUUAAUUAGGAGACUCACGUCAACAAUGUGAAGCAAUUAAUAAGAACACUCCAACUCACAUGCAAUUCUCUACAACAAAUAAUGUGUGCAGUAAUAGAAUUUAGUAGCACUCGAGAGAACGAGGUAGACCAAAGGCAAACAUUCCCACUAAAAAAGAAGAAGAAAAAUUUAACUCUCAAAUUGAUUUACUAUGAAAUUUCUCUCUCUUCAAUAUCUGCUUUGGAGAUGUCAAAACUAGCAAAUUAAUAUUUAUUGAAUUCCAUUGGAAUGGGCAUAUAAGAUGGAGAUAAAGAUGGGAAUCUCAGAUUGAGUCAAAGAACACGAACCAGGAGUUGGCGUUGUCAUUGAAGAACAGCGUGUGGCGAUCGACCACCUCUACAUCCAUUUCUUUACGACCGUUGGAUUGGAGCGGAAUUGAUACAGAGCAGAGAGAGAGAGGAGAUGGGAUUAGUAUGACGGUGUAGGUGGUUUCUGGGUUUUUUUUUCUCAUUUUAUUUUAGUUUAUUUAAACUUAACUUAUGGAAAUAAUGAAUUUGACUUGAUUUGUUAACAACUGCAACUAACGAAAUUCGGAGAAAUUAAAAUUUCAGUGAAUAAAUUUAAAUUUGGACCUAAUCCAAUGACCAAAAAUGUAAUUAAACUGUUUGUAAUAAAAAGAGUCUAGCCACGCGGCUAUACUAUUAUUGAAAUGUAGCGAAAUGGGAGCUAGACGUCAGGAGGGUCCUUUUUGCCCUUUUACAAAUCGUAUAGCCGCGCGGCUGUACUAUGGUUUUUAUUACAAAAUAGUAUAGCCGCGCGGCGAUACCAUUCAUAAAGGAAAAAAAGGACUGCCUGACGUCUGCUCCCAUUUCGCCACGUGUUAAUAGUAGUAUAGCCGCGCGGCUAUAUGCGGGAUAUUUAGCCGUGCGGAUUUACUGGGACUUUUUUUAAAAUAUUUUUAAUAAAUAGUAUAGCCGAGCGGCUAUACUCUUUACAUAAGACUACACCCCAAAUGUCUUUUCAUGGUUCUCAUUACAGUGAUUCUGUAAAACGCAUGCCUUUCUAUCUAGCAUGGGACUGAUCAUAACUGUAGCUAAAAUUACUGCUAAACUUAUUUAGUUUGGGUCAGAAAAAUAAGAAAAUAAAAGAGAUACCAUUAGGUCUAGUACAAGAAGAAUAACGUGCAUAUGAAAUUUAAUCUUUAAUUUGACAAGAAAAAUAAUGAAAAUUGAAUUUUCUUCUGCUUUUUUAAAUAUUUUUAUAUUAUAUAUUUUUUAUAGAAAUUUCUUCUGCUAAUUAAAAAGCUAAAUAGAGCAGCAUAAAUGAUCACGACAAACAAUCCACAUGAAGGUAAAUGACUCAUAAAUAGAAGGAUACGUAUGGCUGGAUUAGCCUAAACUAUUGUGAAGAGAAUUGUACUAUGAUGAGUUAAUACAACAGUUGAAACUCUGCUCUCUCUCUCUCUCUCUCUCUCUCUCUCUCUCUCUCUCUCUCUCUCUCUCUCUCUCUCUCUCUCUCUAUAUAUAUAUAUAUAUAUGCUUUGAUUUUGCCAAACCAUAUCAAUAUCAUUGUUUUGUUGUUCUUGUUUACAUCAUUAAUUAUUUUCCAUAUUUGGGGGUUUAGUAUGCCAUUAUAUAUUCACCCUUGAAUACCAAACAUGACUCCAUUAAUCAUAUGAUAUAUAUACCUACAAACACUGAUCAAACUAACGUUAGUAUAGUGUACAUUCAAGAUCAUCUGGGAUGGAAAGUCGGUUUCGGAGUUUGGGUGGCUCUCGUGUUCCUCUCUACCAUCUUCUUUUUCCUUGCACUCUCCAUGUACAUCAAGCACAACCCUAACAAGAGCUUGUUCACUGGGUUGGCACAAGUCGGCGUGGUUGUCUAUAAAAAUAGAAAACUUCCUCUCCCACCUUUGAGCUCAGAAAGUUUAUACCACCACAAAAAGGACUCGGACCUUGUUGCACCAACUAACAAAUUAAGGUAGAGUAGUAAUCUUACACAUGUCACAAAACUAAAAUUGCUUCUGAGGUCAUAAAAUGUGGCGAGAUGCCUAGAAUUCUUUUAAUGUGAUGAUGAUUUACAGAGUAUCCUCCUUGUAAGGAGAUAAUUAUACACAACAUUUCAAAAAUCAGCUGUCUGUCUAUUACCAAUCUAGCUUAUAACUAUAAACACAAAUGUCAAACAAAGAAGAAAGUCAUAAGCAUGAUGAUACUAUUUAGAAGGCGUUUUUCAUUUCCCUAAGGAAACAAUCAACAGGCCAGUGAUGAAGCAAUUGGAGGCUUGGACUCAGAAAACAAGACCAUACAAGAUACAGCAGGUUCUAUGCAUUUACGUGAUCUUGGUGUGUCAGGUCCAUUUCAAUUUGGUCGAUUGUCCAUUGCAUAUUUUCCAAUUUCUGUAAGGGGAUGUUGAUAUUAGAGAUUAGCAUGAGAACUGGGAAAUGUACUACGGUAAGCAUUGUUAUUACCUUUACAAUAUCAUGGUACUGCCUUGCAAUUGAAUCAAAGUGAGGAUCAACACCCUGAUAUUCUCUAAGACGUGUAACCUGUUAAGAAAAGACGACUUUUGUAAAUAAAGAAAACCAGCAGGAGAGAUGCAGAAGGGUGAUGCGGUUAAGUUGUAUGCAUGUUGUCAAAGAAAAUUUGGCUCAGCAUAUCUUAACUAUUUAUCAUCAAAUUUGGCUCAGCUGAAGCAUUUUCUAUAAUUAUCAUCAGCUUUGUAAAUGAGCCCAUUGAUUAUAGUGCAGGCCAUUAAGUGUUUACGACCCAUAUUCACAAUAUCUACAAUGACAAAUAACCAGUAACAAGUGAUAUAGCAAUAAAAGCAGAUUGAGAAACUUCCUUAUCUCAUCAAAAUUCCUUAAGAAAACCCAAAAAAUCUACUGGCGAAUAAGUUUGAAGCAAUUUACAACUUGACAGAUAGCAGAUUAGGAUUUAAAACAAUAAUGACUUACAGGAAACCAAGGCAAAUAGACAGGAAAACAUUGCAAAUCAACCUCAAAGUAAUGCCCAAACAAAAUAUAUUAUUACAAGCCUACAGUGCUGCUAGAAGGCCAUGAUGUGGUUAAAAUGUCUGUUUUGGGGCACACGCAAAUGAAGGCAACCAAUGAUCAGAAACCACUUAGGAAAGGGAAGAAAAAUAAGAAGUAGAAUAUCAUACCGCUUUAUUAUACGCGAUUGAAGCUUCAUCUGUAGCUUCAAGGAGAUACUUCCUAGAAAUGUGUUAUAAAAUUGUUAAAACCCUGGAAUCGGUAAGCUGCACAUACUUUCAAAGUCGUCAAAGCUACCUUAUUUUAUGUAGGGCCGGUAUUGACUCCUUAGUAUAAGUUUCAAGAAGGAGAACAUGCUCCAGAACCCUGAAAUACAAUGGGGCAUAUUAUACUCAUUACAUACAAUCCAUUAAUUGAUUUGAUCACAAAACAUGAAGAAAAAAAUAUAUAUACAGUCAGUGGUGAGUGGUGAACUUUGUCUUCUUGCAUAAGAUGCAUCACAAACAAAAAAUUCAUAAACAUAUGGAAAGUGAGACAUUAAGCAACAUUGACGCCAGAAAUACAAAAUUAUAAAUUUAUAAUACAGAAAACCAUGUAACGGACCUCAAUUUUGCACUCAUCGUCUCACACCUCUUGCAAAGCCAUGUUUUUUGCAGUCCGUCCUAUAAAUCAUUCAUUAUUAAUAAAAGGUUCAAGAAUCCUCAACAACAUUGAAAACAGAAUAAUAUAGAAGCUUUGAGCCUCCCUCAUAUUAACCCUCAACAACAUUGAAAAAAUAUUAACCCUCCCAGAUAUUAGAAGCUUACAUAUUGAUGUUGAUGUUGCAACUUCAAAUCUCUGACCAGUUUGAUGAGCACUCCCAGUAUCUGCUCUAGGACCUAGGUUUUGCAACAAAAAAAAAAACCAAGGCAUAAAAAAAAUAUCUUCACAAACAAAAUGCGCCUGGCAUGAAAUUGCAGGAACAUAAAACUUUGUUUUAUUUUUGUUUUCAUUUUCAUACAUUAUAAUAUUCAGCAAAUUUUCUAUCCGCAGAAUAUAGAUCUUCCCGCAGAGCUGCUUCCUCCCUUUCCAUCUCCUCAAUUAUCAACUUCACCCUGAUAAAGUCAUGAGAAAAGUGUCACAAAAAUAGAUCAGACUGUUGGAAAAAUAUUUAGAACAGUGCCUCCAGAAAUUUAUUGAUUGCCAAAAGCAUUGGAAUUAAGAUUGCCAACCAUCCAUAAAAAGCAUCUUACUCAACGUAAAAGGGAAUUCUCAUACAACGAAAAUUGCAUCAAAAGAGUAACUCAAACCUUUCUGGAAGGCAAGAACUUGAAUUCUGAUGCCCAGAUGACGAGUCUGCAUAAAAAAGCAUUGGAAUUAGUUACACCUUUAAUAAUUAUCAUUAUGCAUGGGUAAACAUGUGUCAUGUAUAGAUUUCAUCAUCAACUUUAAAAGUGCAUGUCAAGUGUAUAUGGAGAGAGAGAGAGAGAGAGAGAGAGAGAGAGAGAGAGAGAGAGAUACCAUUGUCAUCCAUUAUAAAGGCAUCAGCUAAUUUAUCACAUUUAGCUACUAAACGGACUUCAAUCUCCCGAGAAAGACACAACUGAUAUUCUGUCAUGUCCUGCAGUUGAAGCAUCAGAAAUGUAAGGAGCAGCUUCACCAAAGUUAGAUCUUCAUGUUAAGGGAUCAUAUACAGUAAAGUAACAGAUUCUAUAAAGAAAAUAUACAUUUUAAUGUGAAAAAAACAUUAAUAAAUAAAGGGGAAAAUAAAAGACAAAGUGAACUGUUGCCAGAACCAUAAUGGACAUUGUACCAUUGACAAUGGUGUUUGCUGGAGCUGUGUUUGCCAUAAAUAUGCAGGUGUAAUUCCAAGAAAGCGAUUCGGAACACCACCAACUCCAGAUUCCACAGCAUCAGUAGCAUUAAGAGAAAGAUUGUUGUUUGCUGCACUACUGGUGCUAGUAGCAGUAUUAAAAUUGGUUGAGUUGGAACUUGAGCUGAUUGUAACGCUGGUACUGAUACUGUCAAGGGAACUACGUGACAUCGUACUGCAUUUUUCAAUUUCUUCCUCAUGAAUUUCACCAUCUUUGGAGAUAAGAGGAAGCCUCAAUCUUUGAGCUGCUUCCGCAACAAUCAUGCGAUGCUCCAAUGUCUCGUACAACUGAUAUAAACAUGAAAAUCACAUUCUCAUCCGUUUUAGACUUGAUGUGAAAAGUAGAAUACUAAUGGUAUAUUUGAGCAUCCCAUGACAAUUGAAUUAGCCUGUUGUCUUUUGAAGAUGAAUUAACAUACAAGUCUAUCAUAGUGCAUCUCUGUUAAGAUCAUGGUUAAAUAAAAAAUGAACAUUCUUUGAGGGAAUACUAAUUCUGAACUGGUACCAUUUCAUGUUAACUCAAAGGAAAACAUUUUUUUUCCUAUUGUUUUCUACUUCAAUUGUAACAAGGAGAAGGGAAUCAUUCAACUCCCAUACCAGGAAAUCACAGGCACCCUGUGCUUUCCCACCAACUUACAAGUUAUUUACCUUAAAGAUAUGGAUGUCUCUCCUAUUUCAUGCCAAAUCAUGACUAAACAACACUUGAUGUAAAAUGCAUUUCCAAAUCAAUAACUUCAAAAAAAAUAUAUAUACAUAUACAUAUAUAUAUAUACAAAAAUCAAUGAUUGUGGCACAUUGAAACCUGAGGAGGAUUCUUCAAGUCCGAUUGCAGAUAUAAACCCUGAACAUCUCGAAUUCCUCCAAGAUUAGCCACCGAAACUGCUUGUUGAUAUUCUUCCACCAUUGCAAUUGCCUCACCAUAAAUUGCCUACACCAGAAUCCAAACCCACCAUUCACACACACACACAUUACGAAAUCCUUGCCAAAUUAGAACAACUAGUUCAAUCAACACAAACUCAAAAAAAAAAAAAAGAAAAAAAAAAGGCAGAACUACCAUGGCUUCCAAGUAACGCAAUCUUUCUCUGGACAUUUCCUCCCUUGCCUGCACCAGAAUUAAAUAACUUUAAGAAAUCAAAGGCAUUGUAAAGAAAAUGCUCAGAUUGUUUAAUUCAUAGAUUGCAUUUUAUAGUUUGUAGAGCACAUUUUUUAAGCAACCAAACAAGGCAGGGCAAUGUAGAGAGAGAGAGAGAGAGAGAGAGAGAGAGAGAGUACGAGUUGGAGGUCGAAGUAGGCUGAUUUGGAGACGAGAGAACCAUCGGGUGCCAAGCAGUGGCGCUCCAGCUGAUCAAUGACUUGGGUCAAAUCCGGUGGCAGGUUUUGCCCUUGUUGUUGCAGUCCCUUCACCAUUUUGCUAAGCUCCUCUUCGCCCCCACUCGAUCGAAAACGUCACCGUAUUCCUUCUUCUUCUUCCUUCUUAAAGAUUAAGCUCAGCAGUCAGAGUCUUACAGGAAUUUGAAAUCUUAGGCCGGCCGACCUUCCUUCAACUGCCAGCAAAAGUUAAUUUAACUUGAUUUUACCAAAAGAGCCUCAUCUUCGUGCAUCUAUACGGUGUCGUUUCACUUUAAAUGUAAGACAGAAAACGAAAACAUACAGAAAAUCCAAUCCAAUUUGGGAAAUGACGAAAUCAAUUUUUAGAUAGAAAGUGGACUCACCACACUAGUUUAUCAAAUUAUUGUUACCAUUUAACACAUGACAUGGUAAUCUCAUCUUAAAUUCAAUUCCUUUUGUAAUGGGAAGAUAAUGCAGAUCUAGGGGAAUUUUGAGAUGAUAUUUUUAUGAAAGAUUUGGUUGUAAAGUAUGUGUGCCUGAUGCCUUAAUGGUAGGAGUUCGAAACUAUUUUGUGACUAGGGACAAGCCGAAUUCAGAGUGGGAAUUAAUCCCACCCUUCGAGUGUAGGAACACCUCAUGAUAUUUACCCCAAAAAAAAAGUAUGUGCGCUGUAUUGCAAAUUAGUAAACUACGUAUAUAUUGUUUUUGUGAUGUAUAUAUUCAAAAGUUGUACAAAAAAAUGAUUGUUAAAGAAAUUAAUUAUUUCUUCGUACUUGUAUUUAUUUAUUUUUAUAUUUAUUUUUCUUAAAAAAGAAGUGGGCAUGUUAGCCACAGCUGGGAGAUAAAAAUGAAUUUUUUUUCGUAUUGUUAAGAGCUUUAAGCACAACACCAUGUAAGAAAUACAAUGACGUGAUUUAUGGCUUAUUCGUGGCCAAAGCCAACUCAUUUUGGCCACUGGGUACACUACUUUUGUCAUCAUUACUAGUCUAAUAUCAUUUGUAGCCCCAUUUACGGCUUUAUAGUAGUGAUUGUACAAUCAAUGCGGGAAAAUAUUAUCUUCAUCAAGUUAAUUCGGAGAAGAGAAGGACGAUACAAAAUUUAUGAAAUCAAAUCUUUAAAAUGUUCAAGGUGCUUAAGUGGGUAAAAACAUUGUUUUCUAUGUCCAGAUAGGUAACAUGGUAAUAACGAUAUCUAAGUCAUGAAAAAUGUUUUGCAACCCAAAUCUUUUGUCAGUUCUCAUGGAAAUUGAUGUAUCUUAUUAUGAUUUGGGUGAGAUGGGGGCAAAGCUCAGAACAGAAACCAAAGAGAGGAGAGAAGGAGAGCCCAAAAUAUGCAAGCUUUAAGUUUAAACAUUGUAACUAAUUCAAAGGCUGAUUCAAAGGAUUUAGCUUUAAAUGAGAGGAGGUCAAUUAUAUAUUUUGAACUUCGUCUUUACAUACUGAUACUAAGUUUAUUCUUUAUUCAGAAAUCUAUACCAAAAAAAAAAAGUGGAUUAGCUGCAAAGAGCUUCAACAAUUGAUUUCCCUCAACUCACUGCAUCAUAUUCACUUUAUCUAGACUACCCUACCAGACAUUCACGAGUCACAUUCCACAACCGCAUGACAAGGAUACUUCCUACGUUGAAUUCGAACUUUAGUUUCCAAAACUUCAUGUUGUGUGUGCCAUAGCUUCUUAAUUCCUUUCUUUCUGUUCUGCAAUCAAGUCUAUGAAUCAGAAGCCAGAGUUUUCUUCAACUCUUUUUUAUUCACCUGCAAUCAGAUGCGCAAUGUAAAUACACCUUACAAGUUAAUGCGAUGUAAAUACAAAGAAAUAAACAAAGCUUUUGUAGCCUAGCAAAUAAGGAAAUGUAAAAGUAACUUGCCUUUCCCAUCGCAUUCCGAGGUAUUGAAUCCCACAGAAGCAGUCGUGUCGGUAUCUGGAAAAAUGUAAUGCAGUUAUUUGUAGUGCUCAUUUGAGAAUAUAGUUGUGUUGUUUGAAAAAUGUGACAAGGAUUUGGAAGUUACUAUUCAUGAGAACAGAAUGUUUAUUACUUGAUAACUGAAGAGGACUGAUCAUAAAAACUCCAAAGGAAGAGAAAAAAAGUGAAUGAUGGUCAGUAGUACCUUGUAUGGUGCAAGUUUGUCUUUUGCCCAAGCAGAUAGAUCCUCCAAGCUUAUAGCAGGUCUCAGUUCUUCCUUUUGUUUCCUUUUCGCUUCAACCUCUGGCACUAUUAUUGCACAAACAAUUUCUCCAUAGUUUUCGUCUGGCAAGCCCAACACACAACACUCCUCCACAGCCGGGUGCUACAUAAAAGGGGUGAUUUUAGUUAGAAAAAUUCAAUCGUUCAUUGAGCACUUUAAUUUUUCAUUUUUCUUUAUAAUGAUAGACCUACAAAGAAAAAGAACAAAAUCAUAGCAUAUCCAUAAGAAAACUGGAAUAGAGGUCAAAAAUCCACCUGUAAAAGAACUGAUUCGAUUUCUAAUGCAGAUAACUUGUAUCCACCAACCUUCAUAAUAUCAGCACUAGUACCUGAUACAUGUCAUCAAAAAAUACGGAAGAAGAAAGAAGAAUUCAUUCUCAGUUAGACGUCCUUUAAGUGUCUGCAUUGCUAACCAGAAGCAUCAAAAUCUGAGACUGGUAAAAAACAAAAUUGAAGGAUUGCAUCAAUAAGAGUAUCAUGCACAUGAGUUCCAGGUAUCCUUACGUCCCAAUAUGAUAUAGUACCCAUCUUCGUCCACUGUACCAGCAUCUCCAGUUCUGAAGAACCCAUCACUUGUAAAUGAUUCCUUGGUUACCUAGACAAUGACCACAAUGUCGUAAGAGAAAUUUGUUGAUAUUCUUCAGAAUUUCAUUAUGCCAUAUACGAAAAAUGCAGAAUUUCAUUACUCCAUGUUCCAUUCUUCAAUUAAAAGAAAAGCACAUCUCACAAACAUAAAUGCAGGUGUGUGCGUGUGUAUAUGUGGUUUGUUAUCGCAGGUAGCAUCAAAUUUCUGAAAUCAGAAAUUACCUCAGGAAGUUUCCAAUAUUCCUUGAAUACUGAAGGGCUUCUGAUACAAAGCUCACCCACGCCUAUACUAUCACUUCCACUGUCAUCUUCUGCAACAAUCCUUACCUAUAACAAAUACAGAUCUUAUAAACAUACAUAUAUAGAUACUAAUUUGUAGUUACUUUUAUUGAGAAAAACACUCCCAUGUCAAUUAUGGGACACAUCACCAGUAAAGUACACCAGCUUUGUAACUCUACAAUUUAUAAGCUGUUUCAAGGACCAGGAUAUAGUCUUUGUCAAUGAGCAUGUAAAACAUGCAUGCACUAAAUGUCUUAAGAUUUUGCUAUUUUAAGUGGUUCCCUUCAGCACCAGGGCUAAUUAUUAAAAUCUGCAUGCGAAAAGCUUCCUUCAUAAGUUUCUUAUGGUAAAAUUGCUGCUAUAAGUAUAUUUCAUAACCAGCCCACUUACCUCCACACCUGGAAAUGGUUUUCCAACCGUGCCUGCCUUCCGCUCACCUCUUAAGGGGUUUGAUAUUGCCAUGACAAACUAAAAACAUCAAAAACCAUAUAUAUGAUAAGAAACUUUAUUUUUUGGAUACAUGCACUCUCUUCAUAAAGUCAGAAUACUAGUUCAAAGUAAUUUAAACUAAAUAUCACUUACCUCUGUCAUGCCAUAUCGUUCCAAAAGACGAUGUCCUGUGAUGGAUUCCCAUUUAUGCAUUACAGGUUGAGGAAGUGCAGAGGAACCACACAUCUGGGAGAAAGAAAUAAGUUUCUUAGUCAUGGGUAUAGGAUUCACCAUAGACUUUAACAUAGAGGAAUGUAAAGGCCAAUUUUCAUGAUAACAUUGGGUGGUUCUCCGUAGGAGCUAAUUAACUUAGCCGAUGAUGUAUCCUGAUGUUUUCUGAAAAGACCUGGGAUAAAGUCCCACAUUCAUGGUGUCCUUUUUUGUUGCCUUACCUUUCAUGUAAACCAGAAGAACGGAGAAAGUUCCACUACCACCGGGGAUGCUGUGGUAAUGGAAAGAGAGCCUACAAACUUGUGUAGAUACAAAUACUCUCACAAUUAUCAUUCCCCAUAUUAGUACCUUACAAUUAAUUUUCAGUCAGUAUUUAAAGAGUAGAUUUUUACACGUAUUUCCGAUAAAGAUCCAAUAAUCAAACAAAAGCAUCUUAGUUCCUGUUCACAAUAUAGAUACAAAACCAUUAUUGGGAAAAGAAAAAGCUUUCAGGCUGCUUACCAUAAGACGCAACUGUCUUGCAGCACAGGCAGAGGCAGCUUUUAGCUCUGGAUCCAUUGCUUCAUGAGCUUGUAUCAAUCGAGUAUACAUGGUCGGAACCUACACAAAUACAAGCCACUUAACUUGCAGUCUAACUAAAUUAAGAUAAUUAUUUCGCAUCAAAAAUCAGUACAAUGAGAGAUGCAGUAGAUGCAUAGCAUGUUUAACCUUCAAUUCACGUAUUGAAGAUUAUAAAACCAAUAAAUCAACUAACAAGCAGGAGAUACCUGCUUUUUAGAACAUGGCGCUUUCCCAAGAAUUUGUAUUCUAGCGCAAUUAUAAUAUGUUAUGACUUGCAAUAGAUUUUCAUAUUAGCAAAAACAUCCUUCACAUACAGAGUAGACUUACUCCUGUAAAUACAGUUAUGCCAUCAGCUGCCUUAGUUCCAUUUAUUGGAUAUGAUUCACGCCAUCUCUGCCAAAUACCCCUCACGCUAAAUUUUGGCAUAAACUCAACCUUCAACAACAUAAACAGAAGAAAUUAAAUUACAAUAAGUAGCUGAGCAAGACUCAUGCAGCCAAACAAAGCCGUUCCAGGGAAAAGCAACGGUGAAAGCCUUCAGUUGUCAAGGCAACCAAGGAAAACAGAAAAAGGAGAGUAUAUUACCGUGGAACCUGCAUAGAGGGGGGCAAGUACAGCAUUGAAAAGCCCAUGAACAUGUAUGUUAUAGGUUAAGGAUAACAUGUUUCAAUCAAUCAUCAAAGCCAUAAACCAACAAGGAUAAAUUUCAGUGCGACUUGGAAUUUCCAAUCAAGUUUCUAACAGAAAAGGAAGACACAGAAGACAUCAACUAAACGUAAGCUGAGACUGCAUAUGGAAACAGUACAAUUUGCAAGCAAGUACAUAAAAGUAGAAGGAUAUGAUGUAGUGGUAGACAAUUCAAGAACUGAUCAGCAUAUGUAUACUCCCAAGCUUCUGCUAAGGUUUGGACCUGAAAUUGAGGCAACAUCAGGGCAAGAGUCAACCAUAGUUAACUUGGAAUAGAGACACUAGAGUCAAGGAAAAUAGUGCAUGACCUACAAGAAUACCUCCAUUACAUGACUUAUAAUGUUAUAACGCAUAAAAGUGAAACAAUAAAUGAACACCAAGAGAUGUUUUUUUUUCUUUGCAACACAAGUCCGUGGACAAGUAGCCCACAUGAAAUGAGAUGCAUUGCAAAGCUAACAUCAAAGAAGACUUCUUAGAAGAAAUAGCCAAACUUGACAAACAAACCCCUAAACUAUAGAUGCCUACUAAUCAAGAGAAAAUGUUUCUAAAACAGUGAUCCUGUAUAUAAAAAUUAUAUUACAUCAUCUGUUGUCCAUUAUAAUGAAGACCCUUAUUGUGACAUGUGUAUCCUACACCUCACUUGAAACUAUUUUAGUGGUUAAACGAAAUAUAGCUAAAUCUUUGCUUGCAAGGAUAGAUGGGGCGCAUACCUGUGCACUGAUGCUUUUGUGCGUGUGCACAACUCCUUUAGGUUUUCCUGUUGUACCACUAGUGUAUAUAAUUAAUGCAGGAUCGUCACCUUCAUAACAAAAAAUGACAGCACAAUAAUCAAAAUUUAUUAUUAACUCCUACAGCAUAACCAAUCAAGGAUAUAAAUCUGCACAUUCUUAAAGGCACACAAUCUCUCUUACUUGAUUGCUUUUUAUUCCGGUGAAAAAUUCUAUCUGCGUCUAUUUCUCCAGCUUGUAAAUUACCAUCUGCGCUUUUUUCUGAAGAACUGCUAGGAACGGGUGGAAUAAGAGAAACUUGAGCAGCACAUUUAGCAGCAACAUUUUCCAUAAGUUGCUGGUGAUCUUCAGUACUCAGAAUCAUGGAGACAUCCUGUAAACCAGAUAAUCAUUUAAGGCCUACAGAAUUUAUGCCAAAAAUAAAAUAGAAAAAUACAUAAUGAAGAUAAGGUAUGGCAACAUGUAUUAAAACUAGUAACUCAAUAAAUAGCAUCGAGAAAAACACAAGUCACUAAGAAAGAAAAGUAAAACAAAGGGGAUAUUGGGGACUCACUGAAUCAUUCAUCACAUGCAAGAGCUCAGCUUCAGGAUAGCUGAGAGCAAGUGGAACCGCAACACCUCCACUAAGCCAGGUCCCAAGUAUACCAGCAACAAAUUCGGCUGAGGGCUUAGCCACAAUUCCUAUUCUAGCCCCUCCAAGAUGCCCUUGUCCUCUUCCACAAUCAAUUGCUGCUGAAGAAGAUUCAUGCUUACAUGCUUCGGAAGUCUGUACGCCAAAGACACUAAAGAAUAAGCAAAAAUAUUGUGGGAAAGAAACUAUAAAUGUUGAAAAAAAAAUUGAAAAAAAACUAAAACUCACCGCGUUCAAGUGACGACUAGAUAACAAGCUAGAUAUACUUGAUGCAGAAGAGAUUAGUUGAUUGUAACUGUAACUCUUCUGAUCAUAUCUAAUAGCAACAUCGUCACGAGUUGCAGACCCUUGAUUAGUUACCUUUACCGCCUCCAUAAAUGAACCAGAUUGCAAUGCUGUAAGGGAUUAGAAAACAAAAAAGAGCAGAUAAUCAAAUAUACAUCUAGCUUCUAGCUGCGCAUAGCACAAUUAUUCAUUCAGCCGUUGCAACAAAACUAUCAACAAACAAGCAUUGCAAAUGCAACUUUCUUAGAUAGAAACACAAAAUGAGGUCUAAUUGUGAAAUUUUAAUCCACAGUCCCCAUAACCUAAAAAUUGAAUUUCCAACCAUAUUUACUAUAGUUGAGUUAAGGACAUUUGAAGGGGCACAUUGUGUUUAACAGAACAUCCAAGGGACAAGUAAAAAUUAAAAGUGAUCAGUACAGCUGAUAGAAGAUAUCAAUAACCAGACGUGAUUAAACCAUGCAUCUGCCAUAUAAGAUGCACACGAUAGAUACACCACCAAAUGUCAUAUAGAAAGGAAUGCAGGCCUUUGAUCAACUAGAAACAUUCAACUCCCAUUUUCUUAUCUUAUUUUUCUCCGAUCACAGGGCCUUGCCUGGGUUUAAACACCUAAACUGUAAAGGGCCUUUAUUAAUUGGGUCAAAAUAUAGGAGUUCAAUACUGAAAUUCUGUUAUCAUGAUUUCAUAUAUGAAGUGAGGUUACAAAUCAUUCUAAGUGUUCCCGGGAAAAGAAAAGGAAUUUGUCCAGUUUUGGGGUCCCAACUCAAAGAACAUUAAUACACAAUAACAAAAAUCAAUAAAGAAACAAAAACCGCAUCAAUGCUAUGUUUGGCUAACGAGUGAAAACACAGGAACAUGAAAACCCUUCACAAUGCACAACCCAGGAAACCGAAAAAGAAAAAACCAAAUCCUAUUCAGUCCAGUCCUCAAUUUUUCCAAAACCCAAGACAAUCUUAAAACUUCCUCUCUCUAACUUUCUCAGCAACCAAAAAGCAAACAUCUUGUGGGCUAAACAACAUAAAAGUAGGAACUUACAAGAGAAAAGACGAGAUUCUGAUAAGCAGAGAAAAUGGUUGGUCCUUCUGAAGUAGCAGGAGGCCUUGAGACGCAAAGCAGGGGAAUAAAAGCAGAGGGACUUCAGCUGUUGGUUGAGAGAUUUAAAUGGGGAGGUGGAUCUCAUUUUAGGUGUGGCCUAUUAAAUGGUCACAAUUUUUGGUCAGUCAGUGAUGACGCAGUUGAUGUGGUUGUUGUUGUUGGUGGUGUGCUUAAGAUUAGUUUGGUUUUGGUCUUGGCUGCAUUCAAUCAAAAGGUUCAUGGUUUGGUUAUGUCUGGUCGCUGGUGCUUUGAGCCUUGACAAUUUGAACUUGAGUUCUGCUGCGAAACGGCAAGUUAAAAAGACACAAUUUUACGAGGGAGAGAUUAGAGGAGAAAUGAUUUUCACAUUUUGGGUUCUAAUUUGUGAGCUGGGGGUGUAUACAAUUAGAAUUCUAUAGCGUUUAAAAAGAUGAUAAGAACUCGUGUUUUUAACAAGUGUUUCUGUACUACAAAUUUUGAGUGAACUGUUCGAACCUUUUUUUUUCUUUUUUCUUUUUUUUUACCAUAAACUGUUAUUUUUUAUUUUUCAGGAAUUACAGUCUCAAUGUCAAUGACAUCAUGGAUAUAAUUGUUGUUCUUUCUUAACUACAAUUAGGUGCCUCACAAUUACAAAGUUUCCUUUUUGAUAAUCUACAAAGAUUACAAAAUUAAUGUUCAUGUGUAUAAGAUAAUGUUAUUUUGAUUUUUUUUAAAAUACAAAAUGGAUGAAUAAUUCCGCAUCUAAGUGACCAAGAAGUGCAUUAAAGUCAUCGAUUGAAUGAUAAAGGCUAAGUUAAACACAUACGAUUGAAGGGUGUUGGAACAAUUUUUUACAAGUGAAUCAUAUUUGCAAUUUUUCCAAUGACCCAAAAGACAAAUAAAGAAAAAAGGAAUUACUCAAAGCGUAGGGUUUAUGCUAAUCUAAGGCUAAAUUGUUAAUACUUUUAGACACAAAUGGUAAUAGAAGAAACAAAGGCGCAUGUCCACCAUAAAUAAAAAAAAGAAAGAAGGGCAGAUGAUGAUUAGAGGAAACUUUUUGGACCUACCAAGUUUCCCUACUAUGAUCGAGAUUCUUUGGACCUUCAAUUUUUCCAAAAUCUCACUUAGCCGUAAGGGCCACAAGGCCCAACCCAAGAGGCAGCUUCGAGAAACUAGAGCCCACCGUGGGGUUCCAAAAAAUUUCUCCAUAGUUUUUGAUUUUGUUCCCAGAUAUUUUGUCAAACUAUUUGAAUGGCAGGGCAUGUCGACUCACCAUAUUGUUGUCCUCCAGUUGUAGAGUGUUUUUUUUUUUUUUAAAUUUAUUUUCUCCACCAAAAACGUGCUGAUAAAUUAAAAGAAAAAGAAGAGGGCUAAUUUCAGUUACUGCAAGUGAUACAAAACUUUGAACUAUUCCAAAGCACUAAAGAAGAGGGCUUUUUCACCCUUGAAUAUCAUGUAGGGCAGAUUCAGGGCAACUCUAGUAAUUUUUUUAUAAAAAUUCAUAAAUGUCAGUUUCCGCAAAAACUCAGUUAAAACAAUCAAAGGGCCUUGCCCGCAAGAAAGUUCCCUAAACCCUUUUUUAGCUUUUAGGGUUAUGUAAUCUAUAUUUCUCAAGUAUAUAAUAUGUCAUAUUCUUGCUUGCUUCAAAAGGUUUGCCAUAUCGUGCCUUCUAGUAUUACAAUAAAUUCAACAACAAAUAUUAAAGCAAAACAUUAAACAAUAUCAUGUGUAAGUAGUAAACAAAAAUCCAAAUCGGCCUCAAAAAGAGAAAUCCAAAUCCAUCCUAAAUAGUUCAUGACAAAUUAAUAUAGACGUUCAAAUCCGCCUCAAAUAGUUCUAAUAACAAUUUUACCCAAAAAAAUAAUAAUAAUAAGUAGUAGAGUUGCCCGAGUAUGCCCUACAUGAUACUCAAGGGUGAAAAAGCCUAACCCCACUUGUGUCAAAGAGAACGCUGCAAAGGGUCUGUGCCAUUAUGCAUCCCUACAAAGGGUCUAUUGUUGGGAGGGAGAUUUGCUACUUUGAAGGUGCUCGAUCGAGUGAAGAAGAACACAAAAAUAAUCAUAUCAAAUAUAGUAGUUCAAAUAAGAUUUUAUUGCUAUUAAAGGAAUGACUUUUGUUAACCGAUACAUUAAAAGAAGGAAAAAUACUAAUCCACAAACAUAAAUAUGAAGAACUCAAUGGGGGUUUAGUUCAAACAAGAUUUCAAAUUUAGGGCUUUAAUAAACAGUAUUAUGGAGUUACACAGUUCAGAAAGAAUACGAUAAAAAUAUGUCGUAGGAAGGCGUGUCUUGAGGCCCACCCAAAUUAAAAUUCACAGCACCGUUGGCAUACAGUGCAUAAUAUAUAUAACACAUCCUUUCUAUACACAGUAUUUUGAAAAUGGGUGAGUUGGUCGAAUGUUGUUUUGGAAUGGGUGGGUUAAGUUUUUUCGUGAGCAGCAAUGGUUGUGUUAAUUAUUAUACUUGUGGUCUGAAAUUACCGUGUUUAUAAAAUUCUCUUUGAAAAGCUCUUUUGUUCAAUUUUGGUAAAAUAAGGGUACACAACAAAGAAUGAUACCUAAUGAUACUAACAUGUCGUGUUUAUUGUAUUUGAUUUGAGAUUUUUCCCAAGAAAAUUAGUAGUGAUUUCAAAUUAGAUUUGUAUGGUGUACAGAUCCUUAGAUGAUCUACUUUGUUAUGUCUUUCAUGUUUCAAAAAAAAAAAAAAACGUGUGGUGUUUACUUGACUUUUCUCAAUGUUCAUUUUACUUCCAAUAAUACCAUUGGUUAUCUUUUCUUUAGAAAAUUUAAAAUAAAUAAAAACUUUUCCCCAUAUUUUGUGAAUUAAUGACAUAACCUACAUCAUUUAUACAAUAAGUAAUUGAUAGUGAUACGUGGUUAUACAUUUAUAUAAUAAGUAAUUGUAAUUGACUCAUAAAUCAACCUAAUUACAUCAGUCUAUUACAAGGAGACAAAACCUAAUCAAAUAUAGAUUCAAUAAUUUAUAUAUGGGAAAGUGAAUAUAUGCCCGAGAUAUGUCCUUUUGCUUUACUUGAAGGAAAAGAUAAAUAUUAUCUUUUUUUAUUUCUCGCACGUAUAUAUAGCUUAUAAAUGAAUUCAUUUUGUGCUCCCUAAACCCUCACAGAUACUUUUGCUACUCAGAGCACUUGUUUAUAUCUUCUCAAUUUUCUUUGUCUACCCAAAAAGAAUCGAUCUAACUUUACAUUUUUCCUAAUCUUAAUUAAUGGCAAGGAAAGAUAUUUCAACUCUAGUGUUGGGACUGAUGGGAGCCACCUUCUUUAAGUUUAUAUGUAACUAUAUCUCUACAUAUAGAGAAACAGUUUCGGUACUUAGAUCUCUUGAUGAAAAGAUGGAAGAGAUUCGGAAUAUAUGGAGGUCAGUACGUAGUUUUAUCUUUAAUUUGCUUUUUUUUUUUUUAAAAAAAAAAAACCUUGAUCUUGGCUUUGAUGCUUUGAGUCUGCCAAGGAAAACCUCAAAGAUUAAUAUUCCAAUUUGAAUUCACAAGCAAUUGCAUUAAUUAUAAAUUUUGCUUCAACAUUAUUAUUGUAAUAACCCAAACCUAAAAUUCAUAAUUAAGGAAUAUUUUAUUUUGUGAAAAGACAAUUUUGCCUCGCAAUAUUUUAUUAAGAAAAAGAUGACUUUUUGAUCGAGAAGGAAUUUGACAAUUCCACUUACACCGUUGCGUAGAGCACGGUGAAAUGAGUUCAUAGACACGUAGUGGGCCCAAAUCGGAGUUGUAACGAGAGAGUUAUGGUCAAAAGAGUCUCAGUGGCACAACUGUAAAUAUUUCGAAGUUGGAUUUAUAAAACCAGCUCAGCCUUCUCUCUCCUCUCGCGCGAUCUCUCUCUCCUCUCUCCCGUUCCAGCGCCCCGUCGCCUUCCAGGGAUCGCCGGCGCCGACACAGGGCACCACCGGCCACGGGACCGGUGGCGUUCGAACCGCCAUCGUGUCCUCUCCCUUCGCCGACCGGUCCUCCGCCCGCCGACGACUUGUGCUGGCCGAAAAAUGCGAAACAACGACGGGAACUCACCGAAACUUCAACGCCGUCGAUCUCCCUCCUCCGGCCACCAUUUCCGUCGACCCAGGUAUGGAUCUUGAACCUCUCGAGCUGUUCUAGCUGCCUAUUGGGUAGGAUUAGAUCGAUUCGUAGUGUAGCUAUCGGAUUUUUGAGCUUGAAGUUUCAGCCGAUUUUCGGCCACUUCCGGCCACUUUUUGGGGUAGGUCAAAGAACAAAAGUGGCUUCAAAUAUGGUGUUUUACCUAGAUAGGAGUUUGGAGCCGUGGUUUGAAGUUUUUCCGGCGAGGCGAAAUCGCUUUAGACACCCAUCGCUGCCGGCGCGUGCUGCGGCACGUGGGUGAGAGUAGUGUAGUGGCACUGUGUCUUGUUGCAAUCCUUAUGUUGUCACGAGCGCGUAGGAUUUCGCGGAUCUCAAUUUGGAUACCGUUAGAGCCCCGAACGGAUUUUCCAUAUUAUGCAACUUACGGGUUCAGUAUUGUUGAGCCUUUGGAUCGUGCUCAAUUUCGGAUAUGUUGUUCUAGAUAAUUUCAUAAUCGUGUAGGAUUCGACAGAUUGUGAAUCGGAGUCCCGGAUACUCCGAAAUUGCGAACCCUGGGGCUAGGGUUUGGAAAUUGUAUGAUUUCACGAUUGGGGUCAAUCCGAUCGUCAGUUUCAAACCAAACUUGCAGGACAUAGUUCCUUAAAUGUGAGGAACUUAAAGGAACUUUCAGAUUGGUAAUUGGAGGUCGUGGACCCCACGGAGUUCCGUAUCGACCAAUGUGGAAGUUUAUCGCUUAGUAAAGUCUCGAGUCUUUUCAGACGAUUUUAAAUAUAUGAAAUGCCUAAGUGGGCAGGAAAAUGACUUUAAAGUUAGUGCAUGCACUUUUAGAAGUCGGGGGUCAGGGUUUUACUUAACAACUUAUACCGAGCAGUUUUAUUAAUUAAAUAUUCGUGAUGGAUUACCAGGCACUCGGGACCAGGCAGGCCCGCAGGAGAGACUUUCAGGAGGUCUAGCCAGCUUGGACCAAGAGUGAGUGGACUUUUCUUUUUAUAAAUGAUUUAUAUAAAUGAAUUGCAUUAUUUGAUCUUGAAUAAGUAUUAUUCAUUGUGAUUUUCUAGCAUGUCCGUGAAAUUAAAUAUCCUAUUUAUACAUUGCUUAGCUGAGUAUACCAAAGUGAUAUAGAAAGCAGAGUUUAAGAAUUUUACCAGAGAAAAUAGCAGUUUAAUUUCAGAUUUUCUGAAAUAUAGUUAUUUAACAGACUUUUCUAAGAUAUUAUAUUUAAACCACCAUGUACCCAACUAUGGUGAUUGCCCUCAGUUAUACAGAUGUCUACGGACAUCCAGUUACCCUCAGUUUGUCAGUGCACUUGACAUUUGCCUCACGAGUUUCGGGGACGCUCGGACCGUGAGUGCUAGGAUUUGCGGCUCGGAUAGACUGUGUGUCGCUGAGACCUGCCAGGAUUUACGGCUCGAAUUGACUUGGUGUCCCGAGACCUUCCAGGAUUUGCGGCUCGGAUUGACUUGGUGUCCCGAGACCUGCCAGGAUUUGCAGCUCGAGUUGACUUCGUGUCACCGAGAUCUGCCAGGAUUGCGGAUCAGGCUGACUACGGUCCCCUGAAUCCUGCCAGUUGCGGCUCGGGUUGACUUUGUGUCACCGAGACUUGCCAGCGGAUCAGGCUGACUAUAGUCCCCUGUAUCCUGCCAGUUUGCGGCUCGGAGAGACUGUUUGUCGCCGAGACCUGCCAGGGGAAUUGACGGAAUUACAGGGGUACAUCCGAGUGGUAGUUUUGAUUAAUUACAGUGCUUUGAUUCAAGUUUUGAGCACAUUGCUUUCAUGCAGGCUGUAGCAUGCACAGGAUAUCCACCCCCGGGCCAUGUUGACUUCCGCACCUUCUUGGUACUAAAGCGAUGGUGUGUAAAACGAUUAACUUACCUGUAUACUAUUAGACUGCUCUGAUAUUGCCCUAGAGUGAGAUUGGAACUUUUGGCAUGUUUUUUGAAGUGCUGGCUGUUGGAUGUAUGGAUAUGUGUGCUCGUUUUGACAGGUGUAAGUUUUGGGAUUGAACGAAAUAUAGGGGAGACUUUGUCGAAAUUUCGGUAGGAGUCAAGGUCAAAAUUUUAAGUAAAAGGGCAAAUAGGUCAUUUGUGCCCGACAUUUGCCAAGUGUCGGACACGCACAGGGUUCGACCCGAAUUCCAAAGCGGAAUUUGGUUCGGGUCCUGUCAAUUAUAUUUUGCCAUGCCUUGUAUGUGUUAAUAGCCAUCAAUAAUUUAUAGCGCUUGUUGGUCAGGACAUGGACGGCUUCUUCAAAAACCAUGAUGAAUGGAAGAACUAUUUUGACUUCUUCUAGUGUCUCAAAUAUCGCGUGAUGUAUGACAAAAUAUGGGUCAAUUAUGGUGUGAAAAAUUAAUUAAAAUAACGUGGCUCAAAGUUGGAAGGAAAUUGUGCAAGAGAGUUAAAUUCCAAUUAAAUGUCAAUUAUAGCGCUAGGAAAAGAAGGAAGGCGUAUCAUUGAGAUUUUCUAAUUGAUUGAGGAAGUUUGAAGCAAUUAUGAUUCUGUCAAGAUUUGUAUUUAAUUUUAUAUUUAAUUUUACAUUUUGAAGAAUAAGUUAUCUAUUAGGAUAUUAUUUUCCUAAUAUGAUUUUUAUUAUUUUCUUGAAUUUAGGAAUAUUCUAGAAUCUAGGGUUUCCUACGGUUUUAGGGUUUCUUUGUUUUCUAUUUAAGCCAACUCAUGGCGUUGUAUUUGAAGUUUGUUCAUCUUAUUUUCAAUCAAUAUAUUUGAGAUUGACUCAAUUUCUCUGGUGGAUUCCAGUUUGUUGGUGGAUUCUGAUAUUGUUACUUGUAGGGUUAUCGUUCGAUCUCUCUGUUCCUUAUAUCUCGCUAUCCCUAAAAUAAGGGAUAGGGAGAUCGAAUGAUAACCCUACAAGUAAUAAUGUUGGAAUCCACCAACAAACUUGAAUCCACCAUAAAAAUUGAGUCAACCUCAAAUAUAUUGAUUCUUAAUAUUAUGAUGCUCUUUUCUGCUAUAAAGUUAUCUAAUUUAAACUUUUUGUAAUUACAAUUUGAUUUGCUUUGUAUGCAUUCAAAUUCCAAUAGGGAGAUUAUUAGGCGGCUGAAUUUGGAAAAUUAUCCUAACAAAUAAACUGAUCCACAGCCCAAACUUUCCUGGUAUGCAUUGUGCUUAAUCCUACUUUCCUUUCUCAUUUUUGUUUUCAUUAUUUUCGUUUCCUGGUAUAUAUGUAAUGAAUAACAUUCGUAUCGAUCUAAAUUUGUAUGAAAGACACCUUCAAGUGCUUGCUUAUUAAAUUGGAAGAAGAAGAAACCUCAAUCAUACUCAAUAUUGAUAUUAAACAAACUCUAGUUUUGUUCUGUCAUGGUACAACAAGUUAUAACUACUGUACAAUGCAUAUUGAUCUUCUUUUAAAAAGAAUAAAAGUACAAGUAAAGCGGUAAUUAACGGUCUUAAUUUCCUACUUCUCACUAAUUAGCAUUUCUUGCAGUAGUUAUGUUCAUUUCGUUGGUACAAGUCUUGAAAUCUAAUCACAUUGAUACGGGAACGAUAUAUAUAUAUAUAUUAUAUAUUUGUGAUGAUUUUAAAUUUAAUAUCAAAUUCCAGUUAACCCGACUGCAUGUAAAAAUAUGGUGAAAACUAUGUAAAUCUCAUUACGCUUUAGCUUUAGUCUUCUAUGGCAACUAUUUACACCAUGCUCUACCUCAUGUUAGGUCAGAACCAAGCAACAAUUAGCUUAUGUUUAUGUAACUACUCGGUCCUAAAUAAAUUGGUAAUUAUUAAUUUAUGUAGAUAAAAGACCAUUUUACUCCUAGAAUGUUUUUAUUGGGUUCAAAGUUGACUUUUUGACUGGGAAGGAAUUUGAGAAUUUCAGCUGUACUGUUGCGUAGAGCUCGACGAGAUGAGUUCGUAGGCACGUAGUGGGCUCGAUUUGGAGUUGUAACGAGGAAGUUACGAUCAAAAGAAACUCAGUGACACAAUCGUAAUUAUUUCGAAAUGAGAUUUUUAUAAAAACAUAAAUCUCUCUCUCUCUCUCUCUCUCUCGCGAGAAAAACCCCUCCUCCCCCUUUCGUUUUCUGCACAGCCGGUGGCUUCUCAAAGCCACCGCCGCCACCACCGUCCACGACCGGCCUCGAGACCGGUCAUGUUUGAACCAUCGCUUCUCCCCCUUCCUUUCCCGACCAGCCCCGCCCCUGGAACCGCACGAUUCCAUCGGAAAAAGCUCAUAAUCGCACCGAUUUUGACAGAAACUUCUCCGGCUUCGUUCGCCGUCGUUCGGCCACCAUUUUUGACGAUCCAGGUAUGGAUUUUGAACCUCUCGAGCUGUUCUUACUGCCUGUUGUGUUAGAUCUGAGAUAUUUCUGCGUUUUGAAGGUCGAUUAAGCGAUGGAAGUUUGGCCGGUUUUUGGCCUCUGAUUCCAGCCACUUCCGGUCACUUUUUCGGGUAGGUCCAAGAACAAAAGUGGUUCCAAAUAAGGUGUUAUACCUAGGGUAAGAGUCUUAAGCCAUGAUUUUGAGAUUUUCCGGCGAUGCGUAAUCACUUUGGACACCCACGCACUGCCCGCGCUUGAGCGGCGCGUGGGCACUGUAGAAAUAGGGCAUUGUAUCCCGAUGCGAUGCCCUUGUUGUCUUGAGAGCGUAGGUGUGCUCAUAUUUCAAUUUGGAUACCGUUUGAGUCUCGAACGGAUAUCGCAUAUUGUGCGUUAUCCGGGUUCAAUAGGUUUAAACCGUUGGAUAGUCUUAGAUUUAUAAUAUGUUAAUGUAGACAUUCUUAGGAUCGUAUGAGAUUUGACAGAUCGUAUAACGGAGUCUCAGAUACUCUGGAAAUGCCAACCCUAAGGCUAGGUUUCUAGUAACCGUCCGAUCGUGAGUGAUCCGACAGACCGAUCCAGACCAAACUUGCGGGAUGUGUAUCCUAAACCUUGUAGAACCUAUAGGAACUUUCGGAUCGGAAUUUGGAGGUCGUGGCCCAUGGGCCCAUUUGACCAAGUUGGGGUAGUUGGACCCCUCGGUUGACCGUGAGUCUUCCGAGGUAGUUUCACCCUUCGGAAGGUAUUAGGAUGACUCUUUUUUGUCGAAUCUUAACUAUUAUUUGAGGUUAAAUUGGAAAUUGAUUCAAUUUAGGAUUUUCCUUAGAGGUUGUUGCUUAUCAUUAAUUAGUAUUAUUUGAUUAUAAUGUUCUAGUUGUGUGAUACGGUAUUUUAUAAAAUUUGUGUGAAAAACAAGCGUUGAAUAAUAUUUAAAUUGUUUUAGGGAUCUUUAUGAAAUUUAUGUUUAUGGUGUAUGACCGUUGGUCUAAAAAUAAUAUUAUUUUCCUGAUUAAAUUACGUUGUUGUCUACUAUAGAUUGGUAUCACUAAAUUUGGAAUACCUCUAUUAUUAGUUUAGAUAAUUAAGAGUAUGUCAGUUUGAAGCACUAUACACACCACCCUAUGUACCUCCCCGGAUAUUGAUUACACUGUAAGUACUAUCCUGUGAUUGUUAGGUCACACGUGGUGUAGGUUAUCCUGCGUGUUGACAGACCCCAUACAUGACUUUGGAUGUUCCAGCGUAUGAGGGAGAUUAUGUGAUGGUUAGGUCGCAUGUGGCGUAGAUUAUCCGGCGUGUUGACAUACCUUAUACGUGGCGUUGGAUGUUUCGGCCUAUGGGGGAGAUUAUGUGAUGGUUAGGUCACACGUGGCGUAGGUUAUCCGGCAUGUUGGCAGACCCUAUACGUGGCGUUGGAUGUUCCGGCUUACAAGGCACCACUGUGCUCAUAAAAGUCCUAUGGCCAACCCUUGAAUAGAUGGAAGUGUUAAAAGAAACAACAUAAUGCAAAAAAACAAAAAAAAUAGUAGUUCAUGAAUUUUCUAGUCAUUUGAUGCAGCAAAGAUUCUGGUGGCGUUUUUUCUGAUUCAACAAGACUAAAAGUUAUUGUCAGUUACAGUUACCUUACACAACUUGUACAAAAUCCAUCCACUUCCAAGCUCACUCUCCAUCAUCUUCACAAAAUCCAUCCACUUCCAACUUGCACAGAUUGAAAUGAGCAAAUACACAAAUACACAAAUACACAAAUACAUCCAAACUACUUCAUUAGUUUCUCCGUGCAAAGAAUUAAUCCUUGAUCACUCAACCAACCCAACAAAAUGCUUUUCUGAAACCACAAUCAAAACACAGAGUUUCAUAGGCAGAGUAAAGAUAUAAUCAUGGCAUCAGAUUGAGUUUCUUAUGCAUUAAAUGCAUAGUGAUAUUUGUACUGAUUUAAACCCAAAAAGAAAAAGGAAUGACAAUUAAAAAUAGCUAACCAAGAAGUAAUUCACUUGGAAACAACUAACAAAAUGUUGGUUCCUAACACUUAUAUCUAAGUCUUGGUAGCUGGUUGCUUAGGAAAGGAGAACUACUACCACCACCACCACAGGAGGAGGAGAAGGGGUGCUUGGCUUGCCGCCUCCGCCACUUGCACUGCCUCUGCCGCCGCUGCCGCCUCCUCUGCUUGAACUGCAGCUGCUGCCACUGCUGCUGCCGCCUCCUCCGCUUGAACUGCAGCUGCUGCCGCCGCCGCUUGAAUUGCAGCUGCCCCUGCUGCCCUUUGCUACUGUGCUUUGGCAAUAAAAACACAAGAACCAGCGGUCGCAAACCAAAACAACACGCUCAACCCAAUCGUAAAUAAAGCCCCAACCUUCCAAUUAUGCACCAGUUGCACGAUUCCAUGGAUUUUUCCAAGGUCACCACUGACUUUCUUCCAUAGUUGUUUCAUCCCUCGCAUUUUUCUUCUUUCCUUUCUCUCCUCUCUCUCUCUCUCUCUCUCUCUCUCUCUCUCUCUCUCUCUUUCUCUCCUCUUUCUCUCAUCUUUCUCUUCUUUCCAUUCAUCUUUAAUGAUGAUGAGUGUAUAAAAUUUCAAGCAAACCUCUAGAGUCUCUAUAGUAGAGAGGUAGGGAGCAAGGCUUCAGCUGUGCAGCCAAAAACCAGAGGAAGAACAGCACUGUCGUUUCCCCAUUUGGUUGAACAUGGGUAUUUUCGUAUGACCGUGAGUCUUCCGAGGUAGUUUCACCCUUCGGAAGGUAUUAGGAUGACUCUUUUUUAUCGAAUCUUAACUAUUAUUUGAGGUUAAAUUGGAAAUUGAUUCAAUUUAGGAUUUUCCUUAGAGGUUGUUGCUUAUCAUUAAUUUGUAUUAUUUGAUUAUAAAUAAAGUAUAAUGUUCUAGUUGUGUGAUACGGUAUUUUAUAAAAUUUGUGUGAAAACAAGCGUUGAAUAAUAUUUAAAUUGUUCUAGGAUCUUUAUGAAAUUUAUGUUUAUGUGUAUGACCAUUGGUCUAAAAAUAAUAUUAUUUUCCUGAUUAAAUUACUUUGCUGUCUACUAUAGACUGGUAUCACUAAAUUUGGAAUACCUCUAUUAUUAGUUUAGAUAAUUAAGAGUAUGUCAGUUUGAAGCACUAUACACACUACCCUAUGUACCUCCCCGGAUAUUGAUUACACUGUAAGUACUAUCCUGUGAUUGUUAGGUUACACGUGGUGUAGGUUAUCCUGCGUGUUGACAGACCCCAUACAUGACUUUGGAUGUUCCAGCGUAUGAGGGAGAUUAUGUGAUGGUUAGGUCGUAUGUGGCGUAGAUUAUCCAGCGUGUUGACAUACCUCAUACGUGGCGUUGGAUGUUUCGGCCUAUGGGGGAGAUUAUGUGAUGGUUAGGUCACACGUGGCGUAGGUUAUCCGGCAUGUUGGCAAACCCUAUACGUGGCGUUGGAUGUUCCGGCUUAUGGGGAGAUUUUGUGAUUGUUAGGUCCCAUGUGCCGUAGGUUAUCCGGCGUGAGGACAUACCUCAUACGUGGUGUUGGAUGGUCUGGCGUAUAGGGGAGAUUAUGUGAUGGUUAGGUCACACGUGACGUAGGUUUUUCGGCGUGUUAACAGACCCCAUACGUGGCUUUGGAUUUUCCGGCAUAUAGGGAGAUUAUGUGAUUACUAGGGAUAUGAAUAAAGGAUUGUUAUGUUAUAUUGGGAAAGAACUAUGUGUGGCUUGAUCCCUCAGUAAAGGUGCGUAGGCAGCCUAGGGUAGUGCCUAGGUGCAGCCGCAGACUAAAUGUUGUUUUAUUGAGAUUGGUUCUGACCUUGUCGUUGGUCCUGAAAUUUGGGUGAAAACGAGGUGUGAUCGUGCUAGGAGGUUAAAACCUCGUAUGUUGGAUAUUUGGGAAGUCAUUUUAUACUGAUUAUAGUGGGCAUUCAUAAAUUGUCUGAAUUCAUUAUUGGCAUUGUUUAGAGUUUGUUGGUGGUUUUGCUUCGGGUUAUUUGAAGGUUGGAGGCCAUCUAUGUGAAUUGUAUGUUGUUAUAUUGUGCGUGCUGCCUGUUGGGAUAUUAAAUUGUGAAUUUUGUGCAGGUUGAAAUUUAAAAAAUGUUCAAUUUACAGGGGAGACUCUGCCGAAAUUUCGGUAGAAAGUCUCGUGCCCUUAUUCCUUUUUGAGAAAAUGGAUAUAGUUUUAGAAGUGGGCCCGACAUCGGGGUAAUGUCGGGAAUUUCCACAUGAUUCGUCUCGGGUUUCAGGAAAUUCGGGGCGAGUCUUGUCAGCUUAUGUCAGAAUGACCAACAAUUUUGUGGGCUCAUAACUUAGGUUUUCCUUCAGCAAAUGACGACUUCGAGCCCUCCAACUUGAAGUUCAGAAUGUCAUAUUUCCAACCACGUGUCAUUGGGCCAAACCAAAGUCGAAUGAAGAUGUUAAGCCCAAAACAAGUUGCUAACUCAGUCUUCAAGUUUGCACAAUUUUGCACCCUUGUUACAAUUAUGCACUUAUCAUUUCUCCCAAGAUAUCAGGUACCAAAAUUAGGUGCAACUAGAGUGAGGCAAUGGCUUUGGGAUGAAGUAGAACUCCAAGUGACAGGACUCGAUCCUAAUUCCACUUUGGAAUUCGAGUUGGAACCUGCGCAUGUCCGACACCUGGCGAAUGUCGGGCACAAAAGACCUUUUUACCCUUCCGGUUACAAACUAGGGUUUAAAACUUCCCUAGACUCCUACCGAAAAUUUGGCAGAGUCUCCCCUGUAAUUUGUUCAAACCCAAAAAUUUUCACCUGUCAAACAAGCAAAUAUCUACACCCAACUGCUAGAAUAAGUAAACAAAACAUCCACCAGUUCUGGUUCUCAACUCUAACCAGAUAUCAGAGCAGUUACUAAUAUUUACAAGAAUUUAAGUGUUUUACAACAAAAUCCUACAUUUCGUGGGUGGCGCGGGAGCUAGGAGAAGGCCCGGUGGUGGAUUCCUGUGCACGUCUACUGCCUGGGAGGCGCAAAACAUUUGAAAAUGUGAGUGGACAAAAAGAAAGUUCCAGAAAACAAUAUGUGAACAUAAUAACCCCCACUGUAAAAAUAAUCGUCAUGUAAAGCUGAAUAUAUAAACUGCACUUGAAUUAUGCUAAAUUCAAAGCAUUCACAUAAAUAUAUACAUAUAUAUCUACAUAUAUAAAACAUGUUCAAACUCGAGAAAACUCGUAUAAAAUCACUGUAAUCAACAUUCGCAUGAAAGCACUGAAAUCCCUUUAAAACUACCACCUAGGUGUACCCCUGUAAUUCCAUCAAUUCCCUGGCAGGUCUCGGCGACACACAGUCUGUUCGAGCCGCAAACUGGCAGGAUUCAGGGGACCGCAGUCAGCCUGAUCCGCUUGCAGGUCUCGGUGACACAAAGUCAACUCGAGCCGCAACUAGCAAGAUUCAGGGGACCGUAGUCAGCCUGAUCCGCAAAUCCUAGCAGACAUCGGCGACACCAAGUCAAACCGAGCUGCAAUCCUGGCAGACCUCGGCGACACCAAGUCAAACCGAGCUGCAAUCCUGGCACUCAUGGUCCGAGCGUCCCCGAAACUCGUGAGGCAAAUGUCAAGUGCACUGACAAAACUGAGAAUAAACUGGAUGUCCGUAGACAUCGGCAUAACUGAGGGUAAUAACUGUAGUUGGGUACAUGGUGGUUUAAAAUAAAAUAUCUUAGAAAAGUUUGAUAAAUGACUGUAUUUUGGCAAAUCUGAAACUAAACUGCUAUUUUCUCUGAUAUAAAUCUCAAACUCUACUUUUUAUAUCACUUUAGCAUAAUCAACUAAGCAGCGUAUAAUUAAGAUAUAACUUCACAAUCAUGUUAGGGAAAUCACAAUGAAUAAAACUUAUUCAAGAUUAAAUAAUGAAAUUCAUUUAUAUAAAUCAUUUAUAAAAGGAAAGUCCACUCACUUUUGGUCCGAGCUAGCUGGACCUCUUGAAGGUCCCUCCUGCGGGCCGGUCUGGCCCCUGGUGCCUGAUUAACCAUGAAUAUUAAAUUAACAAAACUGCUCAAUAAAAGUAUUAAAUUAAAAACCCUGACCCCCAGCUCCUAGAAAUGCGUGCACUGUAAAGUCAAUCUUAUGCCCACUUUAGCAUUUUAGACAUUUAAAACGGUCUUAAAAGGCCUGAAGCUUUACUAAGCGAUAAACUGUCGUACCGGUCGAUACGGAACCCGUGGGGUCCACGACUUCCGAUUGUCAAUCUGGGAUUCCCUAAUGGUCCCUCACAGAGAAAAACCCAUAUCCUGCUGGUUUGGCCUGAAUUAGACGGUCGGAUUGGUCACAAUCGCGUAAUAGCUUAAUUUCCAAACCCUAACCCCAGGGUUCGCGAUUUCGGAGUAUCCGGGACUCCGAUUCGCAAUCCGUUGAGUCCUACACGGUUCUAAAAUCAUGUAGAACAACAUAUCUGAAAUUGAGUGUGAUCCAAAGGCUCGACAGUAUUGAACCCGGGAAUCGCACAAUAUGGAAAAUCAGUUCGAGGCUCAAACGGAAUUCAAAUUGAGAUCCGUAAAAUCCUACACGCUCGUGACAACACGAGGAUCGCAAAAAUACAUAAGGUCACUGCACUACCCUCACCCACGCGCCGCCUCACGCGCGGCAGCGGUGGGUGUCCAAAGCGAUAACAUCUCGCCAUAAAAACUCAAAACCAAGGCUCCAAACUCCUAUCCUAGGUAUAACACCACAUUUGGAGCCACUUUUGUUCUUGGACAUACCCCAAAAAGUGGCCGAAACUCGGCCUAAUUUCAAAUCCAAAACUGGGCAAUCUACGGCUAAAAUCGAUGAAAACCUAUCCAACCAUCAGCUAGAGCACGAAAAAUAGGUGAGAAUCCAUACCUUACUCGACAAAAUCGGAUGAGAAUUGAAGGAGAACGAGAGGUUUGAAAAUCGGGCAAAACCGACCGGAUUUCUUCGUUUUCCGGCCAACUCCGGUCAGCUCGUGGGCGGAGAUGGGUCGUGACGUGACGGCGAGGUCGAGGCGGUCCCGUCGAUACCGGCGCCGUGGGUCGAGGCGGCCUGUGGUGGCGACUGGAGCAAUCAGAAGGGAGGAGGGCGCUGCGCGUAGGAGGGGAGGAGAGAGAGAGAGGAGAGAAACUGAGGGAGAAGAGAGAGAGAAGAGAUAAAAAUUUGAUUUUUGUCCAAAUUACCGUUUUGCCCUUCAUGGUAUUUUGACCGUAUUUUCUUCGUUACAACUCCGACUCGAGUCCACUCCGUGUCUACGGACUCGUUUCGCCGUGCUCUACGCAACGGUGUAAGUGGAAUUGCCAAAUUCCUUCUUGGUCAAAAAGUCAACUUUUUCCAACUAAAAUAUGGUGAGGGCAAAAUCGUCUUUCUUCAAAAUAAAUUAAUAAUUAAUUAGGGAUUUUUGUUUUGGGUUAUUACACCAAGCUCUUGAGUUGGCAGCUGCAAACAAUUAUGUCAUGAAAAUACUACGCAAUGAUUAGUAGUAUGAGACCAGGAGUUAUGAUACUUACAGAGGGUUUUCUUCUCAUGUAAAUAUAAAGUUUUUUUUUACUGAUUUGAUUGGUGGAUUAUUUUGGUUCUUGCUUUGAAUGACAUACUCAACCAUCAAUCGAGUCCAAAAGGCCUUGUAAUCGAGGCUUAGAACCUAUGGCCGAGAAUUGUUCCUCUCUUAACCAUAAUUGUUUGAAAAAAAGUCUAUCAAAAAGCGGAUUCACCGCUCAUCACCUAAUUGUACUCUCAUUUCUGGCCUCGGUAGUAGCACGCUUCGAUACAAGGCCUUUUGGAGCGGGUGAACAAGGCUUUCAAAACAGUGAGUGCUGACUUACCUAAGGUGGUUGAGAAAAUGAACUGGGUGAUCCAAUCCAUGGACAAGUGAAAAAUGAAGGCCUAUGUUAAUGUUGGAUUUAGAGUUUUGUCCUUUGUUGCAACGACCAUAAAGGCGGCGGAGAUGGCAAGCCAAGAAACCCCCCUUCUCCUCCUCCUCCUCCUCCUCCUCUUGGCAUCAUCCCCUGAGUAGGUGCGCACCAUCGGAUGUGAGGACUAUUUUGCAACUACCAUCCAUAUCAAAUCAAGCAGAUAGGUUUGGGCCUUGAUCCUUCUACUACGUUCUCUUUUUGAAAGCCUAAUCUCUUUAAUCCCGUGGGCAGAAAAAAAAAAGUGUAAACAUAUAUAAAAUUACUAUAAAUAGGAGGAACUUGCAAUUGUAAGUGAUAAAUGGACUGAAAAUUACUAAAGUAGAAAGUCAAUUAAUGAAAUUUAUUCUUUAUUUUUUAUUUUUUACUCAGCUCCGUAUCCCUAGGUGGUACCUGUAUCCCAUGCCUUGAUAUGUUUAGAAACCAACUGAGAAGAUUCGGUCAUUUCCUUUAUUGUUCCAUUCGGUCGUUAAAUCGAUCUUCAACCGUGGUGGCUUGCUCUACCAAGGUAUCUCAAUUGGAAAGUGGGCGUCAACCACGAGAAUGGUAGUCGUGGGAAAAGGAUUGGAGUCCACUGUCUAUUAGGUCUGCAAUAUGUCAUGAAAAGACUACGCAAUGAUUAGAUGAGACCAAGAGUUAUGAUACUUGCAGAGGGUUUUCUCCUUCAAAUCUUUAUCCUUAGGAAUUUUAUGCCCCGUAGGAAGUUUGAUCAGCCUCUUGGCCAGAAGUUGGUCGAAAAUAGCCUCACCCUUUUUAAGCUCAAACAUGUAACUCUUCGGCUCAUGAGUUGUGUUGAUUUGAGGUCGGCUUUGUCAACUCUUUACACAUGAAAGGUUCUUCGAUGUUAACCUUGACGUCAUCAACUUACACCUCUACUUCAUCGUGUUGGGUCUCAUACGUCUCGACAUAGCUUACUGUAAUAGUGCAUCAUAUUUGGCGACCCUAUUGGUCAGGUCAUGCAUGUCGGAAAACUCAAUACCUUUAAACUUUUUUUGAAAUUCAAGAUCCAACCCCUCUUAAGCCAUUUUCACGAUUCUCUUUCGGCCAGAUUGAUUCAACUAGUUUAGUAUCAUCAAUUGACAUGGAUAACGAGGCGGUGCGUAGGCGUAUUAUUUAGUAUCGUCCACUUGUGGAAGCACUUUGUUCACCUUCAAAACAACUUCAUUCAAAUUUGAAAGCAUUUGUUCAUGCACCUUCAAAACAACUUCAUUCACAAUUGGAAGAGUUUCUUCAUGCACCUUCAAAACCACCUGAUGCACCUUUGGAAUCAUUUCAUGGAUGCUUGAAAUGAUUCCAUCAACCUUCUUAAGUAUUUCAAAAACCAUUUUUCCUCUUCUUCUUCUUUUCUUUUUUCUCUUUGAUUUGUUUGUUCUCUCUCUCACUCUCACUCUCUCUCUCUAGAUUCUACUUCUUAACAUGUCAAAUUUGAAUAUAAAAAGUGUCCUAACAAUAUACAAAAUUGAUCAUAAAAAGUGUGAUAAAUAAUGUGCUAAAUUAUUCACAAUCAUCUUAGCUUCUCGAACUUUAAAAUUGAUGAAGCAUAUGCCAAAUGUCUCUCAUCAUAAAAGAUUCCAUAGAAUAGCACUUUUUUCUAGUAAACAUUUGUAUGUAUAAUAAUGUGUAAUUUGGAAAUAAUAUUUUUAGAAAGAUGAAAGCUUAGAGUACUAAACUUAAUAAGUUUGAUAUAAUAUUUCUAGAAACAAUUAAACCGAGUAGUCUGAGUUUAAAAGAGACUAAAUAGAGCCCAAAAAUAUUUAACGCAAAAUGCAUGUCAGAAAGAGAUUGAAGGAGAGACAAAGGCGUAGAGCGAUAGAAAUAGCCUCGUUGAGAAAAGAUUUCUUUUAGUAUGAUGGCAUUUCAAAGUUUGUAUUCCUAAAACCUUGUGUAUUCUUCUGUUAAGAUCAUUGAUUGGUGCUGCAUUACUUUCCUCUGCAAUUUACAUAUAGUUUGAUACCCAAUGCAGAGCUUCCUUUGAUGAAUGAACAUUAUUACUAAAUGCAAAGCACACCAAAUGAUUCCAUUAAAAAUCACUAGUUCAAUCUUCCAUUCCCAGUGUGACAUGACAAAAAUGAAAAAUUAGCAAAGUAUAGAUAAUCAUCUUAAAAACAAGAUUCCCUGAAACCUUAAGGUUCAAUACCAGAUGAUUUUCAAAAUUUUAACAUUAUUUUGUAUCUUGUACACCAAAUAAUUUGAAUAUUAUAGCAACUUUUAAUAAACAGAUCAAAAUUCCCCAAUCCGCCUGAAUCUUAUUCUAUUGUAGCAUACACAAGCUCUUGGAAUUUCCCAAUAUCCCAUCAAACCUAGAAAAACUGUUUUAUUUCCCUCACGCAAACUCAUAAACGUAGGAGAAAAUUACUACACAUUCCAUUAAACUUAAAUGAUUUUUAUUGUGAUUUUUUUUUCUUCAUGUUCUUGUGUUUUCACUCAGUAACCAAACAGAGCAUUGAUGGGUUUUUAUUUGUUUAUUAUUUUUUGUUUUAAUGUUCUUUGAAUUGAGACCUCAAAACAAAUUCUUUUUCUUUUCCUAGGAAUACUUAGAAAGACUUGUAACUUAUUGGUUACCUGACUUCUAAAUACUUCAUAUAUCAAAUCAUGAUAACAAAAGGGCAUGUCUUACCCAGAUAGAAUUUAUAAUCGUAUUAACCAUUAUUUCUCUCAACUAUUGUCAGUAAUAGUAUUGAACUACUAGAUUUGGAAACAAUAAAUAAAAGCCCCUUACAUUUUAGGUGUUUGAACCUAGCCAAGGGGCUCGAGGCCUUACUGUUUACCCCUGUGAUCGAAGAAAAAUAAGAUAUGGAAAAGGAAGCUGAAUGUUUCUAGUUAAUCAAAUGCCUACAUUCUUUUGAGUAUGACAUUUGGAGAUGUUUAUAUUGUGUGCAUCUUAUUUCACGUCUGGCUACUGAUAUCUUCUAUCAGCUGUACUGAUCACUUGCAAUUUUUCCUUGCCCCUAUUGCAAAUUGAAUUUAUCCCUUGGAUUUUCUGCUCAACAUAAUAUGCCUCUUCAAAUGUCCUUAGCUCAACUAUAGCAAAUAUGAUUGGGAAUUUGGGUUUUAGGUUAUAAUGACUGUGAAAUGGAAUUAUGAGAUAUAACCCCAACUAGUAAAAGGCUUCUGGUUCUGUGUUUCUAUUUAAGAAACUUGCAAGUGCAAUGCAUGCUUGUUGAUAGUUUUGUUGCAUGGGCUAAAUGAAUCAUUGUGUUAUUUCUUUAGCUCGAAGCUAUAUGUAUAUUUGAUGCACUUCUCUUUUUUGUUUUCUAAUCCCUUACAGUAUUGCAAUCUGGCUCAUUAUGGAGGCGAUAAAGGUAGCUAAUAAAGAGUCUGCAACUCGUGAUAGUGUUGCCAUUAGAUUUGAUCGGAAGAGUUACAGUUACAAUCAACUAAUGUCUUCUGCAUCAAGUAUAUCUAGCUUGUUAUCUAGUCAUCACUUGAACGCAGUGAGUUUGAGCUUCUUUUUCAACAUUUAUUGUCUUGCUUUCCCACAAUAUUUUCGCUUAUUCUUUAGCAUCUUUGGCUUACAGACUUUUUUAUUGUUGAAUAUAAACGAUUUUAUUAGCAAAGAAACAAAGGAUGUAAAAAUGCGGGAACAAAAAUCAUUAAGACCUAUGAAGCUAUAGGCUUUGGCUUACAGACUUUCGAAGCAAGUAAGCAUGAAUCUCCUUCACCAGCAAUUGAUGGUGGAUGAGGACAAGGGCAUCUUGGCGGGGCUAGAAUAGGAAUCGUGGCUAAGCCCUCAACUGAAUUUGUUGCUGGUAUACUUGGGACCUGGCUUAGUGGAGGUGUUGCGGUUCCACUUUUUCUCAGCUCAGCUAUCAUGAAGCUGAGCUCUUGCAUGUGAUAAAUGAUUUAGUGAGUCCCCAAAAUCCCCUUCGUUUUACUUUUCUUUCUUAGUGAAUUGUGUUUUUCUCAACAAUAUUUACUGAGUUAUUUUCUUAUUAAAUUUUAUUCUCUUUCUUUUUGUUUUUGUAUGUAGUAUAUUUUUUUUUUCGGGUAAAAAUGUAGUAUAUUUUUCAAUUGAGCAAAAAAAAAAAAAAAAUUUAUCGUAUUCUCUUUGAACUUUUGCUUUUGUUUUUGUAUGUAGUAUAUUUUUCCAAAAUUUUUGCUUUAAAAUAUACAUAUAUGAUAUAUGAUGUGCAUGCCUAUACAUGUUUGUUUGUAUUUGUGUGGUUGAAAUUUUGGUCGACGAUUUACUGGAUUUGAUAUUAAAAAAAUUGUUCUAUUACUUAAGUCUGUACUGUGAUUUUGAUGUUAAUAUUUUGUUUUGAAUUCUUGAAGUUUUUGUUUUGAAUUCUUGAAGUUCAUGUUUUGAAUUCUUAAAGUUCAUGUUUUGAUUAUUUGAAGUUCAUGUUUUGAUUUGUUUCAAUGCUCUUGAAGUUUAUAAUUUGAAUUCUUGAAGUUCAUGUUUUGAUUUCUUGAAGUUCAAGUUUUGAAUUCUUAAAGUUCAUGUUUUGAUUUUUUGAAGUUCAUGUUUUGAUUUGUUGCAAUGCUCUUGAAGUUUAAAUAUUGAAUUCUUGAAGUUCAAAUAUUGAAUUCUUGAAGUUUAUGUUUUGAAUUAUUGACGUUCAUGUUUUGAUUUUUUGAAGUUCAUGUUGUGACUUGUUGCAAUGCUCUUGAAGUUCAUGUUUUGAUUUGUUUCAAUGCUCUUGAAGUUUAUAAUUUGAAUUCUUGAAGUUCAUGUUUUGAUUUCUUGAAGUUCAUGUUUUGAUUUCUUGAAGUUCAAGUUUUGAAUUCUUAAAGUUCAUGUUUUGAUUUUUUGAAGUUAAUGUUUUGACUUGUUGCAAUGCUCUUGAAGUUCAAAUAUUGAAUUCUUGAAGUUCAUGUUUUGAAUUCUUGACGUUCAUGUUUUGAUUUUUUGAAGUUCAUGUUGUGACUUGUUGCAAUGCUCUUGAAGUUUAUGUUUUGAUUUCUUGAAGUUCAUAUUUUGAUUUUUGAAGUUCUUAUUUUGAUUUCUUGAAGUUCAUGUUUUGAUUUUUUUGAAGUUCAUGUUUUCACUUGUUUCAAUGCUCUUGAAGUUCAUGUUUUGAAUUCUUGAAGGUCAUGUUUUGUAUUCUUAAAGUUCAUGUUUUGAUUUUUUGAAGUUAAUGUUUUGAUUUGUUUCAAAGCUCUUGAAGUUUAUGUUUUGAAUUCUUGAAGUUAAUGUUUUGAUUUCUUGAAGUUAAUGUUUUGAUUUUUUAAAGUUCAUGUUUUGAAUUCUUGAAGUUCAUGUUUUAAUUUCUUGAAGUUCAUAUUUUGAAUUCUUGAGGUUCAUGUUUUGAUUUUUUGAAUUCAUGUUUUGACUUGUUUUGAUGCUCUUGAAGUUAUUGUUUUGAAUUCGUUAAGUUCAUGUUUUGAAUUCUUAAAGCUCAUGUUUUGAAUUUUUGAAGUUCAUGUUUUGACUUGUUUUAUUGCUCUUGAAGUUUAUGUUUUGAAUUCUUGAAGUUCAUGUUUUUAUUUCUUGAAAUUCAUGUUUUGAAUUAUUGAAGUUCAUUUUUUGAUUUUUUGAAGUUCAUGUUUUGACUUUGUUUCAAUACUCUUGUAGUUUAUGUUUUGAAUUCUUGAAGUUCAUGUUUUGAAUUUUUAAAGUUCAUGUUUUAAUUUUUUGAAGUUCAUAUUUUGACUUGUUUCAAUACUCUUGAAGUUUAUGUUUUGAAUUCUUGAAGUUCAUGUUUUGAUUUCUUGAAGUUUAUAUUUUGAAUUCUUGAAGUUCAUGUUUUGAUUUUUUGAAGUUCAUGUUUUGACUUGUUGCAAUGCUCUUGAAGUUCAUGUUUUGAAUUCUUAAAGUUCGUGUUUUAAUUUUUUGAAGUUCAUCUUUUGACUUGUUUCAAUGCUCUUGAAGUUUAUGUUUUGAAUUCUUGAAGUUCAUGUUUUUAUUUCUUGAAUUCACGUUUUGAAUUCUUGAAGUUCAUGUUUUUACUUGUUUCAAUGCUCUUGAAAUUUAUGUUUUGAAUUCUUGAAGUUUAUAUUUUGAAUUCUUGAAGUUUUUGAUUUGAAUUCUUAAAGUUCAUGUUUUGACUUGUUUCAAUGCUCUUGAAGUUUAUGUUUUGAAUUCUUGAAGUUCAUGUUUUGAAUUCUUGAUGUUCAUAUUUUGAUUUCUUGAAAUUUAUGUUAUAUAAAAGCCCAAUACAAAAGUCAGAAAAAUAAAAAUAAAUCUAAAUUGUUCGAGUAUUCUAUAAAUACCCCUCCCUCAUACAUUUUCCUCAAACCUAAACACUUCAAAAACCUUCCUCCCUCUUUUCCUCUCAUGCCCUCUGCCAUAACUACCCACCUUCUCGAAAGUUACUAUUCAUCUCAGGAUAUUAUUCACAGUCACUAUUCAUCCAAAAACACUAUUCAUCUAAAAUCACCAUUCAUUCCGGAAUCGACCCUCGUGGUCAAGGAUUAAAAUAUCAGUUUUGCAGAUAAUAUCGAGCCUCCAAUUUACUGAUAUUUCGGGAGAUAUAUCAUUAUCAUUUUAGGUAUCGGGAAAAAAUGAACAAAAAUGGCAGAUAUAGGCAUCGAAACACAUAAUUUUGGUGUAAAACUUUCAUAGAUGUUGUGUACAUUAUCAAUUAAUGAAUCUAUUGAACAAAUAAAACUCAAAAUUUACUAAUAAUAAGAUAUACAUAUGAUGAAAUAUAAGUGGUAUGUAAUGCGCGUUAAUGAAAAGUUUGAAAAUAAAAUGUUGAUUAGAAUGAAUAAACCAUGCAUAAAUCCAUAGUUUGUUUAAACAUUGGAUUACAAUUUAGAUAAGUGUCCAUCUACAUAAAUGAAGAGCUCCUAUGAGGUUCAAACAAUGACGAACAACCAUCUAGAUUCAUACAAUAGUCAUACCAAGUUAUGUAACCCGAACAGUUUGUAAGCCAUGUUUGAACAUGGUGCACAUAGGUCUCUCUUGAGCUCCUUAUUGUCCUCUCAUAUAUGGAAUAGGUAGGAUUAACCCAACUAGUAGGUCCAUAAUUUGUUUCAUCAUCUUGAGCUCCAUAACUAGUUCCACUAGAAUCAAACAUGACAUAACCAUAGCCAUCAUAAGAUUCAUUUGAGUUAGUACUAGGUCUAGUUCCUAUGCUCAUAUAUCCAAAACUGAUCGCCAUGUCCUCUUCAGAUGGAUUGGAGGUAUGUGGGCAAUGGAUUGUGCAUAGAUUCUUUAUAUUAAUAAAUUAUAGGGUUAUGGGCAAGGAUUAGCUAUUUUUGGAUUUCAAUUUGCUUCAAUUGACUUCAAAACUUCUGAAUUUUUUUUGGGCUCUGUUAUGGGUAUCGGGAAAUAUCGGAGAUAUCGCACUUAUCGAGGAUAUAUCGUCAAUACAGGGGAAGAUAUGGCCUUACCCCGUAGUAUCAAUGUCAAUAGUUGAAAAUACCAAUAUAUCAGUGUAUUGACCGAUAUUUCAAUCCUUGCUCGUAGUCACUGUUCAUAGUUUCGUGCAACUUUCAUCCAUUAGUACUAUUCAGCUGUGGUACUAUUCGUCGCAGUAUUUUACCGAGAUCAUUUCUUUCAUCCAAUAGUACUAUUCACCUGUGGUACUCUAGUAAUUUUUCUUUUAUUUUUAUAAUUGUUAUUAGAAUUAUUUGAGGCCAAUUUGAACGUCUAUAUAUUAUUUUGUCAUGAACUAUUUAGGAUGGAUUUAAAUUUCUCUUUUUGAGGUCGAUUUUAAUUUUUGUUUAGUACAAAUUAGUGACCAAAUUACUUUUCUUUUCCUUCAAGUAAAACAAAAGCGCAGAUCUUGACAUAUAUUCACUUUCCCAUAUAUAAUUUAAGAAGAGCAGAGCCCAAGAGGUAAUUUCGAGAAAUUUUUUUGUACUAUUGAAACCAGAGCCCAGAGUGGGGCUCCAAAAAAUUUCUCCAUAUAAUUGAUUUUGUUCCGUUGAAACGAUCAUGAAAUAUAUACGUAAUUGAUAAUUAAUUUCCAAAAUAGUUGGUAAAAAGAAGUUUAUAUACUUUGAAAAUUAUUUUCAAUUGUUUAAAAUGUAUUUUUAUUUUUACAAAAAUGGUUUUAAAAUAAUUUAAUUAUUGAAAAAAAAAAAUCAAGUGACCUAGGACACCUUAAGACAUGAUUAAGUCCUUGUUACGACUAGACCUUUCGACCUUGACUUAGAUUUUUAAACUAAGGUUCAUAUUUAGAUCUAGAAUUAGUAAGAUGUAAUUAGACGUAACUAGACCAAACCUUAGUACAUUAGGAUGGUAUUUGCGACUCAGUUUAACUCUUAGCUAGGAUGGUAUUUGCGACUCAAUUUAACUCUUAGCUUCUAUGUCGAUGUACAUGAUCCUCACAAAUUGUUUCACUAAAUAUUAAGUGAUGGGGUUGACUAGUAGUUUGUCCCCUGGGAAGUGAUGAAAUAAUAGUUGUGUUCUACCCCCUUACAAUGCUAACUUUGCAUAUCAUUAUUUUUCUCUUUGAUUUUUCCCUGCCAAGUUGAACUGUUUUUUCUUCACUCCAACGCCAAGAAUGUUAUCAUGAAACUUGUGAAGAAUUCUGAUGUUGCUUUGGGAAUGAGUAAGCCAUUUGUGGACUCUACAAGGUGGUGUGAUGAAUAUUGAUGUUGCUUCCUUGGAUCCCAGAAGAAGUGAUUUGUGAAGGGUGUGGUUUGCCAAUUUUGGAGGGAAUAAGUGUAGAAGUCUGGGGUUAAGAUGACUCUUGGGAUUUUGAGGCAGGGAAUUGUUGGGCUUGGAAUAUUGUUGAAAUGAUACUGGUCAUGGUUUUUGUCAUGAUGAUCGUUGGAUUGGGAGAUUGCUAACUAUGGAUGCGAUGAAGGGUUGGGAUUGCAUUGCCUUGGUGCUGACCUCCAUGACUUGGACACACCUUGAAAACUCAUGUUUUGCAUUAUAGUUGAGUCCUUUUGGAUUAAUAAGUUGACAAGCUGUGGUGGAAGAUAUGGCCAUGACUUGGUCAAUCUGCCUUCUUUGUUACUUGAACUAUGUUUCUUCUUCUUCUUCUUCUUCUCACUCCCAUUUUCAGCCAUCAUGAAGUUUUUCUGUGUGCGUAUAUGAGAGAGUGCUAUCUCAUUAAAAUUUAAUCUAAGGAAUUUUAAGAAUAUGACCUCUAAAAUUUAUAUUUUUAAAAAGCUCUAAGAAUUUGAAAACAACAAAUUAUGUCUUUGCAAUGAUUAAUUUGAUCUGAAUUUAUAGAUCACCUUGCGCAGCAAGUUUUCCUCCCCCCCCCCCCCCCCUCUUAAAGAAUAAUCAAUUUGAACACACAAGUAAGCAAAUUAUUUUCUGUAUAUUGAUUUUGUCCCUGUUUGCAAGCACCUAGGUGUAAGAGCAUCUACAAUCAUGCUCCCUAUUUUUCAGUUAAAAUUUAGCUAAAAAACACACAAAAGUUAUUUUAGGAGCUCUCUAUAAAAUUUGAACUCUAAUCAUACUCUCUAGUUUAGGGAGUCAUAAAUAAUAGUUAUUUUUUAAUUCAAUAUGAUUGGUCCAUCCUACAUAGCACGGACACUCAGUGUCGGGGUGUUGGACAUACGGACAUGCCUCGAACAAGACUUGGACAUGGAUCAAUGGUCAAGACACGUUUUGGACACGGUCAAGACACUUUUGAACAUGGUCAACUAAAGUGAAGACAUGGCAGGGACCAUUUUGAAAAUUAUAAAACAAAAACUAGGGUCAAAACAUAAUUAUUGAAAACUAUGUGGACAUAUUUGAAAUAUUUUUAAAAAGUGGGCUAAAAUGUAAACAAUAUUUUUUAAAAAUUUUUUUUUUUCUUUGUUCCUUCAUAGCUGAGCUAAUAUUUUUGGUUGACUAAGGAUAUUGAUAGCAAUUUGGUCGUGAGAGAAGCAUAAUUUUGAGUGGGUAAUUCAUUCACUUUGUUUAUUAUUUUUUCUUUUUUCUUUUCUUUUAUGCAAACUCGAUUCUUUUUUUAUGAAGUGGGAAAUCAUUUUUCGUUGAAGAUGAUAGAUCAUAUUUGAAAAAUGUGUGAAAUUUGGUUUAUGAUGAAUCAUAAAUAUGUGUGAAUAAACAUGUAUAUCAUUUUUUAUUUUGUUUAGGGAAAGAUGAGUAAUGCUGAGUUAUAUCAAAUGAGUAUGAAUUUGUUUUAUGGUAUUAUGACAUUGAAGUACCGAGUAUGAAUUUUUUUUAAAUAUAUAUAAGUAUAUAAUAUUACAAUUUUAUUAGUAUUUAUUAUUAUUAUUUUAAUUGUUGUGUCCUAGCCGUGUUCUUGUUCUAAUUUUUUGAGAUUUUUCGUAUCGCGUUUUCGUGUCCCUGUGUCCAUGUCCGUGCAACAUCGGAGCAAUCUCUGUAAAAUAAUAAUAAUAAUAAUUAGCAUUAAUUAAAAGUUUAAACUAUUCAUAAAACAAAGCAACAUUAAAUUAUAGGAAUGCACCAAAAGUCUUUUUUCUCUCCUCAAAUUUAAGAGAGCAUCCACAAUAGGCUCCCUAAACCACCUCCUUAGCUAAAACUUAGGGAGGAAUUGAAAAAACCCGCCUCCAAUUAAGCUCCCUAUCCAGCUAUUAAAAUAGGGAGAUCUCUAAGAGCUCCUAAAUCUAAGGAGAGAGAAAAAGCUCCUAGUGACUUCCUAUAAUUAAAUGUUACUAUAUUUUAUUAUUAUUUAGAACAAUUAUUUAAUGAUUUCUUUAAUUCUAUCUUUUUUUUUUUCUGCAUUUUAUAUUUUUAAUCACCUUUCUAUUGCACACUAUCCACGUCAUGCACCAUAUUUUCUAUUCUUUUUGCUAUAGGUGCUUUGCAAAGCACAAGCAAAUAUUUGUUUUUCCGAUUCUUUUCACUGUACACAUUUAGCAGCACACAAACACCUUUUUAUUUUUUUAUUUUUUUAUUUUUAUAACAAUUCUUUUCCUUAUAGGUAUUUUGCAAAACAUAAAUACUUUUAAAACACAAGACCCAUAGAAUUUUUUUUUUUUUUUGUAGUUUAUUAUUUGGAAAUAUUCAGGAAUUAAAUUUAAACAGUUAAAUCUAGAAUGUGCUUAAUUUUGGAAGUUUUUACCUUCCCCUUAAAGUGAAAAACUAGUGUUCCUGCACUGCAUGUGAUUGAUUUGGCCCUGCCGACACCAACCAUUCGCCUAUAGACUAUAGUAGUAGUAGUUAAUCGGGUGAAUAUACAUGAGAAAGAGUUUAAAAGACAAGAAAGAAAUCCGCCUAUGGCUCGCGAAACAUCAAAAUUGAAUUCAAUAGGGGAGACUGCUUUUCUUUUUCUUUUAUUGUUCUUUUUUUAAAUGAGAGGAGAAAUAAGACUAGAAGAUUUAAAUCACAUGAAUUGGAGGAUGAGGCAUUAAAAAUAAUACCUGCUGAAUUUUAUUUUCGAUUAGGCUACUAUUCCUCAAAUUAAUUUAUUUUUAAUUAUUAUUAUCAUUGAAUUUAAGGGGUUGACAAAAUUAAAUAAUUGUUGUGUAGGACAUGUAGAAAACUUAAAAUCAAAAUCGGGGAAAAAAAGGGCAAUGGUUAUUGUGAGAGAGUAUGUGUUAGAUAAAUGGUUAUUGUAGGUAAUAUGUCAUUAAUUCACAAAAUAUGGGGAAACGUUUUAAUUUAUUUUAAAUUUGUUAAAGAAAAGAUGACCAAUGGUAUUAUUGGAAGUAAAAUGAGCAUUGAGAAAAGUCAAGUAAACACGAUACUUUUUUUUUUUUUUUUUUUUGGUUGAAACAUGAAGAGUUACCACAAAAGACUAAAGCUAAAGCAUAGUGAGAUUUACACAGUUUUCAUCAUAUUUCUAUAUGCGGCUGGGUUAGCUGGGUUAGCCGUAUCAAUGUGAUUAGAUUUUGAGACUUGUACCAACGAAAUGAACACAACUACCACUACACGAAAUGCUAACUAGUGAGAAGUAGGAAAUUAAGACCGUUACCGCUUACUUUUAUUUUUUGUUCUUUUUAAAAGAUGAUCAAUAUGCAUUGUAUAGUAGUUAUUACUUGUUGUACAAAACCAGAGUUUGUUUAAUAUCGAUAUUGAGUGUGAUUGAGGGUUUCUUCUUCUUCCAAUUUAAUAAGCAAGCACUUGAAGGUGUCUUUCAUACAAAUUUAGAAUGUUAUUCAUUACAUAUAUACUAGGAAACGAAAAUAAUGAAAAGAAAAAAAAACAAAUUGGAAAGUAGGAUUAAGCAAUACAUACCAGGAAAGUUUGGGCGUGUGGAUCGGUUUAUUUGUUAGGAUAAUUUUCCAAAUUCAGCCGCCUAAUAAUCAUCAUAAUAUGAAGAGGAAACUAAAAUAUAAUAAUAUAUGAUGAAGAGGAAACUACACUUGCUCAAUUCUUCUCGAUUUUGAUUAAAUGCUUUUCGUCUUUUUAAGUCCCCUUUACGCAGAAGGUGAUCACCAAUGGUGACCACAAGAAGAAAUGUGCAAAGCCAUGAGAUGUGUUCUUUCAUCAUCGUCUUGGCUGUGCAAAAGCUAUAGAGUUCUCGAUGUAUGGAUACAACCCAAUUACAAAAAGAUUAUAUUAUAUAUAUAUAUGUGGCGAAAGCUAGGGUUUUUGUUACGAGCUAGAGUACAUGGUUUUUUUUUUUUAAUUAUAAAUUUUUGUUGUAACUUCUAAAUUACUUUUCUUUGGUAUCAAGAAAUCUUUCUUCUUUUCUGGUAAUUAAAAAAGCCUUUCAUUCAGAGAAUUCCCAGUGAAAUUGAGAGAUCAAAUAUUUGUUCUGGUUGUUUGGACAUUAAUUUAUUAGUCAUUAAAAAGUGUUUUAUUUUGUUAGAUUUUAUUAACCUUUUUUUUUUUUUCACCAUAAAUUGUUAUUUUUUAUUUUUCAAGAAUUACAGUCUGAAUUAAGGUACUACGAAGAUUAGAAAAUUAAGGUUCAUGUGUAUAUAAUAAUGUUAUUUUGAUUUUUUUAAAAUACAAAAUACCAGAUAGGGUGGAAGCCUUUGAUGUUUUAGGAGCAUAAGUGACAAGAGGUAUGUGAGUUAGAUUCACUUUAACUUGCUCACUGUCACCUUCAACAUUAAGUUCAACUGCGACAUCAGUUCCUUUCUCUAACUUUUGGUCUUCUCCUUCAUUCUCAGAAGUAUCUUUAUUUGACUCACUAUUCAUUUUCUCAUCUACGCAAGAAUCACUAAUUCCCAGGAUGGAGUUAUGAAAGUUGACAAGCUUAUCAACUAAUUCAGGAUGCAUUGCCAAUGGAAGUGAAAUGAAGUGAGAGUAAUCAAGAUUUUGGCUCUUAACUGCCUGUAUGUUUAAGGAGAAAGUAAGAUGUUAAUUAUGUGUGAUAGUAUGAACUGAAUAGCAAAAGAAAGACGAGUGAUGAGGGACAAAUUGUGUAUAUAAAGGAAUGGACAUAAGUUCUAAACAAAUAAUAAUGACUUGUAUUAAAUAAUUGGUAAAAAAAUCGAGAGAAAUUAAAAAUAAAACAGAACCAACCCUUCUUCUGCAAAACUACAUUGCUAGGCAACUAACCUCAUCUAUUAUAGUAUGUAUCUUCUCAGAAGCUCUAGAUAUACUUUCCAUUGAGAUGCCUUCAAUAACUGUGAAAGAUAACCAGGUAAAAAUAGUUAAACCACAUUCACAUUCCCCAGACUGUCUGAAAUCCUCAUGUAAGAAUACAAGAUUAUAUGAACUUGGUGAAUAAGUCCUGUCACAAUUAUGAAAGAGUUGAACAACUGUAGACCUGAACAAUUUCUAUUUGAUCAUUAUUAGAUUGUCAACGUUUACCGACUUCUGUGUCCUGCCCAGUACAUGUAGCAAACUUUCAAAGAAUCUUCCUUCUGUUUUUCCCCCCUGUGUACUUCUUUACAAGUAUCUCCAGUGGUUAGAGUUCUCAAACAAAGAAAAGAAGAACUAGGAGGUUUUGCAGCUUGCAAUGAAUUUGUCCCAAAACAAAGAGGCAAUUGAGAAAAAGGAAGGAAAUCUCGAGCAAGGAGAAGAUGAGAACAAGGACCUGGAGACUCAAGUGCAUGAAGCUUGUCGAACGGGGAAUGCUGAGGACUUAAAGCUGUUACUGGAUGCAGAUCCUGAGGUAGCUAGCAAGCUUAACACUCAAGACAAGAGUGCACUUUCCUUGGCUUGCAGCCAUGGCCACCUUGAUAUGGUGAAGCUCUUGCUCAAUGAGCCUGGGAUGCUUGGUUCAGGCAAAGAUGGAUUUGAUCAAACAUGUAUACAUGUGGCUGUUUCUGGUGGGCAAAUAGGUAAGUAGCAAAGUUCUCUCUUACAAAACUUAAUUGUACUUUUAAAAUAAAAAAAAAACCCAAUUUCUUAAUUUGCUUUAGCUUAAUUUUGGUUUCUAUGUAUAAUGAAAUAAGUAUUUCUGGUGCAGAUGUUGUUAAAGAGUUGCUCGGAGUGUGUCCUGACCUUGCUCGUAUGGUUGACGAGAAUGGAAAUUCGCCAUUGCACUAUGCAGCCAGCAAAGGACACAGAGAGAUAACCUGGAUGCUCCUGAGGCUUGAUCCAAAACUUGCUGAGCAACACAAUAACAAUGGUCACACACCACUGCACUUGGCAGCAAUAAAUUACAAAGUUUCAGUCCUUCAAAUGUUUGUGUCCAUGGCUAAACCAUCUUUCCAAAUUGUCACAAAAGCCGGAGAGAUGGUAUUUCACUUGGCUGUGAGAUAUGGCCGAUAUGAUGCCUUGGGGUACUUGACCCAUGUCUGCAAUGAUAUCGAGUUCUUUGAUUGUCGAGAUAUUUAUGGCAACACCAUCUUACAUCUUGCAGUUUCUGAAGCACAACAUAAGGUCAGAUAUGCAUCCAAAUCCUUAUAGACUUUCUUGCAUCGCAAGCUAUUACAGAUACUAAUUACAACCACAUAACCUUACAAGUCAUAUACAAAUGAAUAAAGACUUUCAACAAAAGAACAUGUAGUUUAUGAAAAGUUCUGUCUCUGCCAUGCCAGUCUCUUGAUUUUAAUGUUUGUGUGGCCUUUUCCCUUGGUAAUAUUUUGGAAAUGAUUUAUGGUUCCAUCCAUUACUAAGUUUUGAAUUUGUUGGAGAAACAAAGAUCUAAGUGGCGUGUGCCUCCUGUUCUUUACAAGUAUAGGCAGCAAAAUUCUUGCAUCAGAUUUGUUAUGCCUGUCCAAACAUGGCUUUUAACUAACUUGAUAUUUUCUCGUCUCAGAUAGCAGAGUACCUAAUCAGCAAAAAAAAAGUGGCACUUAAUUCUCGGAACAAUAAAGGAAUCACAGCACUUGACAUCCUCAAUGAGGCCAAGGACAGUGUAGAAAAUCAGCGUCUUGGAGCUAUGCUCGUAAAGUCAGGAGGUGAAACGAGGAUUGAGCUGUUAUCUCAUUCACCAAAAGUAGAAACAGCCAGUGCUCAGUCAGUAGUACUUGAAAACAUGCAGAAAAGAGCUCAAUUUGUUAAAGAGCAUGAAUUGCAGUUAGCCAUUAUAAAUGAAGUAGCUUCUCCUGCAUCCAAGACCCCAUCUAGUUUAUCACCACCCAAGUCUAGAAAGCCAUCUAAUUUGCCAUCACCUCAAUCUAGCAAGUCAUCGCCUAAGCUGCCAUCCCCGCAAUCUAGCAAGUCAUCUCCUAAGCUGCCAUCUCCACAAUCUAGCAAGUCAUCACCUCAACAUCAAGUUGGGGAGGGAUUUGAUUUUGAAACACAAAAUGCAGAGCCCUUGUUGCCAACCAUUGUGCAGCAACACAAGCAUCCUAGCAAGAGGCACCAGACCCAACUGAGUCAGAUUUUCUAUAACCCUCGAAGGAAACAUCAUAAGGUAUAUACAGAGGCACUACAAAAUGCCAGGAACACUAUAACACUAGUUGCCAUUUUGAUUGCAACAGUUACUUUUGCUGCUGGUAUCAGCCCCCCUGGUGGUGUCUAUCAGGACGGAUUAAUGAAGGGGAAGUCAAUUGCAGGUAGAACAACUGCUUAUAAGGUCUUUGCAAUAAGCAAUUAUGUUUCAUUGUUCACAUCGCUGGCGAUAGUCGUUGUUUUAGUAAGUAUCAUCCCGUAUCGGAGAAAGCCAUUGAUAAGACUAAUGGCGUAUGCUCACAAGGUCAUGUGGGUAGCUGUGGCAUUCAUGGCGACAGCUUAUGUUGCAGCAACAUGGGUGAUCAUGCCGCAUAGUCAGAAGAAAGAAGCAGUGCUUGUAGCUUUAUUGGCUGUGAGCAUUGGCACUCUCGGAACAGCUUUUAUUGGUCUAGGUGUAAUGCUAGUUGAUCAUUGGUUGCGGAAGUCGAAGUGGAGAAAAGGAAGAAGAGAAAGAGUGGUGACUAUUGAGGAUCCUGAAAUGGGAAGCCCAAACUCAGAUGUUGAGAGCACCUACAAUCAGGGAUACCACUCAUACUGAAGCUUUUGUUUUCCUCUUAUGCUUUGCAAUCACCUGAAAUCUCUUUGUGAGCAUGUUGAUGUACUUGCUAUAAGCUUUGCUUAGAAAAGGUUAAUUCUCUAAUUAGAUUGUGAGUUUAUCUAACCUAUAGAUUGCCAUAGAGUUGAGGUAUGGUGACUCUAAGUCCCCUCAAGGUGCUUUGUAAAAUACAAUUGUGUUGCUGCAUGUUUCCUGCUUCUGUUGAAUGCAAUAUUCAUAUACCAGUAGCUAGACUUUAUGCAAAAUUCCAUAUACAAAGCCUUGAGUAUGCCGGGAAUAUUUUUGUCCCAGCUUUCACGGCACAGCCAACAAUAGCUGAAAAAAAGCUCCUUUCCGUAUCUAACAAGAAAAGAUCUGUAUCCCUCCAUGUGUGUUUGAUCAAUCUAUAUUUCCUUUGGUUCCAGCACUGGAGACUUCUGAAAGAGGUGCUCCAAAGCCACUUGUUUUUAAUAGUUUUCUAAAACUAACAAAGUAAAAAGAGUUGCAGUUAACAAGAGGCCCAAAAUGAGAUUGAAUGGGAAAGUUUGAAAGAAAUAGGAAGAAGUGAUUUGUACAUCAAAUUGUGGAUUUAUGUAUCUGGUUUUUCAUUGAAUCAGUAAAUGGAAAAUAAUUGGGAAAACAUUUCUUCGCAUGACUUCCCCCAUAUUUCUUUUAUGAUCAACAGAUAGGGUUCCACAACCUGCUCACCCGGGCUGCCGAGCAUGAUAAAUAUCAAUCAUUGGACAAGAUGCUCGCGAAAUCAAUCACAGCUUUAAAUGACACGCCCUACUCAUAUGUUUUGCUUCGUCCACAUCAAAGAUAAUUAAGAAUCUACCAUAUCUCCACAUCUUAUUCAUAAGUUGCUCCCCAAAGCUGGUUCCUUUUGGUUCAUCAUCAUAUCUUGGAACUGCUUCCGUUUGGCAGCCUUGAUGUCAAGUAUGCUAGGUGGCAUAGGUUUGAUUGAACCAUGUAACUCAACUAGGCUACAGAAUUCUUGUUUGGUUAAACUCUUCUUCUGGACAAGUUCAUCCACCACCGCAUCCAUAAGCUUUCGAUUUUUCCGCAGAAUCUGUUAUCCAAAACAAAGAUAUGUAACUUUGUUAAGGUAAGAAUAAUAGAAAAGUCACUGAAAAAGUCUUUUACAUUACCUCUUUUGCACGUUCAUAACACAUGUUGACAAUUUGCAAUGCUUCCGUAUCAAGGUCCUGAAAUAAGAUUCAUUACAAGGCAUUAAUUGUAUAUUCACUCUUUACCUGUUUACCUGUUUGCUUCUUGCAUUCACUUCUUAGUUACAGGAACAUGUACAUAUAUAGACAUUGGAAUUUUCAAAGCAAAAACCAACUCAAAAUCACCACGUAUAAAGAGAUUGAAUUACAUUGAGUCGAUCUGCAACCCAGAAAUUAGAUAGCCCGUGAUGUUUCUCUGAAAGGCCAGCAAGAACAUACGUUCGUGCGGCUGACCUAGCAUUGUCUGCCGUUUCAGCCCAUAUAGUACUUAACUGGAGAAAAAGUACGAAGAAGAAUUCAGAUGCAUCACCCAUAGACUAGAAAAGGAAAAGUCACCUUAUUUACAAGAUUUGGAUCCACAUAAACAAUGUAUUAACCAUUUUCCAUGAGAAGUCAGAUGAUCCUAACAUUUAUUGUACUCUAUAGUAUGCAAGUUGUAUUACAAGUUGUAUUACAAAAUGCAAAAGCUUCCUCAAAUCCAUAAAAUGAGUAAACCACAAAGGCACAAAUCAAUAUACAAGACGUAUAAAAAGAACCCUUCCUAUUAGCAAUGGAUUUUCUGAAGUUGAGAAACUGGUUUUACUUUUUAAUUGUCUGGUUGCUAUAGUUGACUAUAUUUUUCUACAGCAGAGUUUCUACAUACCACAACUGAACAUACAAGACAUAAUGUGCAUAUAAAGGAUUUGAGAUUUUCUUACCUGAUCCUCACCGAACCAAAGUUCAUCAGCUGCACGUGGUGCCAGUUGAACAGUGAUAUGAUCCAGGAGUGAUUGCCGACUUCAUGACAUGGGGAGAUACGAGAAAAUAAUUAUUAGAAAGAAACAAUAAGUAUGAAUUUCUAAUGCAAUAUCAACAGGAAGAAGCAGCACAAUUAAUAUAAUGGCAUUACUAAAGACAACAUCUACUCCUAAGGUCACACCCUUCAAGGACACCGCAUGCUUGAUCUUAUUGUAUUGUUCAUAGUAUUUUAGUUUCUAUUCCUGACAUGCUUGAUUUCCAGAAUAUGCCUCUCUUUUCAUUCAUAUUUCUACAAUAGUGAUCAUCUCACGUUUAAGUGUGCUUUGAAAAGAUGACUAAAGAAAUAGGGAUACAAAGGAAGCCAUACGUAAGCAUUCCUUCUUUGAACUUGAUAGGAUCCAUUUUCAUUCUCACAUAACCCAACUCCCUACCAGCUCCAGGAGCAAUUGUGACCUGCACCAUAUGAAUAAACUGUUAGAAAAUUUCUACUCAUUAUUUUAUAGGAAGUAAGUUUCUUCUCAAUGUUACACUAACAAGAAUAUUUGGACGAGCAUAAAUCAAAUCAAGGAAUAUUAUAUUCAAAAUUCUUAAAGCAAAAAGUGAAAUGAGCUAAUUUAAAGAAAAUGAACCCAAUAAAACAUAAACUAUUCCACAAAGACAUAGAAUAAGAUGUGAAUUUCUCAUUUCUCAAAUAGAACUUCAAAUGAGCAAUUAUUCUAAUCUUUCGUGAACAGUUGGGAUAUAUAAGAAAGAUAUAAAGGAUGACCAACAAUGAGUAAUUAUUUGACUUGCUUAAAAUGCCCAGCAUGUAACGUAGUGUAGGUUUGAAACAGUAUAUGCUAUGAAAAGGUGAAAGUGACGAGGCUUGAGUUUAAGGACCAUACGAACUCAAUAUUUUUAAGGUCAGGAUAGUUCACAGCAACAACAGCCAUAGCGGCCUCAUUAAUAGCUACUUGCUUCCAUGUAUCUAAACUUCUCUCCUUCCUAUCCAGCAUUCCUCUUUCUUCCAUUUGUGCAGCUUGUAAUAGGUCAUCAGUAGUAAUCUGCACAUACAACAAGAUCAAGUGUUCAUAAGAGCAGAUCAAAAUGUGAGGCAUAAAUAACUAACUUGAAAGCAUUAAGAUAUUCAAAUCUUCAAGAAAUCAGCUGCACGUAUUCAAAUAUAGGCAAAAUGGGCAUAAAUUUUAUAUAUUCAUAAUCGAAUUUUAAACCUGAAAGAAAAACAUAAUUAUUAUAUUUGUAUUACCAAUCCCGAGCUCGAGCCUUUAGCACAUGUUUUAAGGUGAUACAUACAGAAGACCUAAAUAACUUUCACAUUCAUAAUUAGCCCCCAGCAAAUCUAGUAAACACAUUGAUACAUUCUUAGCCUAGUUUGUUUUCAUCCUUCUUCUUUUUUAUAAAGGUUUUUCAUCACUCAUAUUUCUUUUCAUCUUCUCUUUUUAGUGCAAGGUGCAAUAUCAAUCAAUCAGAAAAAUCAAAUGAUAAGGGGUGUAAUCUAAUAAGAGGAAGUAAUACCUCAGUCCUUCCAUCACGCAUCAUGUUGAUUGCGGCAACCUCAACUAUGUUAGCUAGCUCUGCACCAACCAUUCCAUCAGUCAUACUAGCAAUAGCCAUAUAGUCCACGUCUUCAGCCAUAGGCUUCUUGCGUGCAUGGACCUAUAAUCAGGACACGGAAACAAACUGGAAAAAUAUAAGCCAGUUACGGAAACAAUAAAUCAUUGGGGCAAUUGAAAAUGGGCAGUCUUGCAAUGCCAUAUAUGCAGUGCAAAUGGUACAGGAUAUAAGUUAUGGACCUUCAAAAUUUCAAUGCGACCUAUAAGACCAGGCUUAGGGAUAUAUAUCUUUCGACAAACCGUCCAGGUCUAACAAGAGCUGGAUCUAGAAUGUCUGGUCUAUUUGUGGAAGCAAUAGUGAUCACUUCACCUCUUCCUUCAAACCCAUCCAAAGAAACAAGGAGCUGGAGAAUACACACAAGAAUGAACAAUUUACAAAAUUCGAAGUUUAGUUGAAAAAUUUUAGUACUAAGUUCAAAUAAAAAAACAUUUAUAUAUUCCCAACCUAACCUGAUUAAGAGUAGCAUCACGUUCUUGCCCACCAGAACCCUUGAUCAAACCACGCUCCCUUCCAACAGCAUCCAACUCAUCAAUGAAGACAACCGAUGGAGCCUGUGCAUAUAAACUCAAAAAUCAUGAGAUGUAACAAUUUGUGCACCUUCGCUACACCCUCUAAAAGAAAAGUACAAAGAAGAAAGGCACAACUUCUCACAUAUAUCUGUUAUCUCCUUGAAAAUGAUUAAACAGAGAAAUGCCAUCAUUUAACACUUACUGAUGCAAUAAUAUUAUUGAAAACUAGUUCCCAGCCUAGCCUAUUGUAUAAGGAAAUUAAAAGGACAUGGUGUGGAAAAAAUGUGCGGUAAGGUGGUUGGUGAAAUGUCAAGAGAGCGAAAUUGAACAGCGAAUGUCAACACUUACGUUUUCCCUUGCUUCCUGAUAAAGUGCUCGGACACGAGAUGCACCAACCCCAACAUAUAUCUCCACAAACUGAGAGGCCGAAAUGGAAAAGAAGUUGACGCCUGCCUCACCAGCUACAGCUUUUGCAAGCAAGGUCUUACCCACUCCAGGAGGGCCACAAAGAAGUAUCCCACCUGAUCAAGAAAUUAAUGACCCGCACAAAAUAAAUCAUGCAUAAAGCAAUACCAAUAAACAAACAAGUAAAUGGAAAAUAAUUGGGAAAACAGAACAAUCAAAUCAGUGUGCUUUCAGUGGAAUCAGAGAAUAACCAGGGCAUAUCAACAAUCAUUCAACACAAGGGCAGUCAUAUAAGUCAUAUAUUAAGCACACAAACCAUGUCAUAUAAGAAAAGCUAUCUAACAAUGUCAAUAGCUCAGCCGCAUUGCUACAGCAUCUAACCUGGUAUUUUAACUCCUCUUCUCCUAUACAUUUCACCAUGAGUGAAGAACUUGGCAAUCUCCUCAAGCUCAAGCCGGAUCUUCCCAAGGCCAGCUACAUCCGAAAACUUGACAUCCACGCCCCUCUCCAAAUACUGAGGCAGCCUCUUAUUAUGAGCUCGUCGCAGCCGAGCCCCAGACUUCAUGAACUGCAUAGCCAUUUUCAAAUAAGGGUUUUGCUCACCCUUCCCUUGCUCAAUCUCCUCCUCCUCCUCACCCUCAAUCCCCUCCAUCUCCCUCUCCAAUUCCCUCAUUUUCUUCCUCUCCUCCGCCUCCGCCUUUUCAAUCUUCAACCUAUCCUCAUAGUCCUUCUUCUGCCUCCUAUAACUAAACACUACGGUCCUGUAAAAAAUAUAGAAGAACACCAGUCCAAGCGCAGUGGCAACAUUGGAGUCCUGAGCCAAAUUGGCCCAUACAUUGGCCAUCUCCAGAUAAUUCCUACGUGCCUGACGCAAUGACUCAUCGUGUUUCUUUUUCCUCAUCUCUCUCCUCACUCUCCUCUCCUCCUCUUUCUUCUGGGCCUUCAUGGCCUUAUCGAUCAUAUCUCGUUCCUUCCUCAUUCUCUCAAGCUCCUCCUUCCUCUGCGUCUUAAACUCCUCCCUCGCUCUCCUCAACUCCAUAGCUCUCUUGCUCUCCUUCUUCGGCUUCACAAAUAACGACAAAAACGCCGGCCAUUUCGCCACAAAACCCAAGUACGGUGACGGAACCUCCGGCCGUUUAAGCGGCGGCGUAUAGGCAUUGACGCACAAAGACUCGAUUUUCAACUCUUCCCAUUGUUCCCAAAACCUCCUGUCGCUAUCCACCGAAGGCAAAACGGUGCGUAGAACCCGAUUAUCUUCGAGAACAACCAAUACGGGCUCUACCCUUUUUUGCAAUUCAACACCAGGAGGCUUGAUAACAUGUUUGAGCUUACCUUCCUAGUUCAAUAUCAGGAGCUGGGUGUACGGAAUUCGAUUGGAGACGACGGGGAGGCCUUGGGACCAAGACUGGAGCUCUUGAUGAGAUAAAGCUUCGGAUUUUUUGAGCGUAGACUUCUUGGGCACUCGCUUUUUCUCUUUGACGGCGGCUAUGCCGGUUGGGAUUUGGGGGAGAGCGGUGGAGAUUACAGUGAGAGUUACAGAAAGCUUGAGGAAAUCGAAAUUGGGUUUCUGGGUUUUAUCGUUUUCAUCAUUAUCUUCCGUGGUUGAGAGGUGAGAGGAAAUGGAGGAUGGAGCGAGAGGUUUUGGUGGGUUUUUAUUGAGGGUUUUGGGUUUGGGGUUUGGGGAUAGAGAAGAAGAUGAGUAAGAGCCCAGAAGGCAUUGGCAGGCCAUGGAGUUUUGGUUUGUGAAAGCUUAAUUGUGCCACUCUGCUACAUUUGAGAAGCGAAGGUGAUGUUGAUGAGAAGUGAAGCUGAGGGAGUGCGUGAGUUUUUAGCAUAAUCAGCUUCCAUCUUCAGCUUCUUCUCUUCAGUUUCUGUGCUCUGUGAAAUCCAUCAAAGCUAAAACACUGUUGUGUAUUCUACGAGAUAGAGUGUAGAGACGACGGAGAGGGUUCUUAAAACGACGACGGAACAAUAAAUUCUUCCCUUUUUUAUAGUGGUUUUUUGUAGUGGUCCAAUUUAGUUGUACAAGUCCAGUACCAAGCCCAAAAUUGUAUGGGGCUCUCUGUUUAUUAAAACCCAAUCUUAAUAUUGGUCACUUUUUCAAAUUUUCAAUCCAUUUAGGCUUAAUUAUGCCCGUUUGUCGAUCGUUAUUUUGUGUCUCACUGGUCUUUAUAUAUAUUGUCAUAUGCGUGACAUGUAUGCACAAAGAAUAAUGUGAAAAUUAAUAAGAACAAAUCAAUGAAACUUACUCGCACCACAUCAACGGCUUUAACAGAAAUUUUUACGAACUUACCGGAUAAAUUUCCCACUUCUCAUAUCCUUGCAUAUCCGAGAUCUUUUUUUUUUUUUUCAUUUAUAAUGUCCAGGAAGAGUAUUUCUCUCUCUUUCUUUUUCCUCAUUGGAAUAGGAAAUUUUUCCCUUUUUUUUACUCUGUUAACUUGGGUAUUGCAUUGGUGACUAAAACAUCUAGGUAAGUAGGUUCCACAAAAAUGGCCAGUAGCCUCAGUUCUUGCCCAAUACUAGCAACCAUAUUAGCAGAAGCAUUCUAACAAGCUGAUUAUCAAAUUGCACCAUAGGCAUCCAUCCAGAAUUCCCAGCAUUUAGAACAUUACCAUACCCAGCAUCCAGAAUUCCCUUCCAGUCUUAAAAACAGUGGGAUUAAUUAAUUUAUUUAAUGGUACAUAACUAUCAUUACAGAGUUGAAGCGCAAGAACAUUAAGCAAGUGCAAAAUGAUGCAACUCCAUCUCAUCAGUUGUUUGAGAGCCAAAUCACAUUCUGGAUAGCAGAUAUGGCCAGCAAGAGGCUGCUCAAGAAAGUGCAGGCUAUUGAGAUUGCAACAUGGUCGCAGAAAAUGUGCAAAGGUAUACAAAAAUCAGGCAGAGCCAUGUGCCGGAUCCCGGUACGGUUCAGGUUGCUUACCCCGGAUGCAGCUGACCUUGCGCUCAUCAUUGCAUAUGCAAGUACCUGUAACAGAGAUUAAAACAAUAAGAUCACAUUCAGAUUGUAGAUGCCGAAUUUUGAAAGGCAAAUGUAUAAUCAUUUUCUUUUCUUUCUUUUUUUCAUCGCAAAGCUUUUUUUAUCCCUAGAUCUAAAUCUAUCAAUCGCUAUACUCGACUCUAUAGCUCUAGUGUUAAAGAGUAUUCACCCAUGUACUCAACUCAAGACCCCGAAUUCGAAUUCCCCUACCCUACUCCACCAUAAAACCCGAGCUCUCUCCAUUACACCAUAUAUAUGUCUCCCAUGUAAUUGCAUUUGGCUAGAAAAGUGAUAGAGGGAAUGGUAACUACCUGAUCCCCAGCAUAAGUAAGCCAUGCAUGAUUUCUUGAGGGAAUUAAUGGAGACUUCCUCAGCAGCCUUGACACAAUUAUUACUAGUUGCAGCAAUGAGUGAGCUACCACAGCUGCUGAAACUCCCACCAGAUACCUGCCCACCACAAAUUCAAAACAUUAUUCAUUUACUAACUCUAUACUUGGCCUUCAUAUCCACCCAAAAUCACAAACCUACAACCCAGCUAGUAUUUUUUUAUAUACCGAUGGUUGUCAUUUUGGUGUUUUCUUGAAACACUAUGUUUGUCUAUUUUAUAGAGUCACAAUUAGAUAUCUUAACGUCUUAUAAAUUGUCUACCUUUUUGUAAAUAUGACUUGUGAACGAAGACUUGAAAAUAAACAUUACAUUCAUGAUCCAGCAUAUACAUUACAUACAUGAUCUGUUUGGUUUUACAAUUUUCAGAUCGAUUGAUUAUUUUUGCCCCAUCAUGAAGUUGGUUCAUCCACAAAAGCAUUUCAUCCAUUAGUUAUGAAUUUUCAACAAGUAAGACAAAAUGUUUAAACGAGAUGAAGACUAAAAUAUAGAAUAUAAGAAAACGUUAGAGAAAACAAAAGAAAAAGAAUAAUCAGUCAGUCACGGGUCUUAUUCUGCUCAUUCAUAUGGCAUGAAGUUGGAAAGAGGGGCAGGCAGGGGGAGGCUCAAAUAUUAAUCUGUUGUCAUUUUGGGAGGGGAAGCGCCAAACACAAGGGCAAAUUCGUCAACGUAAAACUUCAACUGAACCAAGACAUCCUUGAUAUGAAAAAAACUAUAUAUAUAUAUAUAUAUAUAAAUGAACACGUUAGUAUAGACAACAAAUUGUAUCUGAUUUAGCUAGUGUUUUUGUCUCUAUAUUUCAUCAUAGUUAGAUGACAUAAUGCUUUUGAUUUAGCUAAUGUUUAGAAGGAUGAUUUUUAAAUGGAGAUUAAACAAGCAGACGGUUUGGAGUGUUCAACUUUGAGAUAGUCUAUGACCAAAAAUUAAAUUGAAAUCCUUGAGGCCACUAAUUCGGGCUUCAAAAUUUUAUAACUGUAUAAAUAAUUAACCAAUGAAAAUUGGAUUAGAUCCCUUCAUUAUUCAUUUCCUAGGGCCUUUUAUCACCAGCCUGGUGAAUUCCAACAAGAUCUUAGCAAUUGGAUUAACAUAGGCUUAAAUAUAACCUAUUUCGUUAAUCAACGAUAUUGACAAACAGAUAUGGCUAGAUGGAAAUGGCAGGGGGUGUGGGCGGUUUUGGGUGCUAAUCGGCUCUAGCUGCGGAAGCGGAAGCAGUGCGAGAGGCGGUGGCAGCGGGCUUGGAGGCGCGGGUUACUCCAAUGAUAGUGGAGACAUACUGUAAACAGCUUGUUGCAAUGUUACAUGGUACCAUGAAGACAGAUACUGCUAUUGACGGCAUUAUUCAUGAUAUUAAGUUACUGGCUUCUCAUGUGGGUCAGAUAUUUUUUGCUUUUGUGAACCGUAGGUGCUAGCCGGCUGGAAUCUGUAUGUAAAUACCAAUUAAAAUGAGCUUUACCUAGAAAGAUUUUGUUGGCUUUGACCUAUAAAAGGAAGGAUUGACUCACCCCCUAAUGAGGACAAAUUAAGUGUACGUGUUAUGUUAAUGGUUUAAAUGUCAAAAUGAUCUCCUUUCUUAUUUUUUUAUGAAAUUAUAGAUGGUGGAAAUCAGAUAGAAAAUUUACCCUAUAUUUUCAUGUAGAACAUUUAAGAAGAUGGUGGAAAUCAAGCAGCUUUGGCAUGUAGAACAUUUAAGAAGCAGAAACGAUAGUAGAAAGUAGUACUUCCGUCCAAGAGAUUGAAGAAAAUUCUGCAUAUUUCCAAUCAAAAGAGCAAAGAGCAAGAGGCCCUUUAGUCUUAUAAGUAAAUCUAAAGAAAUCAAUAACCUGAAAUAGUAGUAACACAAUUAUAAGCAAAUCUAAAGAAAUCCAUAACCUGAAAUUAUAAGUAAAUCUAAAGAAAUCAAUAACCUGAAAUAGAAAUAGCUAUAACACAAAUUGAAGAAUAUCUGCUGCAUAGAAGAUAUCACAAAAUGGUCUCAAAACAUUCAAAGUUAGAGAGUUCGUAAAAUUCUCAUACGAAAAUGCAUAACAAAAACUAUUAGAGUAACUGAACUACAACCAUUAACACAACACUUCAAGUUCUCACUUCUUCUUCUCAGUAACACCACCAGACCUGCACAUGAACAAUUCCACAAUCAACACAAACAACAUAUAAAUCCUGUAACAUAAUCAAACCACCAAAGACAAUGUGAAAAUGAAAGGUUGAGCUCCCUAAAAACAAGCUACUCUCAUCAUACAAUAUGUUAGUCCAAUCAAAUAGCUGAAAAAAGAAUCAGAAACAGAUUUCCAUUCGCCGGACGAGCAAACUAACUCAAAUGUUACAAACAUGGCAACAAAAACAGAGUUGACACCAAAAACCACACUCUAUUACAAACAAAUUUUGAUAUUGAUUGCAAUGGUACCAAAACUAAUUUGUAACAUUGAGUUUGAUAUUCUUGCGCAUUUACGCCAUCCAAAUUGGAACAUGAGGUUCUUUAACUCAAGCUGGUUUAACUCCUUUUUCACACAUUUGUCUUAACAUAUACAAAAAAUACUUCAAUCCAGUCCUCCACCACUUAUGAAAUAAAGGGCAAAGAAAAAAGCAACCAAAUAAAUUGACUAUAACACAAUCAAUCUCAUAAAUUGACUAUAACACAAAAAUGCAAAAGCCCAUAUGAAAACAUAUCAAACACACAGCAAGGGCAAAGAGAAAAAUCUCAUCACAUCUUGCGGAGGACGUUGGACAUCUCUUUUUCUUAGCUCUCUUGUGGGUACCCAACUUUCUCUUGGCCACCUUAAGAGCACGCUUGUUCUUACCAACCUUCAAAAGCUCAGUGAUGCUCUUCUCAUAUGGAGCUCAGUGAUCAGGUUCCUCACGAAAUGCACCCUCUUGCUUGUUUUCUUCAAUAUCAAAACCAACAAAGCAUAGAAAUUUUAGUAUUAUUCACACUACUUCAUCACAAAAUCAAGACCCAAACAACAAAAGAAUAUAAAGACAAUCCCAGAAAUCAAAUAAACUUGUAUGAACAAUCAGUGACAAAACAAAAACAUACCCCUUUGCGGUCAGAUGGGCGAGGAGCCAAUUCACGCUUGGUGACAAUGUGGCCUUUGUUCAGAGCAACGAAGAUCCCGCUCUUGGGCGCAGCAGGAGCCAUGUCCUGUACCAAAAAGCUUCAGUAUUCAACAAAACCAUCUAACACAAACACAGUAGAAGGAUGCUUAGUAAGUGAUACUGGGAAAUUGUACUCCUAAAUUGUCAAAACAUAGAUGGGUUAAUUACAAAACAAAAUUUCGAAAAAUAAAUCCAAAGCAUUCCACAUUGUCCUGGUCUGGGAAAGCAUAAUCAUACAGACCAUAGCCAUUUAUACUAUUGUGGAAUUACAAGGCGCCACUGUGCUCAUAAAAGUCCUAUGGCCAAGCCUUGAAUAGAUGGAAGUGUGAAAAGAAACAACAUAAUGCAAAAAAACAAAAAAAUUAGUAGUUCAUGAAUUUUCUAGUCAUUUGAUGCAGCAAAGAUUCUGGUGGCGUUUUUUCUGAUUCAACAAGACUAAAAGUUAUUGUCAGUUACAGUUACCUUACACAACUUGUACAAAAUCCAUCCACUUCCAAGCUCACUCUCCAUCAUCUUCACAAAAUCCAUCCACUUCCAACUUGCACAGAUUGAAAUGAGCAAAUACACAAAUACACAAAUACAUCCAAACUACUUCAUUAGUUUCUCUUUGCAAAGAAUUAAUCCUUGAUCACUCAACCAACCCAACAAAAUGCUUUUCUGAAACCACAAUCAAAACACAGAGUUUCAUAGGCAGAGUAAAGAUAUAAUCAUGGCAUCAGAUUGAGUUUUUUAUGCAUUAAAUGCAUAGUGAUAUUUGUACUGAUUUAAACCCAAAAAGAAAAAGGAAUGACAAUUAAAAAUAGCUAACCAAGAAGUAAUUCACUUGGAAACAACUAACAAAACGUUGUUUCCUAACACUUAUAUCUAAGUCUUGGUAGCUGGUUCCUUAGGAAAGGAGAACCACCACCACCACCACAGGAGGAGGAGAAGGGGGUGCUUGGCUUGCCGCCUCCGCCACUUGCACUGCCUCUGCCACCGCUGCCGCCUCCUCUGCUUGAACUACAGCUGGUGCCGCCUCCUCCGCUUGAACUGCAGCUACUGCCGCCGCCGCCGCCGCUUGAAUUGCAGCUGCCCCCGCUGCCCUUUGCCACUGUGCUUUGGCAAUAAAAGCACAAGAACUAGCGGUCGCAAACCAAGACAACACGCUCAACCCAACCGUAAAUAAAGCCCCAACCUUCCAAUUAUACACUAGUUGCACGAUUCCAUGGAUUUUUCCAAGGUCACCACUGACUUUCUUCCAUAGUUGUUUCAUCCCUUGCAUUUUUCUUCUUUACUCUCUCUCUCUCUCUCUCUCUCUCUCUCUCUCUCUCUCUCUCUCUCUCUCUCUCUCUCCUCUUUCUCUUCUUUUCAUUCAUCUUUAAUGAUGAUGAGUGUAUAAAAUUUCAAGCAAACCUCUAGAGUCUCUAUAGUAGAGAGGUAGGGAGCAAGGCGUCAGCUGUGCAGCCAAAAACCAGAGGAAGAACAGCAUUGUCGUUUCCCCAUUUGGUUGAACAUGGGUAUUUGCUUUUCUGGGAGGAGAGAACCUUGAUUAUGACAUUAUUUAUUUUUAAAUUUUAAAUUUUGGAUUUAUAGGCUUAAGAAGUAUGACACGUAUCUUUGCUGGGAUUGAUAUACAAAUAAAUAACAAAGUUUCAUUAUUUUUUUUAUUUUAUUUUUUAUGUACAUAUAUAGCAAGUGGAAUAAAUCAACAAAUGUUUUUUGUUGUUAGAAAAUGGUGCUGGCUGGCUGGAAUCUGUAUGUAAAUACCAAUUAAAAUGAGCUUUACCUAGAAAGAUUUUGUUGGCUUUGACCUAUAAAAAGAAGGAUUGAUUCACCCCUUAACGAGGACAAAUUAAGUAUAUGUGUUAUGUUAAUGGUUUAAAUGUCAAAACGUCCCCAAUUUAGAUUUUGUGUGUGUGUGUUUUUUUUUUUUUAAAGAAAUAAAAAAUGAUCUCCUUUCUUAUUUUUUAUGAAAUUAAAGUUGAACUGGCGCCCCCCUGUACUGUACUGUACACCACACCAAUAUAGAUCCUUGGUGUCCAAGGAUAGCAAAGCAAGCCAAUGAGGAAAAUUAGAAUUACAAUAAAAAUAAAAAUAAAAAAAGACAAUCAUUAUACUCUAAAGUCUAAGUCUAGUUUUUCUCUUUUUAGGUUCUUUAUGGCAACCCCUCCAAACUUAUAACUUUUAUAUAUAUGUAUAUAUAUAUAUAUAUAUAUAUUAAUUCAUCAAUUGGCAAGAAACAUCUAUAAAUUAAAAAUUGAUUCUUUUUCAACAUUAAGUAACAAAUUAUUUUCAUUCGAGUAACGUGACCUAAUUAACAUGACCUAAUUAUUUUCUUUGCAAUUCAAACAGAUUAUAUAUAUUACAACUCGUACCCAGUAACAUGACCUAAUUAACAAAAUACUUGAGUUUCUCUAAAAUUGAUAACAGUAUAUACAAUCAAGUAUUUCAAUUUCAAAAAAUCUAUUUUGAAUGUCUUUCAAACAAAAAUAAGUAAAAAAAAGAAUACUACUUAUAAAAGAAAAUAGAUGGAUUCUGUUCACAGGGAGCAUACGAAAAUACAUAGCAAAUCAACCCAAGAAAAUGCAAAAAGGAAAAGACACAAAAAAACAAAAAAAACAAAAAACAAAAAAAAAACAAAAAAAAAACUAAACCCAUCGAAUAAAUCAUGGAAGAACAGAACGCCUUAAGAUAACCCACCACAACAACAUCCAAGAUAAUUUAGGCUUGAGUUGAAGUAUCAGAUUUCUCUUCCUUAUUCUUCCGCAUGGUCUCCCUAUUUCCAAAAUAUAAAUAAAAGGUUCAAGUUAACAAACUUAUAGCCAAAAAAAUUAUCAUAAUUGAGCACAUAAAACCCUUAUAAAAAUGUAGUGAUUUAAAAUUCCAGUAAUUAGAUUAAUUUUUCUUUUAUACAACCGACAGUGAAGAGGAAUUUGAAUGCGUAAUCUUAAAUGCAUAGAUAACUACUUCUAACGACAUGAGCUUAAGUCAAACUCUAUUAGUUUUAUAUUGAGACUAUUGCAUGCACAUAAGAACACAAUUGCCAAGGAUAUGAAUAAGAUCAAAGUUCAAACUAGUUACCUGCACUUCUUUGAUUCUUGCAGAUAUUCAUUAAGCUGUCUUCUUCUCAGUAAUUCCCCUAUACGAAAAUUGUACUCCAAAAUAGUGAUCCCAAGAAUCGUCAUUAAUAUCGUGAAAUCCCACGACAUUUUUUGGCUUCACCAAAUGAUGAAAAACAACCUAUUUACAAAAAUAAAAUAUAGAAUUAUUCGUGAUUCGAUAGGGUUUGUGAUGGUCUUGUUGGAGGCUAUAUAUAGUUAAGAAUUUUUUUUUUUUCUUUUCUUGCAAGUAAAGUAAAGUAGAAGAAAACAUAUAUGUCAAUAUUGUUUUCGUUUUUUAAACUAUUUUAUUACUUAUUUAUUUAGAUAAACUCUCUCUCUCUCUCUCUCUCUCUCUCUCUCUCUCUCUCUCUCUCUCUCUCUCACAUGGCAAUACAAAUAUUUUGUUUUUGUGAGGUUAUAGUUUCUCAAACUUGUUUUUUCUUUUUACGACUAAUACUCGAGGUAUUACACAUUAAUUUUGUUUGCAUUGAACUCGUUCUCUAAUCAAAUGAAAAUCAAUCUCCAGAUCCUUUGCAUUUGGCGACAUAUAUAGAUAGGUUUUUUUAUGGUAAGUUAAAAAUUUCUUUCCUUUUCUUGUAUAGAAAGAAAUUUAGUGUCUUUUUCUUGCAGGUAAAAUAAGUAAAUAUCCUGGCUGAUAUUGUUAUAUAUAUAACGACCUAGCCUAGCAGUGUGCGUGGAAAGAAUAUUAAUUAAUAUUUGAGGUCGUUGUUUUCUUUGCGUAUCUUACUUCGGAGACCUUGCUAGAAACAAAGUAAAACUUAUGGGUUUUUUUUUUAGGUUGUUUCUUGGUAGGUUUGUGUUUGGGUACUGCAUGCGCCGCGCCUCUUCUUAAAAGAGAUUUAUUGGACGGUAAUAAUCGCAGUCUGAAAAAAUCGAGGCGUCGGAGGUAGCAUAUCUAUUUUUAUUUCGCAGAUUUUAUAUGCUUAUGAUAUUUUCACUUUAGUUUUGAUUUUUAACAAACUUUUAUUUUUUGCGGUGUAUGUGAAGACGAUAAUGAUAUGGUGGAUGAGGCCUAGAAUCUACAUAUCGAUGUCGUAGGCAAUAAGGCAAUAAUUUAAUUUGAUUUUGUUUCCCAAAUUUGAAUUAAUUUUUACUUUUAUUACAGUAAUCAUCAUAUUCUUUUUACAGUUGUUUCCUACUGUGCUUCCGUUCUGGUUAAGUCUUUUACCAAAAUUAGAUAAAAGUAACUUUCAGCUCAGGCCAAUGUUGCCAAUUGAAUUGUAGCUUAAUAUAAGCAAGUCAUAGCCUCUUCUUAUUGGCUGCUGCAAAAAUAUAUUCAGAAAAAAUAUUCAAAGACUAUUAAUAAAGAACCACAUCCACAUUUUAAAAUAAAGUGAGUAUCAGAUUGCAGGUGAUUGGGCCAAAAAUUUGUUGUCGCCCGACAAAUCGAUUUCCUUCCUGUGUGUGAGGCUAACUUUGCCAUAGGGUACGUACAGAGCUGAGCUUUAACGGAAAUAAAAUUAAUGGGGAAGAAGGCUGUCUCAAUUCAAGUCAAAAGCUAGAGGGCUAGAAGCCUAGAGGAGCUUAAAGCUUCGACUGGUGAGACUCUGGCACCACGGCACCUCCAAAUUGGAAUUUCCUAUUUUCAAGUUGGAAGGGAUUCAAAACUUCUAAUCUAUACAACUCCAAUAAAAGUUGUUACAAAACAAACAAAAACACUAAAUUAUGUUCCACAACAUAACACUCAUGUUCUUUGAUUUUAAUGCUUACCAUGAACUCAAAUAGGUGGAAUCAUGAUUUUAGACCUUUAUAAUCGAAGAUAAUGUUAUCAGAAGUUUGUAGCAAUUUUCGAUGUAUUUUUCUGAUAUUUAAUUAAUUUUUUAUGAAUUUUUAAACAUAAAUUUGAUAAAAGUAUCAAAACUGACACGUGGAGCGUUGACAGGAGGACAGCCAUCAGACACACUGACAGCACUCCAUUCAGCUUCCGCCAUGUGUCCCCCCACACGAUUUAAUACUAUUUUUCUAGGAUUUAACUUAUAAAGUCAAUAAUAAAUUAAAUACAAAUCCAAAAAAUACACCGAAAAUUGAUACGAACUUCAUAUGUGACAUGCUCUAAGCCCUCAAACUCCAAAAAUAUAAUUUUGACUCAUAAAAUUUGAAAAUGAUAACAAAAACUCAAUUUUAUUUCAAAAACAAACCAAAACACUAAAUUAUGUUCUAUAACAUAACACUCGUGUUCUUUGAUUUUAACACUUAUCACAAACUCAAAUAUGUGGAAUCAUGAUUUUAGACCUUUAUAAUCGAAGAUAAUGUUAUCAUGAGUUUGUAGCAAUUUUCGGUGUAUUUUUCUGAUAUUUAAUCAAUUUUUUAUGAAUUUUUAAACAUAAAUUUGAUAAAAGUAUCAAAACUGACACGUGGCGCAUUGACAGGAGGACAGCCAUCAGACACACUGAUGCGCCCCAUUCAGCAUUCGCCAUGUGUCGCCCCACAUGAUUUAAUACUAUUUUUCUACGAUUUAACUUAUAAAAUUGAUAAUAAAUUAAAUACAAAUCUAAAAAAUACACCGAAAAUUGAUAUGAACUUCUUGUGACAUUCUCUACGCCCGCAAACUCCAAAAAUAUAAUUUUGACUUAUAAAAUUUGAAAACGAUAACAAAAACUCAACUUUGUUUCAAAACAAACCAAAACACUAAAUUAUGUUUUGUAACAUAACACUCGUGUUCCUUGAUUUUAACGCUUACCAUGAACUAAAAUAUGUGGAAUCAUGAGUUUACACCUUUAUAAUCGAAGAUAAUGUUGUCAUGAGUUUGUAGCAAUUUUCGGUGUAUUUUUUUUAUAUUUAAUCAAUUUUUUAUGAAUUUUUAAACAUAAUUUUGAUAAAAGUAUCAAAACUGACACGUGGCGCAUUGACAGGAGGACAGCCAUCAGACACACUGACUACGCCCCAUUCAGCAUCGGCCAUGUGUCGCCCCACACGAUUUAAUACUAUUUUUCUAGUAUUUAACUUAUAAAAUUGAUAAUAAAUUAAAUACAAAUCCAAAAAAUGCACCGAAAAUUGAUACGAACUUCUUGUGACAUGUUCUACGCCCUCAAACUCCAAAAAUAUAAUUUUGACUUAUAAAAUUUGAAAACUAUAACAAAAACUCAACUUUGUUUCAAAACAAAUCAAAAACACUAAAUUAUGUUCUAUAACAUAACACUCGUGUUCUUUGAUUUUAACGCUUACCAUGAACUCAAAUAUGUGGAAUCAUGAUUUUAGACCUUUAUAAUCGAAGAUAAUGUUAUCAUGAGUUUGUAGCAAUUUUCGGUGUAUUUUUCUGAUAUUUAAUCAUUUUAUGAAUUUUUAAACAUAAAUUUGAUAAAAGUAUCAAAACUGACACGUAGCGCAUUGACAGGAGGACAGCCAUCAGACACACUGACUGCGCUCCAUUCAGCAUUCGCAAUGUGUCGCCCCACAUGAUUUAAUACUACUUUUCUAGGAUUUAACUCAUAAAAUUGAUAAUAAAUUAAAGACAAAUCCAAAAAAUACACCAAAACUUGGUACGAACUUCUUCUGACAUUCUCUACGCCCUCAAACUCCAAAAAUAUAAUUUUGACUUAUAAAAUAUGAAAAGGAUAACAAAAACUCAAUUUUGUUUCAAAACAAACCAAAACACUAAAUUAUGUUUUAUAACAUAACACUCGUGUUCCUUAAUUUUAAAGCUUACCAUGAACUAAAAUAUGUGGAAUCAUGAGUUUAGACCUUUAUAAUCGAAGAUAAUGUUAUCAUGAGUUUGUAGCAAUUUUUGAUGUAUUUUUCUGAUAUUUAAUCAAUAUUUUAUGAAUUUUUAAAAAUAAAUUUGAUAAAAGUAUCAAAACUGACACGUGGUGCAUUUACAGGAGGACAGCCAUCAGACACACUGAUUGCGCCCCAUUCAGCAUCUGCCAUGUGUCGCCCCACACGAUUUAAUACUAUUUUUCUAGGAUUUAAUUUAUAAAAUUGAUAAUAAAUUAAAUACAAAUCCAAAAAAUACAUCAAAAAUUGACACGAACUUCUUGUGACAUGCUCUAAGCCCUCAAACUCCAAAAAUAUAAUUUUGGCUUAUAAAAUUUGAAAACGAUAACAAAAACUCAACUAUGUUUCAAAACAAAUCAAAACACUAAAUUAUGUUCUAUAACAUAACACUAGUGUUCUUUGAUUUUAACGCUUACCAUGAACUCAAAUAUGUGGAAUCAUGAUUUUAUACCUUUAUAAUCGAAGAUAAUGUUAUCACGAGUUUGUAGCAAUUUUCGAUGUAUUUUUCUGAUAUUUAAUCAAUUUUUUAUGAAUUUUUAAACAUAAAUUUGUUAAAAGUAUCAAAACUGACACGUGGCGCAUUGAAAGGAGGACAGUCAUCAGACACACUGACUGCGCCCCACUCCGCAUUCGCCAUGUGUCGCCCCACACGAUUUAAUACUAUUUUUCUAUGAUUUAACUUAUAAAAUUGAUAAUAAAUUGAAUACAAAUCCAAAAAAUUCACCAAAAUUUGGUACGAACUUCUUCUGACAUUCUCUACGCCACAAACUCCAAAAAUAUAAUUUUGACUUAUAAAAUUUGAAAAGGAUAACAAAAACUCAAUUUUGUUUCAAAACAAACCAAAACACUAAAUUAUGUUUUAUAACAUAACACUCGUGUUCCUUGAUUUUAACGCUUACCAUGAACUAAAAUAUGUGGAAUCAUGAGUUUAGGCCUUUAUAAUCGAAGAUAAUGUUAUCAUGAGUUUGUAGCAAUUUUCGAUGUAUUUUUCUGAUAUUUAAUCAAUAUUUUAUGAAUUUUUAAAAAUAAAUUUGAUAAAAGUAUGAAAACUGACACGUGGUGCAUUGACAAGAGGACAGCCAUCAGACACACUGACUGCGCCCCAUUCAGCAUCCGCCAUGUGUCGCCCCACACGAUUUAAUACUAUUUUUCUAGGAUUUAACUUAUAAAAUUGAAAAUAACUUAAAUACAAAUCCAAAAAAUACAUCGAAAAUUGAUACGAACUUCUUGUGACAUGCUCUAAGCCCUCAAACUCCAAAAAUAUAAUUUUGACUUAUAAAAUUUGAAAACGGUAAUAAAAACUCAACUUUAUUUCAAAACAAACCAAAACACUAAGUUAUGUUCUAUAACAUAACACUCGUGUUCUUUGAUUUUAACACUUACCAUGAACUCAAAUAUGUGGAAUCAUGAUUUUUAGACCUUUAUAAUCGAAGAUAAUGUUAUCAGGAGUUUGUAGCAAUUUUCAGUGUAUUUUUUUGAUAUUUAAUCAAUUUUUUAUGAAUUUUUAAAUAAAUUUGAUAAAAGUAUCAAAACUGACACGUGGCAUAUUGACAGGAGGACAGCCAUCAGACACACUGACUGCACCCCUUUCAUCUUCCGCCAUGUGUCGCCCCACACAAUUGAAUACUAUUUUUCUAUGAUUUAACUUAUAAAAUUGAUAAUAAAUUAAAUACAAAUAAAAUACACCGAAAAUUGGUACGAACUUCUUGUGACAUUCUCUACACCCUCAAACUUCAAAAAUAUAAUUUUGACUUAUAAAAUUUGAAAAGGAUGACAAAAACUCAAUUUUGUUUCAAAACAAACCAAAACACUAAAUUAUGUUUUAUAACAUAACACUCGUGUUCCUUGAUUGUAACGCUUACCAUGAACUAAAAUAUGUGGAAUCAUGAGUUUAGACCUUUAUAAUCGAAGAUAAUGUUAUCAUGAGUUUGUAGCAAGUUUUGGUGUAUUUUUUUGAUAUUUAAUCAAUUUUUAUGAAUUUUUAAACAUAAUUUUGAUAAAAGUAUCGAAACUGACAUGUGGCGCAUUGACAGGGGUACACACUGACUGCGCCCCAUUCAGUAUCCGCCAUGUGUCGCCCCACACGAUUUAAUACUAUUUUUCUUGGAUUUAACUUAUAAAAUUGAUAAUAAAUUAAAUACAAAUCCAAAAAAUACACCGAAAAUUGGUACGAAAUUCUUGUGACAUUUUCUACGCACUUAAACUCCAAAAAUAUAAUUUUGACUUAUAAAAUUUGAAAUGAUAACAAAAACUCAACUUUGUUUCAAAACAAACCAAAACACUAAAUUAUGUUCUAUAACAUAACACUUGUGUUUUUUUAUUUUAACGCUUACCAUGAACUCAAAUAUGUGAAAUCAUGAGUUUAGACCUUUAUAAUCAAAGAUAAUGUUAUCAGGAGUUUGUAGCAAUGUUCGGUGUAUUUUUCUGAUAUUUAAUCAAUUGUUUAUGAAUUUUUAAACAUAAAUUUGAUAAAAGUAUCAAAACUGACAUGUGGCGCAUUGACAGGAGGACAUCCAUCAGACACACUGACUGCGCCCCAUUUAGCUUCCGCAAUGUGUCGCCCCACACAAUUUAAUACUAUUUUUCUAAGAUUUAACUUAUAAAAUUGAUAAUAAAUUAAAUACAAAUCUAAAAAAUACACCGAAAAUUGGUUCGAACUUCUUGUGAUAUUCUCUAUUCUCUCAAACUCCAAAAAUAUAAUUUUGACUUUCAAAAUUUGAAAAUGAUAACAAAAACUCAACUUUGUUUCAAAACAAACCAAAACACUAAAUUAUAUUAUAUAACAGAACAUUCGUGUUCUUUGAUUUUAACACUUACCAUGAACUCAUAUAUGUGGAAUCAUGAUUUUAGACCUUUUAUAAUCAAAGGUAAUGUUAUCAUCAGUAAUUUUUCUGAUAUUUAAUUAAUUUUUUUAUGAAUUUUUAAACAUAAAUUUGAUAAAAGUAUCAAACUGACACGUGGAGCAAUAUAGGAGGACAUCCAUUAGACACACUGACCGCGCCCCAUUCAGCUUCAGCCAUGUGUCGCCUAUACGAUUUAAUAUUAUUUUUCUAGUAUUUAACUUAUAAAAUUGAUAAUAAAUUAAAUACAAAUUCAAAAAAUACACCGAAAAUUGGGAUGAACUUCUUGUGACAUUCUCUAUGCCCUCAAACUUCAAAAACAUAAUUUUGAAUUUUAAAUUUUGAAAAUGAUAACAAAAACUCAACUUUGUUUCAAAACCAACAAAAACCCUAAAUUAUGUUCUAUAACAUAACAUUCAUGUUCUUUGAUUCGACAAUUACCGUGGACAUAAAUAUGUGGAAUCUUAAUUUUGACCUCCAUAGUCAAAGACAAUGUUGUAAGGAGUUUGUAUCAAUUUUCGGUGUAUUUUUCUGAUUUUUAAUGAAUUUUAGAAGUGAAAUCCAAGAAAAAUAAUUCUAAAUUAUAGAGAAUCACACAUGGCUGUAGCUGAAAGGAAAGCAGUCAUUUUUUUUUUACAGGUGGCGUCGUACGAUUGCGCCACAUCCCAUUUUUUUUUCCCCAAGUUUAUCUUUAAAAAAUCAUAAAAAAAUUAAUUAAAAAUACACUGAAAAUGGUUACAAACUCCUUGUGACAUUGUCUUUCACUAUGGAGGUCUAAAAAUCAUGAUUUCACAUAUUUAUGUUCACGGUAAUCGUCGAAUUAAAGAACAUGAGUGUUAUAUUAUAGAGCAUCAACUAGUGUUUUAGGUUGUUUAGAAAUAAAUGUGAGUUUUUGUUAUCAAUUUAUAUUUUUAUAAGUGAAAUUACAUUUUUAUAACUUGAUUGCAUAGAGAAUGUCACAAGGAGUUCGUAGGACUUUCCGAAUGCCUCCAAAUAUAUCCUAACUACAAUACCACUGCACUGAUUAACCCUUGAUGAAAAAUAAAAUAAUAAGACGAGUUCGCAGCUCCAGAUCUAGAUCUACAACGUAGAAUGGAAGGGAUGUGUGAAUCAUGGUGCUGCAUUCGUCAGAAAUUCGAUAGUAAUGCACCUGCCAUGGUAAAGAGGGAGACCUUCCGACGGCGCCGAUGUUAAGAAAUUGUUGUAUGAAAAGGGUGAGAGGGAGGAGGAAGAAGAGGGAAGAUGAAAAAUAAAUAAAUAAAUCUUGUGGGAUCGGUGCAUUAAUUAGGGGGAGAAUGAAAAUUUAAAACAUACGUAAUUGUAUUAAAUAAUUUGGCAUGCCACAUCAUCUUCCACAUCAGAUGGUAUACAUUUGUGGUACAAAAAUAUGGUCUCCCUACCAUUACCCUUAGUUUAGUACAGGGUUAUUUACUGUAGACGUCCCUAAACUUGGCCCCCAGUUGCAAUUGGGUAUGUGAACUUUUUUUUGAGGCAAUUACAUCCGUUAACUCGACAAAUAGUUUCAAUUGGGUCCUACCGUCCAACUUUUGUUCGUCAAAAUGAGGGGGUAAAAGUGUCCUUUCUAUUUUUCAUCCAUCAUCGAACCCAACUUCUUCAUCCAUCAUCGACCUAACAACCCCAUCUCCAUCUUCAAAGAUCACUGCAACUAUGUUGUCAACAGCUAUUUCCAAAGGAAGGGCCAAAAUGCACAGAGCAACGAUUUCAUGGCAUUUUUUUUUUCCUCAUAAUCACUGAUUUUAUUUUUUCCUUCUAGAUGAUUAAUAGCCUCAAGUUCCACUUCCACUUGUGUUUAUCCUUCAAGUACCAGAUAGGUAUCUUUUCCACCUUUUUCAUACAGCCAGCACUUCAAAAACAAAAAAAACAAAAAAAAGCCAAGAAACCAUUAGCCUGAAAUUAGAAUCAUCGUGACCCUUUUCUCAAGAGUGGAAAAGAGAUGUUGUAACUUUUAAGUGGUUGGAGUUCACAAAGCGAAGCUAAAUUGAUGGUGUUGAUACUUUGAAACCUAGGUUAAGUAGAACAAUGUUGUGUAUUUGCAGAGACAAAAGUAUAAAGCUUGCAGAUUGGCCCACUGAGUCAGAGAUUGUACCGAGUCGAAGCGUUUAUAAAAGACAGAGAGAGUCGAUGUGGAAUAGAAGAGAGAGUGGCUUCGGUAGCGCCCUUGGAUUUUCGAACUUUUGUAAGGGGUGGGACAAGGAGGAGGGGAGAAUGAGUUUUGAGGGGGUGGGAUAAGGAGGAGGAGGGAAUUGGUUGCGGGAGAGAGGGAGAGACAGAAAGGGAGAGCUAAGAGAGAGCGAAAAAGAAAGAGAGAGAGAGAGAGAGAGAGAGAGAGAGAGAGAGAGAGAUUUGGGUUUGGAUUUUUUUAUUUUUAAGUUUAUUUAUUUAAUUAAGAGUGCUGCUAUUCUCAAAAAACCCUAGCCCCCUUUCUCCCAAAAAACACUAUUAGAGCCUUUUCCACCUUGAGGGGGGAAGAAACCAUUGUUCUUCCCCCCUCUCCUUUCUUCUCUUCCUCUCUUCCUCCUUUCACCUCUUCCCCCAUUUUCAAAGACAAAGGGUUUUCCCUAUUUGUCUUAGUUUUGUUAUGAUUUUCAUCCAACCAUUAUUGGCGGCUGCGGCUCACUCAAUUUUAACUGUGUUUUGCUUUUUACUUCAAAGGAUAAAAUUGACCCAACAAAAAAAUUAAUAAAAGUCAAAGGACCUACAUCUAAAACCAAAAAUACGUGGACUAAACCCAAUUGAAGCUAAUUGUUUUAGACCUAGAUCUAAGAACCUCUAUAUUUUAUACAAGUGAUACUAGAAAAGAAGGAAAUAAUCGGAUACAUGACCUCUGGUGGCUCCUAUUAGUAAAUCAUAUAUUAAUUAUGAUGUAAUUUUAUUGUAACCUUGGUUGGAGCAGUUUAUUUAAUUGUUGCUAACGAAAAUCUCAUUUUCCAGAAAAUAAAAAUAAAAAUAGUGUCAAAAUGAGUAGAAAGCAAUCUCUGAUUAAUGUAUUUAUUUUGAGGGUAAUUCAUAUAGUCAAAAUGAUUAGAAACUAUGCAUGUCAUUUAAUAUUGAUUCUAAUGUCAACUUUGUAGACAAAUCAAUUAUUUUGCUGAAAUGGAUGAACGAGUUAUUGGAAAACAACAUGCGGACGAAUUAGUCUAAUUUAUAAUUAGUAUUUGAGAAUUUGGAAAAUUUCGAAGAAAACCACCACCAAGUAAUAUCACAACCUUUUUUUCUUCCUUUUUUUCUCUGAGAAAAUAAUACCAAAACUUAAAUAUGCAAUUUAAAUACUAAAUAUUCCAGAUGUUCCAGCGGCGAUGGAGUUUCACAUCAAACAACCAUUUAAUUCGUUGCCUCCAAAAAAUUAGUAACCUACCACACGAGUAAACAAAAUAAAACAAUUAAUAGAGAAACUGAUAAAAAGAAGCAAUUAAUACCACAAACAUAAGACUGUAAAAACUCCAAAACAGAGGAUGGUGUAAAGAGUUACCACAGAAUACUAUAGCUAAAGCAUAGUGAGAUUUACACAUUUUCAUCAUAUUUCUAUAUGCAGCCAGGUUAACUGGAAUUAGAUACUAAUCACAAAUAUUGUGAGAAAUAGGAAAUUAAGACUGUUAAUUACUGCUUUACUUUUACUUUUUUUUUUCCUUUUAAAAGAAGUAGUUAUAACUUGUUGUACCAGUUCUAACAUGGCAGAACAAAACUAGAGUUUGUUUAAUAUCGAUAAGCAAACAAAAAUAAUGAAAACAAAAAUAACAAAGGAAAGUAGAAUUAAGCAAUACGUACCAGGAAAGUUUGGGCUUGUGGAUCGGUUUAUCUUUUAGGAUUAUUUUCCAAAUUAUGCUGCCUAAUCUCCCUAUUGAAAUUUGAUUUUGCAUACAAAACAGAUCAAAUUGUAAUUACAAAAAGUUUAAAUUAGACAACUUUAUAGCAUAAAAAGGCAUCAUAAUAUUAAGAAUUAAUGCAUGGGAUUGAAACUAAAAUAUAAUAAUAUAUGAUGAAGAGGAAACUACCUGCACUUCCUCAAUUCUUCCAGAUUUUGAUUAAACGCUCUUCGUCUUUUUAGGUCCCCUUUACGCAGAAGGUGAUCACCAAUGGCGGUCCCAAGAAGAAAUGUGAAAAUCCAUGCGAUGAAUUCUUUCAUCCUCUUGGCUGCAAAAGUUAUAGAGUUCUCGAUAUGUAGAUGUAACAAAUUAUAUAAUACAACCCAAUUAUGAAAAGAGCAUAUUAUAUAUAUGUUUGCGAAAGCUAGGGUUUUUGUUACGAGCUAGAGUAUGUGGUUUUUUUAUUUAUUUAUGGGAAGUUAUUAAUUACUUUUCUUUGGUAUCAAGAAAUCUUUCUUUUCUUUUUUGGUAAGUAUCUUUCUUCUUUUCUGGUAAGUAAAAAAAACCUUUCAUUUAUAGAAUACCUAGUGAGAGAUCAAAUAUUUAUUUUGGUUGUUUGGACAUUAAUUUAUUAGUCGUUUGGCCCUAUGUCCAUGUGAGCAUGAAUAUUCUGAUAACAUUGGGUGGUUUUCCUCCGGAUGCGGUUUCCUUAUUUUUGUAAUUCGGACAUUCUAAAACCCUACUGUUUACACGUCCAACCCACCUCAUACUUCUUAUACAUACAAACGCCUCAUGCUAUUGCAUGAAACCAAAUACACACCUCAAGCAAUCUUCAGCUCAUGCAAAGAUUGCAUGCAAUUCAUAUGCAAACAUGUAAUAUAAUUAAAACAAUCCAAGAUGACCAGUUGAUUGUGCUACGUACAGCUCUCACGAUCAUAAUUUUGUUUUGUGCGCACAAAGUUGUAUUUACAAAUGAGGUUGAUUUUGCUUUGUGCACGCAUACACUCUGUUUUCUUUUAAUUACAUGUUCUGCAAAUUCUUAAUUUUAUUUUUUAUCAUUUGAGUUUGACUAAAGUGCAACAAAGCACAAUAUAGCAAACUUAGCAGGUUUUUACGCAAAGUAUGUUGGUUUUUGGAAGCAUUGCAAAUAUAUUUGAGCUUAAAUUAGUCCCACAUUAGAAAACUAUAAUUCCUUGAAGGUCUUUAUAAGACCUAUUCUUGGAAAUAGGACAAUUAGAAUUUGGCUAUGCAAGUGGACCAAUUGAGUGGCUUGUUGGGUUUGGCCUUUGGGUUAGUCAAAAGAUGGGCCUUGGACUCUUUGUGAUUUAAAAUUAAACCUAAUUAAUUAAAUUAAUUUCGAGGUAAUUAUUUGAAUUACUUUUUAAAAUUCAAAUAUCAGAUAAGUUUGUCAGAUUGGGUUUGACCGUUAUAUGAUACAUGUUCCAACAGGAAUUAGCACUCUAUAUAAACAAGAGCCUUGGUUCUAUUUGAUAUACAUAAAAAACGCAGAUUUCAUUCUAAGUCAUAUUCAAUUUCGUGAAUUUGUUUAUUGUUUAAUUUCGAAAAAAACCAUUCAAUUUUAUUUUACUGUCUUAUUAAAUUAUUGUUGAAUUACAUUAUUAGUGUAACACUGAUUGUUGUUUCACCAACAAAGUAUAGUUAGCCCAUUCCAUUUUUAAAAUUCUGGGUCUGUCCAUGUAUCUAUAUAUAUAAAGCGAAAGGCAGAGAGAAUGGUAAAACAUUCAAAAUACCAAAAAUUCACAUGGCGGACUCGUAUAUGUAAAUUCCAAAUGCCUCCAAAUAUAUCCUAACUACAAUACCACAGCACUGAUUAACACUUGAUGGAAAAUAAAAUAAUAAGACGAGUUCGCAUCUCUAGCGGCAGUGAUGCGCGACACUAGAAGAAGUCGAAAAAAUUCUUCCACGCGUCAUAGUCUUUGAAGAAGACGUCCAUGUCCCGACCAACAAGUGCUAUAAACUCUUCAUGGCUAUUAAUACAGACAAGGCAAGGCAAAUAGGAAUAUUAAUCUUUGAGGUUUUCCUCAGCAAACUCAAAGCACCAAAGUCAAGAUCAAGGUGAAAAAAAAUAAAAUUUGCUAAAUUAAAUAUGAAACUUCGUACUGACCUCCACGUAUUCCGAAUCUCUUCCAUCUUUUCAUCAAUUUCUCUAAGUACCGAAGCUGUUUCUCUGUAUGUAGAGAUAUAGUUACAUAUAAACUUAAAGAAGGUUGAUCCCAUCAGUCCCAACACCAGAGUUGAAAUAUGUUUCGUUGCCAUUAAUUAAGAUUAGGAAAAAUUUAAAGUUGGGGAGAUUUUUUUUGGGUAGAUGAAAAAAAGUGAGAAGACUUAAACAAGUGCUCUAAGUAGCAAAAGUAUAUAUUCUGUGAGAGUUUAGGGCUUGGCUCUAGUGACUCAUGUUCAUAUCACAAGAUGAACUCAAGUAUAUAUACAUAUGUUUGAGCUUGUAUCCUAGACUAGUGCGACAAAUAAAUAAAUAAAAUUAUUUAUCUUUUCCUUCAAGUAAAGCAAAAGUAGGGUAGGGCUCCUCUGCCGCAGUUUCCUCCUUAGACAUUGAAUCCAUAUAUUUGAUUGUGAUUCUAGUAUGAAAUUAUUCUUACCUAUUAGGUUUUGUCUCCCUAUUUGUAAUACACUGAUGUAAUUUAGCACCAGUUCACGUCUUUCCCUUUUUGGUACUUGUAAUUAGGUUGAUUUAUAAUUAUCACAAUAACACAUAUAAUUGCAAAAGAUAUGGAUGCGAUGCGAUCGACGACCUAAUUGCAAAACUGGAAAGAAAAAAAAAAAGGUAAUGGCUAGUGAGCGUACUUUGUAAUGGUAAGGUUAAAAUUUUCUUUUCUUUCAUAUCAAUAAAAUCUUGUUUUCUUGCAAGUGAAGUAAAAAAAAUAAAAGGAAUACAUUCCAGGUCUUUUAUAAAUAUAAUCAAGCCUGUAACUAUUUAUAUAUGUUAUAUACUUGUGCGCGGACACCUUGCACUUGUUCUUCUCUCACUUUGAAUUCACAAAAGCUAUACCCUCCUGUAAACAACAUGAUAGAUACGCUUAUUUUCCUAGCAGCGUUUAUUGGUUUUCCAGUUGCACAAGUCAUUGUUGUUCCUGUGGGAUAUAUUAUGCGUCAUGAGAGAAGGCACUUAUUCGACCGCCUUAAUGAAGAUCUAUUACGUUCCAAACGUUGGAGGUAGUUUCUUCGAUCUUAUAUAUAUAUAUUAAAUUUUUCGGGUGUUUCUUCUCACUAUUCUCUUCUCAAUUGUGAUGUUAUAUUUAUGUUUUUUUAGUAUAACCAAUAAUCUAAACUAUAAAGGAGAUGUGAGAUUUUCACACACACACACACACACACACUACUAAAGUGUCAUAAGAGUUCGAACUUGACACUGUUGUACAAGUUAAAGGCUUUUUUUCACUGAACUAAACCCAUUGACUUCUUCAUAUUUAUAUGGAUUAGUGUUUUCCCUUCUUUUUGAUGUGUCGCCUUUAAUAGCAAUAAAAUCUUAUUUGAACUUCUAUAUCUGAAAUAUGAUUAUUUUUGUGCUAUUAUUGAUCAUACAAAUGCAAAGGCUUCAACUACUCCCACAGCGUAAAACCUGAGCACCUUCACAGCAGCAAUCUCCCUCCCAGCAACAGACCCUUUGCAGGGAUGCAUAAUGGCACAACAGACUCUUUGCAGCGUUCUCUUUGACCCGAGUGGAGUUAGGCUUUUUCACCCUUGAGUAUAAUGCAGGGCAGAUUUGGGGCAACUCUAGUUAUUUUGAUUUUUUUUUUUUUUUUUUUAAAUUUUUAUUAGAGCUAUUUGAGGUGGAUUUGAACGUCUAUAUAUUAUUUUGUCAUGAACUCUUUAGGAUGGAUUUGGAUUUCUCUUUUUGAGGUCGAUUUGGAUUUUUGGUUAGUACUUACACAUGAUAUUGUUUAAUGUUUUGCUUUAAUAUUUGUUAUUGAGUAAGACAAUACCAUUUAAAACACCAACCACGCAAUACCCUGUCGACAGCCCAUCACAAACCGACUAAUUCUAUAUUUAUAUUUCCUUCUUUUUCUUAUUUGGUACUUGUACUUAGGUUGACAUGUUGAGUAGGAAUAUCUUUAAGUAUAUAUACCUAGAAAGAGAGGGAGACAACACAAUGAAUAUCGAAGAAUUGCGCAACUGCAGUAAAAAGGAAAUUAAAUCUUUGAGUUAAUUACAGUUUAAAGCUCUUUUGUUCAAUUUUGAUAACAAAAAAAUGAUACGUAAUGAUACCAACGUGUCGUGUUUAUUGUAUUUGAUUUGAGAUUUUACCCAAGAAAAUUAGUAGUGGUUUCAAAUUAGAUUUGUAUGGUGUACAGAUCCUUAGAGGAUCUACUUUGUAAUGUCUUUCAUGUUUCCAAAAAAAAAAAACAAAAAUAUGCGUCGUGUUUACUUGACUUUUCUCAAUGCUCAUUUUACUUCCAAGAAUACCACUGAUUAUCUCUUCUUUAAUAAAUUUAAAAUAAAUAAAAACUUUUCCCCAUAUUUUGUGAAUUAAUGACAUAACCUACAUCAUUGAUACAAUAAGUCAUUGAUAGUUAUACAUUUAUACAAUAAGUAAUUGUAAUUGACUCAUAAAUCAACCAAAUUAUAUCAGUCUAUUACAAGGAGACAAAACCUAAUCAAAUAUGGAUUCAAUAAUUUAUAUAUGGGAAAGUGAAUAUAUGCCCGAGAUAUGUCCUUUUGCUUUACUUUUUUUUUUUUUUGGUAACUGCCCUUUUGCUUUACUUGAAGGAAAAGAUAAAUAAUUUUUUUUUAAAAUUUGUCGCACGUAUAUAUAGCUUAUAAAUGAGUUCAUCUUGUGCUCCCUAAACCCUCACAGAUACUUUUGCUACUCAAAUCACUUGUUUGAAUCUUCUCAAUUUUCUUUGUCUACCCAAAAAGAAUGGCCCUAACUUUAAAUUUUUCCUAAUCUUAAUUAAUGGCAAGGAAAGAUAUUUCAACUCUGGUGUUGGGACUGAUGGGAGCUGCCUUCUUUAAGUUUAUAUGUAACUAUAUCUCUACAUAUAGAGAAACAGUUUUGGUACUAAGAGAGAUUGAUGAAAAGAUGGAAGAGAUUCGGAAUACAUGGAGGUCAAUACGUAGUUUCAUCUUUAAUUAGUAUAUAUAUAUAACCUUGAUCUUGGCUUUGAUGCUUUGAGUCUGCUGAGAAAAACCUCAAAGAUUAAUAUUCCAAUUUGAAUUCCCAAGCAAUUGCAUUAAUUAUAAAUUUUGCUUCAACAUUAUUAUAUUUUGCUUUGCCUUGUAUGUGUUAAUAGCCAUGAACAAUUUGUAGCACUUGUUGGUCGGGACAUGGACGGCUUCUUCAAAACCUAUGACGAAUGGAAGAACUAUUUCGACUUCUUCUAAUCUCUCAAAUAUCGCGCAUCACUCCAGCUAGAGCUGCGAAUUCAUCUUAUUAUUUUAUCUUUUUUUUUAAUUUAAAAUUUCUGUAAUUUAUCUCUUGAAGAUGAUCUUCUUCUUACUUCUUUUUUCUGUUUUUAAUUUGGACCUACGCGGCCGCGCGUCAUAUGAUCGAGAUAGGGUGGGGUUGGAUAUUAAACAGUUAAAUCUAGAAUGUGCUUGAUUUUGGUAGUUUUUACUGCCCCUUAAAGUGAAAAACUAGUGUUCCGCGCGUCAUUCGCCUAUAGACUAUAGCAGUAGUAGUUAAUCGGGUGAAUAUACAUGAGAAAGAGUUUAUAACACAAGAAAGAAAUCCGCCUAUGACUCGCGAAACAUCAAAAUUGAAUUCAAUAGUGGGAGAAUGCUUUUCUUUUUCUUUUUUUUUCUUUUUUUAAAUGAGAGGAGAAAUAAGACUAGAAGAUUUAAUAAAUGUUAUCGGGAGUUUGUAGCAAUUUUUGGUAUAUUUUUCUGAUAUUUAAUUAAUUUUUUAUGAAUUUUUAAACAUAAAUUUGUUAAAAGUAUCAAACUGAAACGUGAAGCAAUGGUAGGAGGACAACCAUCAGACACACUGACCGCCCCCCAUUCAGCUUUCGCCAUGUGGCGCCCCAUACGAUUUAAUAUUAUUUUUUCUAGUAUUUAACUUAUAAAAUUGAUAAUAAAUUAAAUACAAAUCCAAAAAAUACAUCAAAAAUUGGUACGAACUUCUUGUGACAUUCUCUACGCCCUCAAACUUCAAAAAAUAUAAUUUUGAUUUAUAAAAUUUGAAAAUGAUAACAAAAACUCAACUUUAUUUCAAGACAAACCAACACACUAAAUUAUGCUAAAUAACAUAACACUCAUGUUCUUUGAUUCGACAAUUACCAGGAACAUAAAUAUGUGGAAUCAUAAUUUAGACCUCCAUAGUCAAAGACAAUGUUGUAAGGAGUUUGUAUCAAUUUUCGGUGUAUUUUUCUGAUUUUUAAUUAUUUUUAAUGAAUUUUAGAAGUGAAAUCCAAGAAAAAUAAUAUUAAAUUAUAGAGAAUCACACGUGGUUGUAGCUCAAAGGAGAGCAGUCAUUCUUUAAAACAGGUGGCGUCGUACGAUUGGGCCACAUGCCAUUUUGUUUAUUUUUUCCAAGUUUAUCUUUAAAAAAAUCAUAAAAAAUUAAUUAAAAAUCAGAAAAAUACACCAAAAAUGGUUACAAACUCCUUAUGACCUUGUCUCUGACUAUGGAGGUCUAAAAAAUUAUGAUUUCAUAUAUUUAUGUUCAUGGUAAUCGUCGAAUCAAAGAACAUGAGUAUUAUAUUAUAGAGCAUCAACUAGUGUUUUAGGUUGUUUAGAAAUAAAUGUGAGUUUUUGUCAUCAAUUUAUAUUUUUAUAAGUGAAAUUAAAUUUUUAUAGCUUGAUUGCAUAGAGAAUGUCACAAAGAGUUUGUAGGACUUUCCGUUGUAUUUUUUGGAUUUUUAAUUUAUUUAUUAUGAAUUUUAGAAGUAAAAUCCAAAAAAAUAAUAUUAAAUUUAGAGAAUCACAUGUAGCAGCCGCUCAAAGGAGAGUAGUCAUUGUUUUUGAUAGGUCCCACGAUUCAGCCACAUGCCAUUUUGUUUACUUUUUCCAAGUUUAUCUUUAAAAAAGUCACAAACAAUUAAUUAAAAAUCAAAAAAAUACAUUAAAAAUUACUACAAACUCCUUACAUUAUCUUUGACUAUAGAGGCCUAAAUUAUUAUUCUAUUACCUUUUAAGUAAAUUUAGGUUUUACCCAUAAAAAAACUUUCAUUUUUGGAAAAAGCCAAAGCUUUUUCAAAAAAGACAGAAUAACCUCUCAACUUUCAAACCAAAGACAUGCAAAUGUAAAGGAUUUCUUAGGAAAUUAAAAAAUAAAUAAGGGUAAUUUUGUCCAUUUUUGCUUCUUUUAAAAAUUUUCUCUCUCCUUUGGGUUUUUCCAAAGUCUCCCUACUUUUUAUCCUAAAUUGUUAUUAUAUUGUUAUUUACCCUAAAAUAUUGAUAUAUUACUUUUUACCAUGAAUUAUUAUUAUAUUGUCCGAAUUUAUUAUUAUAUUAUUAUUUGCCUUAAAUUAUUAUUAUAUUACUUUUUACCCUAAAUUGUUAUUCUAUUGUUAUUAACCCUAAAUUAUUAUUAUAUUAUCAUUUACCCUAAAUUAUUAUUCUAUUAUUUUUUAAUCAUAAAUUGUUAUUAUAUUGUUAUUUACCCUAAAAUAUUAUUAUAUUGUUUUUACCAUGAAUUAUUAUUAUACUAUUAUCAACCAUAAAUUAUUAUUAUAUUGUUAUUUACCUUAAAUUAUUAUUAUAUUACCUUUUAGCUUAAAUUGUUAUUAUAUCGGGUAAGAAAAGGACAACGGUUGUGCUAAGGGCGGCUGGCUGGAGAGGAUGAAGAAGAUGAGUUUACUGCCAGCGUAAUUACCACAGUCUGUUCAACAUUAUAUUUUUUCUUUUUUUAAAAAACAAAUCUUAUCUAAGGGUGAAAUCUAAAGACUAAACAAAUGCCAAUUUUGUCAAAAUUAAAAACCAAUAAAAUAAAAUAAAAUAAAACUGAGAAUGAUAAAGUUCGACCAAAAUCUCAAAUGCUUUGUAAUCGUAACUUCUAUGUCGACAUACAUGAUUCUCACAAUUUGUUUCGCUAUGUGUUAAGUGAUGGGUUGACUAUGCAUACUCCAACACUCAAAAGAAGUGAAAAGGGUAUUUUAAAAUAUCGAAAGGAAAAGAGAGAUCUCUUUUUUCUCUCUUUUGUUUUCCUUGAAAAUGGAAAGAUUAAAAUACACUUAAAAAUGGAUGAAAAAUUGGAUUGUAUUAAAGUCAGAUGACAAAUCAUGGAUUUUGAAAAAUUAAGAUUACAUUUCUCUUAAAUAUUUCUUAAAGGUGACAAAUUGAAGCUGGGGUAUAAGUUCAUGUGACAUUUCCACAAAAAUCCUAAAAAAUUAUAGUAAAUUUAGUUUUAACCACUUCAAAGUCAUUUUUCCUCAACUACAACCCAUCUCUUUAUUUUUUUAAUAAUAAAAUCCUAUUUUUUCUUAAUAAAAUCCGAUGACUAGAAUCCAAUUCAGUAAGUUACCUAAUUUAUUGUACUUUUUCAAUUCCUAAAAUAACUAAGCGAUUAUUGUAUUUUGUAUAUUAAUGUAGGAACUAAUAUAGAAUUUUUUUUAAAAAAAAUUGGAUGGUAACUAAUGACACACGUUGAAUUUGGAAAGAUUUCCAAAUGGAUGUAGGAAUUAAUUUGGAAAUGUUUUUAAAAUUUAAACAAUAAAUUCAUAUUUACCAUACCUAAUACCAUUUAAAACAACACGCAAUACCCUUGUCGAUAGCUCAUCACAAACCGACUAAUUCUAUAUUUAUAUUCCCUUCUUUUUCUUUUUUGAUACUUGUAAUUAAGUUGAUCUGUUGGUUGAGUACACUUGAGUACCCUGUGAUUACGCCCUUAAGACAUAUUAAUCCCUACAUAUCUAGCUCAACCACCAUCACCACCCAAUCUAACCGCACUAGUGGAAUGUUGGGGUCUUAAGGUACUGAGAGUAAGAUUGGCAGAAAGGAAAAGAGAAAAAAAAAAAAUGAAAUGCUCAGAAAUAUUUCCUAUCAUUCAUAAUUCCUUUUCCCAAGGAAGAGAAGGUUUAAUACAUUCCCAAUACCAAAGGCGUGAACCCCUGAUGUCGGCCAAAAGCUUAUACUAUGACAAUUGAUAAAAUAGUAAAUUAGAUAUGUCUUUGAAGAAGCCGUCCAUGUCCACUCUAUAAAUUCUUCAUGGCUAUAAACACAUACAAGGCAAUGCAAAUUUAAAUACUAAAUAUUCCAGAUGUUCCAGCGGCGAUGGAGUUUCACAUCAAACAACCAUUUAAUUCGUUGCCUCCAAAACAUUAGUACCUACCACACGAUUAAACAAAAGGGAGACUUUGGAAAAGCCCAAAGGAGAGAGAAAAUUUUUAAAAGAAGCCAAAAUAGACAAAGUUGCCCUUAUUUUUUUUUUGAUUUCCUAAGGAAACCUUUACAUUUGCAUGUCUUUGGUUUGAAAGUUGAGAGGUUUUUCUGUCUUUUUUGAAAAAGCUUUGGCUUUUUCCAAAAGUGAAAGUUUUUUUAUGGGUAAAACCUAAAUUUACUUAAACAAAAUAAAACAAUUAAUAGAGAAACUGAUAAAAAAAGAAGCUACUAAUACCACAAACAUAAAGCAUAGUGAGAUUUACACAGUUUUCAUCAUAUUUCUAUAUGCAUGCAGCCAGGUUAAUUGGAAUUAGAUACUAAAAUAAUCAAAAAUAUUGUGAAAAGUAGGAAAUUAAGACAGUUAAUUACUGCUUUACUUUUACUUUUUUUUUUCCUUUUAAAAAAAGUAGUUAUAACUUGUUGUACCAGUUCUAACAUGGCAGAACAAAACUAGAGUUUGUUUAAUAUCGAUAAGCAAACAAAAAUAAUGAAAACAAAAAUAACAAAGGAAAGUAGAAUUAAGCAAUACGUACCAGGAAAGUUUGGGCUUAUGGAUCGGUUUAUCUUUUAGGAUUAUUUUCCAAAUUAUGCUGCCUAAUCUCCCUAUUGAAAUUUGAUUUUGCAUACAAAACAGAUCAAAUUGUAAUUACACGCUUAAAUUACAAAAAGUUUAAAUUAAACACUCUUCGUCUUUUUAGGUCCCCUUUACGCAGAAGGUGAUCACCAAUGGCGGUCCCAAGAAGAAAUGUGAAAAUCCAUGCGAUGAAUUCUUUCAUCCUCUUGACUGCAAAAGUUAUAGAGUUCUCGAUAUGUAGAUGUAACAAAUUAUAUAAUACAACCCAAUUAUGAAAAGAGUAUAUUAUAUAUAUGUUUGCGAAAGCUAGGGUUUUUGUUACGAGCUAGAGUAUGUGGUUUUUUUUUUUGUUUUUUUUAUGGGAAGUUAUUAAUUACUUUUCUUUGGUAUCAAGAAAUCUUUCUUUUCUUUUUUGGUAAGUAUCUUUCUUCUUUUCUGGUAAGUAAAAAAAAAACCUUUCAUUUAUAGAAUUCCCAGUGAGAGAUCAAAUAUUUAUUUUGGUUGUUUGGACAUUAAUUUAUUAGUCGUUUGGCCCUAUGUCCAUGUGAGCAUGAAUAUUCUGAUAACAUUGGGUGGUUCUCCUCCGGAUGCGGUUUCCUUAUUUUUGUAAUUAAUGUCUAAGCACAAACAAACACAAUGUGGUUUCCUUAUUUUUGUAAUUCGGACAUUCUAAAACCCUACUGUUUACACGUCCAACCCACCUCAUACUUCUUAUACAUACAAACGCCUCAUGCUAUUGCAUGAAACCAAAUACACACCUCAAGCAAUCUUCAGCUCAUGCAAAGAUUGCAUGCAAUUCAUAUGCAAACAUGUAAUAUAAUUAAAACAAUCCAAGAUGACCAGUUGAUUGUGCUACGUACAGCUCUCACGAUCAUAAUUUUGUUUUGUGCGCACAAAGUUGUAUUUACAAAUGAGGUUGAUUUUGCUUUGUGCACGCAUACACUCUGUUUUCUUUUAAUUACAUGUUCUGCAAAUUCUUAAUUUUAUUUUUUAUCAUUUGAGUUUGACUAAAGUGCAACAAAGCACAAUAUAGCAAACUUAGCAGGUUUUUACGCAAAGUAUGUUGGUUUUUGGAAGCAUUGCAAAUAUAUUUGAGCUUAAAUUAGUCCCACAUUAGAAAACUAUAAUUCCUUGAAGGUCUUUAUAAGACCUAUUCUUGGAAAUAGGACAAUUAGAAUUUGGCUAUGCAAGUGGACCAAUUGAGUGGCUUGUUGGGUUUGGCCUUUGGGUUAGUCAAAAGAUGGGCCUUGGACUCUUUGUGAUUUAAAAUUAAACCUAAUUAAUUAAAUUAAUUUCGAGGUAAUUAUUUGAAUUACUUUUUAAAAUUCAAAUAUCAGAUAAGUUUGUCAGAUUGGGUUUGACCGUUAUAUGAUACAUGUUCCAACAGGAAUUAGCACUCUAUAUAAACAAGAGCCUUGGUUCUAUUUGAUAUACAUAAAAAACGCAGAUUUCAUUCUAAGUCAUAUUCAAUUUCGUGAAUUUGUUUAUUGUUUAAUUUCGAAAAAAACCAUUCAAUUUUAUUUUACUGUCUUAUUAAAUUAUUGUUGAAUUACAUUAUUAGUGUAACACUGAUUGUUGUUUCACCAACAAAGUAUAGUUAGCCCAUUCCAUUUUUAAAAUUCUGGGUCUGUCCAUGUAUCUAUAUAUAUAAAGUGAAAGGCAGAGAGAAUGGUAAAACAUUCAAAAUACCAAAAAUUCACAUGGCGGACUCGUAUAUGUAAAUUCCAAAUGCCUCCAAAUAUAUCCUAACUACAAUACCACAGCACUGAUUAACACUUGAUGGAAAAUAAAAUAAUAAGACGAGUUCGCAUCUCUAGCGGCAGUGAUGCGCGACACUAGAAGAAGUCGAAAAAAUUCUUCCACGCGUCAUAGUCUUUGAAGAAGACGUCCAUGUCCCGACCAACAAGUGCUAUAAACUCUUCAUGGCUAUUAAUACAGACAAGGCAAGGCAAAUAGGAAUAUUAAUCUUUGAGGUUUUCCUCAGCAAACUCAAAGCACCAAAGUCAAGAUCAAGGUGAAAAAAAAUAAAAUUUGCUAAAUUAAAUAUGAAACUUCGUACUGACCUCCACGUAUUCCGAAUCUCUUCCAUCUUUUCAUCAAUUUCUCUAAGUACCGAAGCUGUUUCUCUGUAUGUAGAGAUAUAGUUACAUAUAAACUUAAAGAAGGUUGAUCCCAUCAGUCCCAACACCAGAGUUGAAAUAUGUUUCGUUGCCAUUAAUUAAGAUUAGGAAAAAUUUAAAGUUGGGGAGAUUUUUUUUGGGUAGAUGAAAAAAAGUGAGAAGACUUAAACAAGUGCUCUAAGUAGCAAAAGUAUAUAUUCUGUGAGAGUUUAGGGCUUGGCUCUAGUGACUCAUGUUCAUAUCACAAGAUGAACUCAAGUAUAUAUACAUAUGUUUGAGCUUGUAUCCUAGACUAGUGCGACAAAUAAAUAAAUAAAAUUAUUUAUCUUUUCCUUCAAGUAAAGCAAAAGUAGGGUAGGGCUCCUCUGCCGCAGUUUCCUCCUUAGACAUUGAAUCCAUAUAUUUGAUUGUGAUUCUAGUAUGAAAUUAUUCUUACCUAUUAGGUUUUGUCUCCCUAUUUGUAAUACACUGAUGUAAUUUAGCACCAGUUCACGUCUUUCCCUUUUUGGUACUUGUAAUUAGGUUGAUUUAUAAUUAUCACAAUAACACAUAUAAUUGCAAAAGAUAUGGAUGCGAUGCGAUCGACGACCUAAUUGCAAAACUGGAAAGAAAAAAAAAAAGGUAAUGGCUAGUGAGCGUACUUUGUAAUGGUAAGGUUAAAAUUUUCUUUUCUUUCAUAUCAAUAAAAUCUUGUUUUCUUGCAAGUGAAGUUAAUAGGAGUCAAAAGCUAAUUAAUGACCAAUUUUUUUCAGCACAAUUUUUUUUAAAAUAAAUUUUAGAAUCAUAAUAAUGUUAAUAGGAGUCAAAAGCUAAUUAAUGACCAUUGAAAUAAUGAAUAUAUAUAUAGUGAAGUGACCUGUGUUUUCCUAAGUUACUGUUUGUUAUAAAUAGCUUGUAUUGUUUCAUUGCCGAUUACUUAAUUAUUAGUCACUAAUCAAUUUAUGUUGAAAUAUCCAAUCUUGAAUGGUUGAAGUGUUUAAAACCGAAACGUUAAGUGUUGCAAAAUCUUUAGUCUGAUAAUUUCAAAGCAAGUAUAUAUAUUUGAUUUUAUUGUGUUGGGCCUUUUACAUUUGCCUUCAUUCAUUUUGGUUGCCAUCAAUCUUCUUUUAUAUAACGAUCCCUUAUAUAUUUUUUUUGUUGGACUUAAUAUCAUUUUAUUGUUCUUACUUUUGGAAGUCCUUCAUACCAACGUAAGAAGCAAUUAUAAUAUAUUCUUAGCACAAAAGUUUAGUGUUUGAAAUUACUGUUUUAAUGUUGGGUUUCUAUGCACUAUCUUUAUGUGGUUUAAUGAAUUAUGAAUUAAUAUUGAACAAACAAUUUAGUUUUCCUUUUAUGAAGACAGUAUGAUUUGAAUACUCAAUUGUUGCAUCUUCGCAAAUAUGUGAAGUAUAAUAUUUACUUUGAUUUCAAAUCCUUGAAAGAAAAAAGGGAAAAAGUGCAAACCGUUCUUUUGUAGUUUAAUUUUGAAUUCAAAAUCUAAUAUUGCAUCAGUUUUAAAUUUGGCCUAUCUGUAUAUUUAAUUUUUAUAUUGAUUUUUAUUUUCAUUUAUAUCUAUUAAUUUUUGCAAAAACGUGCAGAGAGUUUAUCUGAUAUUAUUGCAAGUUUUAUUGAGCCUAAUUAUUCUUUAUUUUGAUGGCUGUCAUUACUUUGAAUUUGGGAGAAAAACCUACAUUUUUUUUUUGGUAGUAUAAAUACAUCACUUUAACACCUUGGACGUUAGCUCCUUUUGAUUCCAGAAUUAGUUAAUUGCUCUUAACUUCUUUUGGAAGCUUUUGCAUUUCACAUAUUCAAUUACGAGAUUUUAUUUAUUUUUUAAUUUAUGCAGCUUUAGUUUCAAAACUUUAAUGUCAAUUUCAUGACAUUUAGAGCUUUUAUUUUGGCAGUAAAAUUGUUGAUAUUGUUAGGUGAUUAUUGUCUUUAGUAUUCUGAACAUUUAUGCAAUUUAAUUACAUCUUUGUUUUAAUGCCUUGGAUUCCUUUUAAAGUUGCCAACGCCUAUAUAUUUCGAUUGUGCAAUCCUUCAUAUUAGUUUCUUGAGUUAAUCUUGAUACAAAUAUAUUGAGUGAACUAAUGUUCUUUGGAUUAUAAAGUCUUGACAGCUGCCACAUUGAGUUAAUUGCCAUGAAGUGUACAUUGUGGAAUCCUUCUGAGAAAACUUAAAUGAAGUAAUAAAUUAUAUCAUUGUAAGUGGCAUUAAUUUUGAGUUUUGGUGUAAGGCUUUCAAACCCUAAAUUUUUUUUGAGGUAUUAUAUUUUAAAAAAAAAUUUGUGAGGCUUUCAAUGGUUUCAUUGUUAUAUUUACAAUGACUAUCAAGAUGACUGUGUGUGAGUACAUAUCUUAUGAAUUUAAAAUUAAAUAAAUUUUGGUACAGUCUUCAUAUAUUUUGAGAAUUCCCUAAUUUGUGGGGGUUGAGUUUUUCCUUAACUAUGUGGGUAUUUGUUGGAAUUUUUGUGGGUAUUUCAAAUACAAAAUUAAUAUAAAUACUCAUUUUUUAAUUUAAUUUUCCAGUUUUUGAGUGAUUUGAUUACCUCUUUAAAAUUGAAAUUAUUUUGUACGUUUAUUAUAUAAGUUUUCAUAUCUCCUUUAUUCAAAUUUAUUCUAUUUUAAUUCUUUUUAUUUUAAAACGUGUGGACCAAUUUGUGGAAGUUGAAUUUUCCUAAAUGGGAAAUUUAAUGCUGUAAUUUAUUUGUUAACAUUAUGCAGUUUUGCUUUUAUGCUGAAAAUAUUAGAUUCAUUUAUGUAGGCUUUCCUUCUCUCUUUCCCAUAUUUUGUGUGUUUUCAAUUUCUUUAUGCUCUUACAGGAAAUAUUCAUUUAGUAACAAACCUACUGUGUUUGUGUGAAAUUUAUUUUCAUUAUGAAAGUUUAUUAUGAGACUAAUUUAUCUUCAACUUUGAAUGAAAGUGUGCCCAACUAAUGAUGAUUUUGGUAUAAAAUUUUGGUUGAGACUUUUAUUGUCUUACAGGGUCAAAUUGAGAAGAUACAAUGACAAUGACAACUUGGAUAUGCGUUCAUGAUUUCAGCCACUUGGAGUGCACAAAAGGGAGUAAGAGUAUCCUGAAAUACUUAGUAUUUAUAAUUAAAUUUAUUUAAUGAAUUGAGCGUUGCCUAGUUUGUUCAUAGCUUCAUCAGGUGCACUUAAAGUUUCAAAGACUAUUACAGACCCAUAUUUGAGUACCAAUAUUUGAGAGGUAUUCAAAUUAUAUGAAUUUAUAUAUAGUGGAAUUUUUGUUAUAUUUUAAUGUAUACCAAUGCGUAUAUAAUUUUCAAUUAUACUGAGGUGAAAUCUACUAAUUAUUUGUGUGCAAGAUUGUGUAGUAAAUAUUUUAAUAACAUGCAUGUUUAAAGCGCGCUAACAAUGGAGAACAAAGACAUGACCUACAUUAUAUAUGCCUUAUGAAGGCUAGAAUGCAUGCCUUGUGGAGGAGGCUAUUAAUGCAAAAUGUCGAGGGGUAUGUGCUUAAGCCCAUAAGGGAGUCACCUAGGGAGGUAACCCAACUUCUGUGAUUGGAGAUCCCAUGAAGGAAGUCCAAUGUGGUAGAAACAAUCCAUACUGCAUGACUCAUAUAGCACUCAUAAAACUAUGGAGAUAUCCUUGAGAUAUUCUUCUGCUCAUCCCUAAGGCAAAAGUGCUAUUUUAUGUGACGUCAGGAAGGGAUUUAUCCUUGAAUGAGUUUCGAGGCAGGCAAACUCCCGCAUGGUGCAGGUCACAUGUACUCUUGAAGAACUCACCAAAAUGAGAGAUCUCGUGAGGCCGCGACUAUGAGAAUUGGGCUAUUCUCUAGUAACUCUCAUGAGAAUCAAGAUUAGCACAUGGCCAUAAAUAGCACUACCCCGCAUCCAAGUCUCAACCAAUACUAUGUGUGGGAUAUGUUGAAGUUUGGUCAAAAGUGCCGAGUUCAAUACUGUGUACACUCAGGUUCCUCAAAUGGAGACUAUCAUCACUAAGUGAAGGGUCAAGCCUGGAAGGCACCUACACCUAUUACAUCGAAUUAUAUUGCCCGUAUAUAUUAUAUAUUUUUCACUGUUUUUCGUCAUGGUAAAAUUUUGAAAACCUUGUGGGGGAUUGUUGUUAUUUUAAAAGGUUUUAAAAUUUUAAUCAUUUUAUUUAUUUAAUUAUUUUGGCUGUUUUAUUUUAUUUAUUAUGAGGGUUAUAAAUAUUUAAUAUUCAAGUUUUAUUUCUGGUUGGUGAAUGCCUUAAUUUUUUGGUUGGUGAACUUUUAUGGUUGGUAUAUGUUACAUGUUUUUGGAUGUCUAUAAAAGGCCACUCCUCCUUCACAUUUGAUGUACACACAAUACACUAUCAGAAUAUCACAUACACAUUCUAAUUCUCUCAUUUUCUACUUUUAUAAAUAUUCUCUACUUUAUAUUAUUAUUAUUUUGGGCAAUGGUUAUGUGACUUGGAUAUCUAUAUCUGUCUAUGAACGUGCUCAUAGCAGAUCUUGAGUUUAUUUACAAGGGGUCGUAUCUUGGAGUCUUGUAGACUGCCAGUACCUGCACGUAGGAAGGCUACAAAGGCUUUAGGACAGCGUCUUUGACGUGCUUCACCGUACCAAACUCACAUUCUUACUUAUUAUUUAUUUUCCUUUUACUUACCUAUUAUUUUAUUUUCUUCAAUUUCAUUAUACCAUUAAAGCUUUUCAAUUUGUUUAUAUAUUAUUUAUAAUAUAAAUAUUUUGUAUUUGGCUUUACGGAAAGAGGAAAAUUAUUAUUUUUUAUAACAAUCUAAAGCAUUUGUAAGUUAAAGUUGUUUUCUUCCCGUAUUGCUAGCUUUAAUAUCUUUUAACUCUUUGAUUGAAGUUUUUGCAUUUGCAUUGGAUUUUCAAAAUGAAAAUUAUGAUUUAUUUUGGGUAGAUGCAAUUUGAAGCUUUCAUGUUGUCUAUACAAUUUCAACUGCUUUAAAUAUUAUUGGCACAUUUAUAUGUUUAUAAUUUGUUGCUAACGUUUUGGAAAUUAUUGCUAGUGUUUGAAAAUAAAGUUUGAAGACAAAGGGGAAGCCAAAGGUAACACAAAGCUUGCAUGUCGCAAGGCAAUGUGGUUGGGCAUGAGGUUGCCGAAGGCAUAAGAAUUGCAUGAGAUGAAAAUUGCCGAUGGGCAUGAAACUUGGCAAGGUGCCAAAGGGAAGAAAUACACCAUAAUCAACCGAGCAUAUCCAGUCUCAAAGCGACUAGCACCAAAGGCAGACACGCCUUCUUCCCUACCAAAGGAAGACAUUCUUCCGAGGUGCCAAGCACCUGCCGAAGCUCCCGACUACCGAAGCUCCUAAUUGCCAAACCUAAUCUCCAGGACACGUGUCACCACCACAGUGACUUGCACAAAUUCACAUCAAAACUUUGUGCAAACCUCCCACUUUCACCGCCUUAUAAAUAGGGAACAGUACCCAAGUAAAAAGGGAUAACUAAUUUCUCACUUUACUGUUACUCUGCCAAAGUUACUACUCUUAGCUGACUUAAAUAUCGGAGAGCCUUUGGCUGGCACCACACUGGUGUUCGAAGCUUAAUGAUUGCUUCUCUUACUUUGUCUUAUGUAGGCUAUUCCCUUGCCGAAGGUCCUCACCUUCUGCCCUGGUGAAGGCAAUCCACUUCUCUCUAAAUUGACAUCCCAAAAAGAGCAUCAACAGUUUGGCACCGUCUGUGGAAAUUGACACAAAAGGCUUCUGACGUUUUGCCCUUCUUCAGUGCCCUUCGGCACCCAUACCCACCAAUAUCUACUCAUUGAAUGGAAGCAAAGCAUCCCACGCCUAUUCUUAUCAGACGACAAACAUAACAAUCACAAAGCAGCCUUAAGGUUCUCACCACCAAUUCAUUCCAGCUUCUACAAUAAAAGGUGGGACCCAUGACACAUGGUUUAGAAGAUAAACAUAUGGGAGAAGCAAAUCACACAUGGGAUGAAGAGAAAGCCACCACAAGUGUUGAUGCCUUACGAUGCAUCAUCUGCAAAGAUUAUCUCAUAUUUGAAGACUCUCCAUACCAAAGCAUCUGCACCCACAGCAAGUGACGGAUACAAGCUCCGGGCCAGCUCGCUAAUUCCUUGUCCCACCAAGAAUGGCACCGUUGAUAAGAAUUCCAGUAGGCCAACGACAACACCUCAAAAUUUUCUUAAUCACCGGAUCAGAACCAAGCUCACUCCAAGAAAGACCCAGCUCAAAAUUCGGAGCCCAACUCUUUCCUUCCUUGCCGAACGGACUCGAAGCUGGCACACAAAAUUGUGCAAGUACCCAACCUCUUUCCCAAAUUUUGCCUCCUGAACAGCACGUAAUGUGCUAAGGCUGUCAACAACGCUGCCGGCUCUCCUUUCUUCGAUCACGAUCUCCUGCCAAAGCCACUUCCGAGCUCUUGCCAAACGCCUUUGACCUCCAACGAAAAACGGUCCCAGCUAUUUCUUGUCGAACGACAAGGAUCAUGAGGCAGAAAGGGGUAGUUGCCAAAGUUGUGCAAAGGCCUCGGCUGGAGAUCCACGGCGCAAACCCUAAGCAAUGUUCUCUAAAUUCUCGAAAACCCUUGCCAACGCAUUAAAGGGCCAGCCCCAAAGCACGCUAGACCCCAGGUCACCCCAUCUUUUGGCCUUUACCGAAGCUCAGCUCCACAGAGCCCAGUCCCGGGCUCCUUGCAGAACGUCCAGGUACCUAGCUACCAACAAUUCUAGAGGCUCACACAGCUUUUAUCAUGCCUUCCAGGUGGUGAUGUAACUUCUAACUUUCCAACUUGGGGGACUAGGAAAUACGCUACGGCUCCCGCUGAAGCUGGAAUGCUCGGUCAUGAUUACACAAAAAAUCUAACAAGUUCUUAACCCAGAAGUCACUUCUUGACCGCAAACUUGGGGGACUACUGUUUACACCAUAAUCAACCGAGCAUAUCUAGACUCAAAGUGACUAGUACCAAAGGCAGACACGUCUUUUUCCCUGCCAAAGGAAGACAUUCUUCCGAGGUGCCAAGCACCUGCCGAAGGUCCUAAUUGCCAAACCUAGUCUCCAGGACACGUGUCACUACCACAGCGACUUGUACAAAGUCCCACAUCGAAACUUUGUGUAAACCUCUCACUUUCACCUUAUUAUAAAUAGGGAAUUGUACCCAAGUAAAAAGGGACAACUACUUUUUCACUUUUACUGUUACUCUACCAAAGUUAUAAUUCUUAGCUGACUUAAGCAUCGGAGAGCCUUCGGCUAGUACCCACCGGUGUCCGAAGCGUAACAAUUGCUUCUUCUACUUUGUCUUCUGCAGGUUAUCCCUUGCUGAAGGUCCUCACCUUCUACCCUGCUGAAGGCAAUCCACUUCUCUCUAAGUUAACCUCCCAAAAAGAGCAUCAACAGAAGCAGAUAUAUUUGAACUAUCAGUUGCUAGGCUAAAACGCAUGCUCCUUAGUUAGGUGAUGGAAAUGAAGACGUUGAAGACAGAAACAUUCCUAGAGGCCCAAGCAAUGGCACAACAAAAACCAAGGAAGCUAAAAAAGCAAGGGUUAGAGUUUUGAAGCUAACCUUUAUGCAUGUUUUUUAUGUACUGACUUCUCUGAACUCCCUAGGUUUCUCUGCUUGAUAGUGUUUGCUGGAAGCAAUUUGGAGUUGUUGUUGCUGUAUGAGUUGCAAUAGUUGCAUUGCAGAUUGCUAUGGUUUGUCUAGUGAAACUUUUUAUUUGGAAUUUCCAUUCACUUAUAUUCACUAAGAAGCCGAUUGAUGGGAAACUUAUUUUUGCUGGCACAGAAACAUGUGACAAAAUGUUCAGUGGCAUAUUGGUUACUAGAUGUCUCACAGGUACCUUCCAUGCUCCCUGUAUCAAGAAAACAAUCUUCCUUGUGCUUGAAAGCAGCGAUUGUGAAAUAUGUACCUCAACUAAGGACUUUUUGUUCCUUUUGUCCAGCCUCAAUCAGAUUCCAGUGGCUGUUGGAGCAAGUCAUAUGUUGCGGUUAACAAUUGCAUCUAGUGGUCAAGAAGGUGCACAAGCUUGAUGUAUAUUGUGCCUGUGGCAUAGGAGUAGAAUAGUUGGCGGUUUGCUCAGUUUAUGUGGAGGAUUCAUUAUGGGUCCACUCUUUCUGGAGAUUGGGAUCCUUCCUCAGGUACAUUUCAUACUUCAACAUUUGAUAAGUGAUGUAGUUGAGUUUGUUUUUCUUUGGGUGCCUCUUACAAUUCUAAAGUAUUCGUUCUUGUCGAUUUCACAUCUUAUUAGUUCCAUCCCUCAGAGUAAAAGCUAACAAAAUAUGAUGAUCAUUUUAUUAAUUUGUUGAGAACUUUUCUGCAGGUGUCAAGUGCCGCAAGCACCUUUAUCAUUACAUUCUCUUCAUCCAUGUUUGUUGUAUAAUUUUACCUCCUAAAACAAUUUCCGAUUCCCUAUGGUAAAUUUCUUGGCCAUUCACAUUUCUGUUCAUAAAUUAAUCACUACUUGUGCUUAGAAGGCAAUUUCUGUUUUCAAAUAAAUGCUAGCUUCUGUCAUUGUAAUUGUUCUGCAGCACUCUACUUUGCUGCUGCGACAAUUAUUUCUGCUGUCAUAGGGCAAAAUUCUGGAGGAAAGGUGAUCAAAGCCUUAGGAAGAACAUACUUGAUCAUCCUCAUUCUGGCUUUCACAACACUUGGGAGUACAGUUUCCUUAGGUAUGUGCCAUUUUACCCAUGCAAACCCUUUUUUAUUUCUUUUAUUCUUUUACUUUUAAUCUCAUGUUAAGCUCAAGAUAUGAAUUUUCUGCUAACAUGUAUAGUUUUUGCUUCUAAACAGGUAGAGUUGGCGUACCAAACAUGGUUAAGCAAAUUGAGCACAAGGAGUACAUUGGGUUUGAGAGAAAGUGCAGUCAAGGAUCCUAAGUCCUUAGCUCAGAUUAUUUGAUUUUAGAAGACUAUAAGCUUAGAAACUGGUAUUAAUUAGUCCAAUGUUAGUGUCCAAUGUUAGAACACUACAAGCUUAGAAACUGGUAUAAAUUAUUCAGUCUAAUGUUUUAUAGCUUUUUUAUAGAAAAUUUAUAGCCUUAUUGUCGAAUCCAAAUCCUUUCUUUCAAAUACAUUCUGUCCGAAUGGAGCAAUUUGCACAAAAUAGAAAUUCAUUUAGUCCCUUCCCCUGGUCAAGGGGCGAAACGUUUGUUAAUUCAGAGUAAAAUUGUCCAAUAGUUUUGAGUUUCAUAUGUGUAUGGGUGAGCAGUGAAUAUAUAUGGGUGAGAGAAGUAAUUAGGGAGGUUCAAAGUUGGUGUGGUAGCUAAUCAAGUCAUACUGUCGUACGUGAAUGUCUUAACUCAACCAUCACUCAAGAUCAGUCAACCGACAAAAUCUUUCUUCCAUUAGCAUGCAUACACAUAGUGAAUCUGAAAAAUAUAAAUUAGACUAAAUCAAAGGCAAUGCCAGCAGAAAGUUUCUUAUUUUCGAGAUCCUGCUAUACGUUCUGUACAUACAUCUAGAUACAUUUCUUUUUGUAUCCAAGUCAUAGUAUAUAAAAAAAAAAAGUAUUAGGUUUUUUUUUUUUUUUUUUUUUUUUUUUUUUUUUUUUUUUUUUUUAAUACAAGCAAGGAGGGGGUGUUUCUCACACCUACACUACCAAAGUACCAUAGGGUUUAAACCUGAGAUCACUAGUCUACAAGUCAAAGCCCUUUUCCACUGGGCUAGACCCUGUUGGCAUAUGUAUGUAUUAGUUUUGGUUAUACUGCAUUGAGUUUAGGAGGAAGUUCUGAGAAAAUGGCUGGUAAGAUUGGAACUCUUGGAGUUGGUUUUCUGGUUUUAUUAGCAUUAUCAUCUGCAGCAGUUUCAGCACGUGAAGAAAUGUUGGGCUCACAACCUUCAAGCCAGAAUAUUACUGGGAAAGAGGUUCAAUCUCACUUGGGUUAUAAGCAUGUGUGGCCUGUAAGUCCGAUUUUCUAUUACCUUUGUUGGGUUUGUUGCCUAAAUGCAUAUUAGGCUGCUGAGAAAAUGUGCCUUGCCCAAGGAUGAUCUAUUCGGAAUGUAAAAACUGUUUUUUUGUAAAUCUUCUACCUCCCUGUUAUAUAUAACUUUUGUUCUCUCUGUUUUACCAUUAAACAAACAAACAAAAACUCAUAUUUUUUUUCAAUACAUUUUUGUAGGUAAAACUGAAUAGCAGGUCUUAAAUGGUGCUUCCAAAUAGUUCAAACUUUGUAGUGAUGAUCAUAUACAGGAUAUCAGAUUUGGCGGGAAAAUCGCGGUGGGUACGAUGAUUGCAUUUGUUGGAGCAGCAUUUGGGAGUGUGGGAGGUGUUGGUGGGGGUGGCUCUUUCAUCCCAAUGCUCACCCUCAUUAUUGGAUUUGACCAGAAAUCAUCAAUUGCAGUCUCCAAAUGUAAAAACAUAUAUAUACUUUCAUAUAUCACAGUUUUAAAUUCAUCUCAUUCUUGUGUUAAUUUAUCUUGUUCUUUACUGUUCAAACACCUAAAUUUUGCUUCUUUGUGGUCAGUCAGGUAUGAUCACAGGCACAGCAACUGCAACGGUCAUGUAUAAUUUAAGGCGAAGGCAUCCUACACUUGACCUGCCCAUCAUUGACUAUGAUCUCGCUCUUCUUUUCCAACCAGUGUUGGUUCUUGGGAUCAGCAUUGGCGUUUCUUUGAAUGUGGUUCUUUCUGACUGGAUGAUCACCAUCCUACUAUUUAUUGUGCUCUUAGGUAACAAUUUUCUAAGCUGCAAAUCUUAUUCCUUUAAAUCUUUCGAGAACUUCCUUGAGUGGUCGUGAUCUGCAGGGGUAUCAACUAAGUCGUUCUUCAAGGGUGUUGAGACAUGGAAAAGAGAAACUAUAACUAAAAAGGCAGGCUUUAAACUAUUCUUUGUUCCUCAAGUUGAUUGUAUAUGCUGCACUUCUAAUCCAUCUAAUACUUCACAACUUGUUUCAUUAUUUUUAGAACAUGUUUGAUGCUUCAAAACAGUUGCAAUCAAAUGGUGGGUUGGCCUAUAAUUUCUUGAUGACCUAUUCAAACUCUGACAAAUACAUAUUGCAAGUCUAAUUUGCUCUUGCUAAUGAAGAUGUUGAAGACAAAUAUAUUCCGGGAGGCCCAAGCAAUGGCACUCUAACAGAAACCAAGGAACCUGAACGAACAGCAGUAAAAUUUAUGAAGCUUAAACUUCUUUUAUGUAUGGUUCUAAGGACUGACUUAAGCAACCGUCCCAGGUUUCUGUACUAGAUAAUGUUCGCUGGAAGGAACUUGGAGUAAUUGUUGCUGUAUGGAUCAUAAUACUGGCAUUGCAGAUUGUUAAGGUUUUUAUCUAGUUUCAUAUGCAUUUUGAUGUUCCUUUGAAACUUUACUAUUUGGAAUUUCCCUUCACUUCAAUGCAUUAAGAAAUCCAAUUGAUCGAAAUCCUACUUGUUGACACAGAAUUAUGUGACAAAAUGUUCACUGACAUAUUGGUUGGUAGAACUCUCACAGGUACCUCCAUGCUCCUUCUAUCAAGAAGACAAACUUCCUUGUGGCUACAAAUAUGGCUUAAGUAAGAAUCCCAUUAUAAUGAGAACAUUUUUCUUUUCUUCCUUUCUUCCUGUAUCUAUCAGAUUCCGGUGGCUGUUGGUGUAACUUCAUAUCAGGCAGUUAAACUGUACAAAGGCCGGAGAGUAAUUGCAUCCAAGGGAGAAGAAACCACAAAGUGGCCAUUGUACAAGCUUGUUUUUUAUUGUGCCUGUGGCACAGCAGCUGGUAUGCUUGGUGGAUUGCUUGGCCUCGGUGGAGCGUUUAUGUUGGGUCCAAUGUUUUUGGAGAUGGGAAUUCCUCCUCAGGUUCAUACUUCAAAAUUAACAAUUGAUGUUUGUUUUUCUUGAGUUUAUCCCACAAUCUUUGUAUUAAAUUACAUAAUGAAGCACACUUCUUUUUCCUUGGAAGUAAAAUCAGCUUGAAAAACACAUGUUCCAUUAGUUACACCAUAAUGCACAUUUUUUUUCCAAAUUUCACUUCCUUAACUCCACCACUUAAAGAGGAGAAGCUAUCCAUUAGGAACUAUUCUCUCCUUAAGUAAUUAUCUGAUACCUUAAGUCCUUAUUUGUGAUGAGAACUUUCAUAUAGGUGUCAAGUGCCACGGCCACCUUUGCCAUGACAUUCUCUUCAUCCAUGUCUGUUGUAGAAUACUACCUCCUAAACCGCUUUCCAGUUCCCUACGGUAACUUUUUUAGCCAUUCAAGUUUUCUUUGAAUCCAUUAGUAACUACACAAAUGGAUGUUUACAAGAAAUUUUAUCGAUUAAAAGAAAUGUUGGUUUCUUUCACUGUAAUUCUCUUGCAGCUCUCUACUUUGCUGCUGUGACUACUGUUUCUGCAAUCGCGGGGCAACAUGUGGCAGGAAAGGUGAUUAAGAAAUUAGGAAGAGCAUCUUUGAUUAUCUUCAUUCUAGCUUUCACAGUAUUUGUGAGUUCACUGAUGUUAGGUAUGUCUCAUUCUUACAUACAUGCACCGUUUCCUUUUGUUCAAAGCCAAUAUAUUUAUGUUUAGAUUGUGAGCGAAUGCCUUUGUUUUCCUCUAAACAGGUGGGAUUGGCAUAAAAAACAUGAUUAAAAAUAUUGAGCAUAAAGAUUCCUUGGGAUUUCAGAACAUCUGCACUUGAAGAACCUCGUCUUAUUAAGGGCCUUAACUAGGUUUUCCGGAAACUUCGCAAUGUCGUUAUCAUUUUAUAUCCAGUCUUUGAGCCAAAGAAUUUGUAAAGCAGCUUUAAGUUUUGGGGUAGAAAUAUUUAUCACAAAGAGAAUUAGUGAGAUCAUUGGAACAUUAGUGCAUAUCAAGCUAACAUAACACUGAUUGAGAUGAAAAGUAUGUAAGGAUUGGAGACUCACUUUAUAUAAAACAAUCAUUGGCAUAGAUACUGCACAACUUUACUUACAUUGCUUCAAAUUAACAGAAAAGGGCACAAGCUAUGAGAAUGGGGUAGUGUAACAAGUUACAACAAGAAGCGAAUCGACCUCAGAAAUCACAUUAUAAGCUUAUAAACAUAACCCACAGUUGAAAGAAGAGCAAAAAAAGGAUAUACUUUCUAGGGGUGACAAAAACUUUCACUUAUACAUGGCUCAAGUCCGAGGAGGAAUUUCUGUGGUUCUGUCCUCCGUCCGUUUAACAAGAAUUCCAUUCCAUCCUGCAGACAAUAUUCAACAAAUAUCAUUAUGACUUCUUUGCCGAAAAGUUCACCAAUAAUUAUUUCGUUUGAGAAAAAUUAGUCCGAAAAUGUUUUGGUUAUUUGUAAAGCAAACAUUACAAACCCCAUUAGUCCAUGGUUCACACUAAUAGAGAAGAAAUUGGCGAUGUCGAAUUUGCUAUAUGAUUUUUCAUCUAUCAAAUAAUAAAUUGAGUGAAGAACUAGACUAGUUCUGUGGUGGAUACCUAGAGCAGGAUCAAAUCCUCUGUUUCUGAGCUCUCUGAAUUCUUGACAAAGAGAACAACAAGAACAAAAGACAUGGGAGAUCACAUCUGUGGUAUGGAGCUUCUACCAGGUUAUACCUCUGCCUCAGCUUUGUUCUAUACUUCGAGCCCAUAAUCCAUUGAGAGCAAAAGGCAUCAUCAAUAAGUAUAUGAAGAGGGGUGAACUUAUUCAUUCUGAACUUAUUCAUAAAGAUGUGGAGACAAGCGUGGUUUGAUGAGGACAUCAAGAGGGGUGAGUUUCCUGUUCGUAAGUCCAGGGCUUCCAGUCAUAUCAACCGCUGCGUUCCCUCGGGUCGUGACUUCAAACGAAUGAAGAAAACUAGCCAAAGUUAAAAGCAUCAUCUGAAGAGCAAAACUUAUCCCAGGGCAUGCUCUUCUACCACUCCCAAACGGCAUCAGCUCAAAUUGCUGACCCCUAACAUCAACAUCCUUAUGGGUAGUGAGAAAUCUCUCUGGCUUGAACUCCAUCGGGUCGGCCCAAACCCGAGGGUCAGUUUGGAUCUUCCACAGGUUCACUAGCAGCCAUGUGCCUUUUGGAACCUGGUACCCUCCUACGGUACAGUCUUCUCUGAACACCCUCUGGACUGAGAGUGGUCCAGGUGGGCAUAAACGCAUUGCUUCUUUAAUAGCGGCCGGCAGGUACACCAGAUUAUUUAUAUCCGACUCAUUCAGCAAUCUUCUUUUGCCAACAUGCUGGUCAAGUUCUUCAUAAACUUUCUCCAAAACUUGGCGGUUGUUCAAAAGCAAAGAGAGUGUCCACGUCAGGGUCACCAUGGUUGUGUCACUCCCUCCAGAAAUCAUAGCCUGCACAAUCAAAACUCUGGUGAUUAAUAAAACAAAUUUAGCAUAUGACCAUUGAGGUCGUUGUUGUAAAUAUACCAAACAUGUUGCUUUGAUGACGGUAUCAGCAUCGAAGCCAGCAACAUAUGCUCCAUCGAUGGGUGAAAGCAUGACAUCCAUGAAAUCUUGAUCUUUCCCUUUAGUUCUUUUCUGCUUGUGCUCCUCCAACCAUUCCGCAAGAAUACUGUCCAGUUCUUUGGCAGUUCUCUUCAUGGCCUUCUGUUGUCCACCCAAAUCCAACCAACUAAGCCAAGGAACAGCAUCUCCCAACAGAAACAAUCCCAGAAAAUGAAAGAACUCCCCCAUGGCUUUUUGCCACCGCCUAGCCUCCUUCUCCUCACUCAAAUCCCCAUUCAUAAAGCAUCUAUUUCCAGCAAUCAUCCUAAAAAUCACAUUUAGAGUCAAACCUCCAAACCACUGCUUCAUGUCCACCAAAAGCUCCCCCGACCCUUCUUUUCUGUUGCUCCGUAGAGUGUACAGCUCUUUUAAGCUCAUCUCUACUUCGGAUGCUCUAACGUUUCUCAGUAGCUCGAGCCUGCGGUUUGAGAGUAGCUCGAGCGAUGUCAGUUUGCGAAUUUCACGCCAGUAUGGACCGUAGGGGCUAAACCCGAACAUGGCAAAGUUGUAGCUCAAGUGCUUAAUCCCUAGCGUAGCAGGACGGGAGGAAACAGCUAUAUCGUUUGUGAUGAAGCAAUCCUUGGCCGCCUCCCAAGUACUUAUCACCAAAGCCGAGUGGAUGCCAAUAUUGACGGUGAAGAUUGGUCCAUACUUGCCAACCAAGGAAGCCAAAGCUAUGUGAGGAAGCUGAGAUCCUCCGAAUAGGUCGAGAUGACCUAGCAGAGGCCACCCACCUUCCACUUUUGAUGGUUUGGGACCCUUGGCUUUGGCACCAGAGCUUGAUCUCUUUAUGAUAAAGUAGGAAAACACAAGUAUGGCUAAGAUUCCAGCUAUGGCAGUGUUUUGGCAUGGAAGAUACAACUCCAUUGUUGCGAAGGAAAGGUUGAGGGUAGCUAGCACUUGUGCAGAGGUCCUUAUAUUUAUGUUGAAAAUGAGGGUAGGACAAAUGCAAUAAUUGAGAUAGUGGAAAAUAAAGAAA
rnacentral:lncRNA from 1 species